CCACUGAGUAUUCAAUUCAAAAACCAAGCCAUUAAUGCCACGGACCUGACCCUUGUUGUCUUGUCUCUAAGCUAUUAGCAAGUUUUUAAGAAAAAUACAUAAUAAAAAUGAUUGAUACUUGUAAAUAAGAUAUAUAAAAGAGAUGGUUUUAGCUUACCUCAGAUCUGUUAGUACUAAUGGCGAUUACUGAGAGGAAAGCUUGGCUGUUGCAGUUUUUGUUUCUCAAAAGGGGAAACGGCAGCUUCUAGGGACUAACAAUUGGCUCGUCCUCCUUCUAUUUUCUGUUCGAUUGAAUUUUUUCUUUCUGGCUUGAAGGAUUCCUUUGCUGAAUUAAAGGAAAGAAUCUGGAAAUAUAUGAAACCUAAAUAGAGGAAGAAAGGUGGGAUGGCUAGAUGGGUGGAUAAGCAGAUCAAGUUCAUGGUAGGUGUAGAAGCUGGGCGAAGCGGUAGCGAAGCUCAGGUGGUGAUGCAAAUACGCGGUGAGCGUAGUAGCCCCCUCGGGCAUGCUCCUUGUAGAACCAAGCGAAGAGCUAGUGAGGGCCGGAAUGGAAUAUCGUAUGUAGUGUAGAAUCGGAUCUGAAGCUCUUUACUAGGAUUGGAACAAGCGAGGAACGAGUGACCACAAGCGGAGCUUAAGCGCUCGACAUGCAGUUAGCUCAAAACAUGUUCAUCAUGUGGCCGAGCGAAGCGCACCUGUGUGAAGCAGCCUGGCAUCACUUUAUAUAGAAACAUAAAUGCAAAACGGAUGACUUACAACUAAAAGUAAGGGAGACGAAAGACCUAGAGCGGCCAAAAGAAAUUAAAAUUCAAAAACCCUAAAAAAAAGUAUAUAUACAUUAAGGGUAUUUUGGUAAAUAUUUUAGGUCGGGUUUCAUACAAACCCGACCCCGACCCGAAUCUGACAUUCCAAAAAAUAAAAUCGACCCGACCCGACCCGAAACUCAUUUUUUUUAAAAAAAAUUCAACCCUAAAUAGUCAGGUCGGGUCGAAACCCGACGGUUUCGGGUUGAUUUGCCGACCCUACUCGCUGCCACUAUGACGUAUGCUUGAGGGAUGGUUGGCUUCACUUACUUGUAUAGGUAGCUUAAGAUUGCGAGCAGGGCACACGUGCAUUAUCAUUAGUUAUUAGACACUUGUCCAGGAUGUAUUUUUAAUUAUUUAAAACAUAUUAUAAUGAUUUGAUAUAUUUUUUAUUGGUCAUAUCUGUGAUUGUUUAACUAAAUAUUAUUUAUGUAUUUCAUGUAGGAGUGGAUUUAUGAGCACUUUCCAUUGUUGGGCCCUGUCGUAAAUUUGAUAUACUCAGACAAUUUAUUGUGUGCUUGAUGGUGGAAGGCUUGUAUUUAUGUUGAUACAUUACCUGCUUUAUGUGCGAGCUUGGCUAGGUUGAUAGUAUCAGACAUGCGCUGGGCCCCAUAUACUGAUACACUAAAGGCACAUCCAUUGGAUGAGAUUAUUUUUUUCCCUAGAUGUAUCAUGUGUGGGGCAAUCAUAGAGCCAUAUCACCUAAUGAGGGUUCUAACCCAGUUCAGCUUUGUAUAAACUAUUCUGCAGAGAUCAUUGGCCCUGUCUCAUGCUCGAUGAGGACCAUUGUUCAACUAGUACAAUGUUAUGUAUAGCUUCCUAGACCAAUAUUGGGAACGAUGGGAUAUGCAUGUUGUCUCAGUUGAGCAUUGAGGCCAGAGAUGUUAGAGGCCUGAAAAGUGUUCAUCAGAUUAGGAUGCUUGGUUCGCAACUAUUUCACACCCUUAAAUUCAAAAUCUAGAGCAUUGAUCAAGAUUUCAGCCUCAAUUGGUUCAUAUAACACAUAUGAGUGAUUCAGUAAGUUAUAAAUUUUAUCAUUUAAAGGUUUUUUAUUAAUUGGUUAAUUUAAAUUAUAUAAUGUCAAUACUAAAAAUGUUAUGAAUAUUUUUGUAGAGAAGCUUGGCGGCUUUAUCAUUUGUUGAUAAUAUCUUGGCUGGUAGAUUUGGUCAGAGUAUUGACUAUUAGAGAGAUGCUUUUAUCCGAGUACGAGCCAUAUUAGACAGGGUUUGACCAUAUUAUUGUUGGCAGCAACAGUUAGUCUAGACCAACAUCGACUCCUUCACUAUCAGUUCAUGCAUUUAGACCACCUAGAUCAUCGAGGCCACUCGUGCUCGCUUUAUCCACAAUCUAAUCAUCACCUGCACCUUUGGAUACGAUAGCAAAGCCAACUCCUAGCCUGAUCGUGCAUGGUCCAUCAGCUUCACCUAUCUCAUUCGCUUCUGUGUCAUCCGCACCACAUGGUUCUCCAUUUUACUAAGACUAUAUUAGAGCCCAUUCUUCCUUUGCCAUGUAUAUAUCAUCAAGGCAAGAGGCCGAGGGAAAAGAAUUGAUGUUUAGAUACUGAUUUUAUGUUUGCACACUGAUUUUAUAUGUAGUUAUGUGUAUGUUUAUAUUUAUAGAAUAUUCAUUAGCUUAUUAUCUGUUAAAUGUCAAUUGGACAACAUGUUCAUAACCUUAAACCCCUAAAUUUAAUAAUUGUCCAUUAGAUAACAUCUUCAAAACAUAAUUUAAAGAAUAAACAAAUAUAAAUAACAAACGUUAAUACAAAAUGUUUAGGAUCAUUACAAAAAUCAAUUAAUGUCUAUUGUUUCUUGAAUGGCUAUAUCAAAAUUUGAACUAGAUAAUUACUUGAAAUAUUCAAAAUGAGGAAUAUAUGGAAUCUCCCACCCUUGGUCACAAUUAUAUCGAAUCUUACGCUAGUUGCAUGUAAUAGGAGGUAUUGGUGUGAAUUACUUCAGAAACACUUGCAUAAUAUAUGAACAUUAUUUAUAUAAUGUCAUUGACGCUUGUGUAAAAUACAAUCGAUAAACAUAAACAGUAAUCAACAACACUAAUUAACAUUACCUGUGCAAAAUAACAAUCAUUAACAAAUCCAAUUGUAAUUAAUCUAUGCUCCAAUGGUGCAGGUGGUACAGAAAUAAUAGAGAGAUAUGUCAGGCACUGUUUAAGACUGAUGUGGACUAGCACAAUGUUAUAUCGGGAGGUAAUCAGAUGACCCAUAUCAAGUAAGGUCAUCCACUUAUCAUAUGAUGUAGAAGUUUCAAAACAUGAUAAAGUUUGUAAAAACUCCUCAACACGUUCCAUGGAUCCAUACAAAGUCAAAUAAUCACCUUGAUAUUGAUUAAGCUCUUCAAUUAAAUUUCGUCACAUUUGUACCCAACCAUCUAAUCCCAAUCCAACCAACCCAACAAUUGCACAAAACCUAUAGCAUCCAUCCACCUCAUCAUCAACAAUGCUUUGUACAUACGGAUGUAACUCUAUUGGUAAACUAUCCAAUUAUCGUAUUUUUUAUUUACCAUGGGGCCAGUGAAUAGGAAUUUUACGAAUUUGUUGUGUUGGUUUCUUUGAGAUUGUUGUGCUUGGUAGUGAUAUAGUAUCUUAAGCUAAUAACAUAAUCUCUCAUUGUAACAGGUCGAGUCGUGUAGCAGUAUAUGUUUUAGCACUUUACGACCUUUUGGCUUAGCCAUUUCUAAUGAUGGCAUCAAGACAGUUGUGGACGGAUCACCGAGUUUUUGUAGCUUUCUUUUCAUGGCUAACAUACCGAACUCAUUAUAUUCAUUUAAGCGUUUGAUGAUUCGGCCAACCUUAGACCGGAUGGUUAACUCAUCAGAUAUUGAAUUAUCUUCGCUCUUCAUUAAAUUUAACUUUUUUCAAUGUAGAUGCAUUUUAGAUAAAGAAAUUGGACUUCCCAUUCUUAUAUGCUUUGCAACUUAAUGAGUACAAAGUAAUCCAUGAGUGCUUUUGAUCACACAACCACAAGCAUUUGCAUUAAUCCCAACAUGAUCAGCUUGCUUGACCUUUAUCAAUAUCAUAUUUAGUGUGCUCCUAGAAACCAAACUUCACAACUCUUUGAACAAUGAAGGCUUAAAAUUAUACUUCAUAAUGGUAAUACUUCACUUAAAUGAAUCAUUGAUCUCUGUAUAUUGGAGCUUAAUAAGUGCAUUCAUUAUCUUCCAUAGCAAUUUGAAAUCCCCCUACGAUGAUCUAAUAUGCCUCUUUAAUUUCAAAUAUGUACUCUCAGCCUUAAAAGAAAUAUUAAAGGUAUAUUAGUAAUUUGCUAUGAAACACUAAAAACCAUAAAUAAUAUUAUGAACAUAAAUCUUACCUAUUUGUUAUAACAUUGCCAAAAAGUUAAGGUGGUUUCUCCAGCCUAGGUUGUAAGUGUUGCUUGGACUAUUGUUGAGCAAACUGGACCAUUUCUAUUCUAAAUUGACAUUUAUCACUAACAUGAGCUCCAUCACAUAUUUCACAGGAUACAAAAAGAUUUUAUAUGGCAUGGAUGAUUUGAGAUGUGGAUCCUAAGGCUUUAAUUUUCUUAGUUAAGGUUGCCAACUAUGAAUUAUUGGAAGUAAAGGCAUCUAAUUCAUAAAUGCUAGUAGGUUUCUCAUUUACCUUACGUUCCAUACCUCAUUGGUAAUUGUUAACGGCCACCUUCUCUAUCAACUUAUGAGCCUUCUCAUAAGUCUUGCUCAUUAUGGCUCCUAUAGCAGGUAGUUCUCAUGGAAGUAGUUUAACCAUUAUAGAAUACUUGAAUAUAUAGAUAUUGGGGAAGACUAUGAUGUGGACACUCUCUCAACGGCUUCUUGAAUCUUUUUUAAGCAUCAUAGAGAUUCUCACCAUCCACUUGCAUAAAGAUGGUUAUUUCAUUCCUUAACUUGGUAGUCUGGGUAGGUGGAAAGAAUGUUGUGAGAAAUUUUUGCACCAAAUCCUUCCAUGUUGUGAUUGAUCUAGAUGGUAAUUAUAAUAACUAACUUUUCAUCUUGUCCUUGAGAGAAAAAAAAAAGUCUUAGUCUUAUUGCCUCAUCUAAAACACCAUUAUAUUUAAAAGUAUCACAUUAUUCAAGAAAAUUAAACUAGUGAAGCUUAGGAUCAUUGCUUGGUAAACUGCUAAAUUGUACAGAAGUUUGGACCAUUUGUAUGAUUGAAGGCUUGAUCUCAAAGUUAUUCAUUUGUAUGGAAGACCUUUUGAUAGAUGGUUGAAAACCAUCAAUAUUAGGGAUAGCAUAAUCCCUUAAAGUUCUUUGACCUUUGUUGUUUGCAUUCGACAUUGGUAUAGAUGUAGGUAGUGUUGUUUGAUUUUUCCUUAAAUGUCUUAAAGUCUUUUCAAUUUUUUGGUUGAGUGAAGCUGGGUCAACACUUCUAGAUCUAGGCAUGCAAACAACAAAAGAUCAAACUAGAUAAAAGUAAAUAAAAGUAAAUGUUUAGAUUACAAAAGAGUAGAGAAUCCUUAUUGAUUUUGAAUUGAACAUUACUAUAAUCCCAAGUAGCGGUACCAAAAACUUGAUUGCUUGAUUGAUUUUCACAAUACCUACAAGUGCACAAAUCGCAUUAAGUAAUAGUAGUAAUGAAAGUAGAAUAUCAUCCCAUAAGGAUUAUAGAAUUAAAUUAUCAGAAAGAUUCAAGUACCAAAGGUGACGAACUAAACUCUUAUAUAUAAACUAAUAAAAACUUUGAUUUGCAACAAAAAGUAAACACAGAUUAAAAGAAAAAUUGUGUAGGUCUAGAUUGCCGUAAUGCACUGGUAUUUCCUUGACAUCUAACUUGAUGGGCUGAAUUUCAACACUACUACCAAUCUGUACCAUUACAAUCAAAGUGGCCAAAGCAUCUGCGAUCUAAUUUUUUUCACGAGGCAAGUGUUUAUACUGGAUUGUCUUGAAUUAUUUGCAUAACUCUAAGAUGUAUUUAUGAUAAAUGAUGAGUUUUGAAUCCCUUAUUUCCCAUUCACCUUUUAGUUGAUAAAUGACCAAGGUUGAAUCCCCAAACACCUUUAAUGCCUCAAUAUUUUUAUCCAAAGCAGCUUGUAAUCCCAUGACACAAGCCUCAUAUAUAGCCACGUUGUUGGUGUAGUUGAAGUUUAAUCUUGCUGUAACAAGGUAAUAAUGUUUUGUUGGAGAUAUUUAAAUUGCUCCAAUCCCAUACCCUAUAGCGUUAGCAGCCCUAUCGAAAUACAUUCUCCAUGUUUUUUUAUCAUCAUUAUCCUCUUCUAACCUAAGUGGCCAUUAAUUUUUCAUUUGGAAAAUCAAAUUUCAUAGGCUCGUAAUCUUUAGCGACCUGAUCUGUAAGAAAUUGGGCAAUGACACUUCCUUUAAUGACGUUUUGGCUUACAUAGACUAUGUUAUACUCUGAAAGCAUCACUUGUCAUCUUGCAAUUCUUUAUGAUAAUGAUGGCUUCUCGAAGAUGUAUUUAAUUAGGUCCAGUUUGGUUAUAAGCCAAGUCGUGUAGUAAAGCAUACGCUGCCUGAACCUUUUAGCUGUCCAAGCCAAAGCACAACACAUCUUUUCUAUUGAUGAAUACUUAGACUCAUACUCUGUAAACUUCUUACUCAAGUAAUAGAUAGCUCUUCUUUCUUGCUAGAUUCAUCAUGCUGUCUCAGCAUAUAUCCCAUCAAUUUCUCAUGCACCACUAUGUAUAGAAUCAAUGACCUUGUUGAAAUAGGUGGCACUAAAAUUGGAAGGUUUGAUAGGUUUUGUUUAACCAUAUCAAAAGCUUUUUGACAUUUUUCAUUCCAUUCACCGAGGUUGUUUUUUCGAAAGAGCUUAAAGAUAGGAUCACAUUUGAAAGAAAGUUACGAGAUUAAUCAAGAAAUGUAGUUCAAUCUACCUAAGAAACCUUGAACCCUUUUUAGUGUGUUUAGAGGAGAUAAGUUCUGAAUGGCUUAAAUUUUAUUCGAGUCAGCUUCUAUCCCUUUUUCACUGACUAUAAAUCCUAGUAGUUUCCUUGACUUGCCACCGAAUGUGUAUUUGGAUGGAUUCAGCUUGAGCUAAAACUUUCUUAACCUCUCAAACAAUUUUUUGAGGUUAGCUACAUAGUCCUUUUCUUUUCAAGAUUUUGUAAUCAUGUCAUCCACAUAUACCUCAAUCUCUUUGUGUAUCAUAUCAAGGAAAAGUGUCACCUAGCCCUUUGAUAGGUCAUCUUAACAUUUUUAAGUCCAAAGGGCAUGACUUUGUAACAAAAAAUUCCCCAUAUAGUGAUGAAUGUGAUUUUUUCCAUAUCAUUUUGGGCUAUUUUUAUCUAAUUAUACCUAGAAAAUCCAUCCAUAAAAUAGAACAUUGCGUGUCAGGCCAUAUUGUCUACCAACUUAUCAAUAUGUGGCAGAAAAAAAUUAUCUUUUGAGCUAGAUCUAUUCAAAUCAUGGUAAUCCACACACAUUCGUAUUUUUCCAUUCUUUUUAGGGAUAAGUACUAUAUUAGCCUCCCAUUCAGGAUACUUGGCCACUUGCAAAAAGCCCGCAUCAAAUUGUUUAUUUACUUUUUCUUUAAUUUUUAGCAACAUCUUCAGUUUCAUUCUUCUCAACUUUUGCUGAACCGGCUUGCAUUAAGGCUUCAAGGGUAAUCUAUGUUCUACUACCUCAAUACUGAGUCUAGGCAUGUCUUGGUAGGACCAAGCAAACAUAUCUACAAAUUUUUAAAACAGAUAUUCUAAUCGUUAUCUAUCAGCUGCUGGCAGUGAGGUACCAACCUUAACUUCUUUUUUGUUCUUGAUAUUACCUAGAUUGAACAUCUCAGUAACUUCCUGAUGAGGCUCAAUAAAUUUAUUCUUUUGCUUAAUUAAUCUUAAUAAAUUUAUAGGUAAAGUGUAUUCUUUAGAAUCCUCUUCAGUGUCGAGUUCAUCAGUAUUAAUUAAGUUAUCAAAAUUAUAUCUUUGAUCAUUGUCAUGAUUACCCUAAUAAGCAUAUGGGGACCUGAAAAUAAAUGAAACAGGAAAUAUUGGCAAGAUGCUUUGAAUAGAACAAAUGGAUAAAAAGCAUGCUCUUAUCUUUUAUUAAAAUAGUGAAAAAUAAAAGAUCAAUCAUUUGGACAAGUUUAAUAUCAUGUAUUGAAGCUAUCCAAACUAUUAAAACAUAACAAUAAUAGUAAGUUUAUAUUUUUAUCUUUUAACAGCAAAAAAAGUCCUAAAUAGAUGUAAACGACAACUUUUUCACACAUAUCAAUCGUGAAAACCAAGUUCAAUAAUUCAGACAAGUUUAAUAUCAUGUAUUGAAGCUACCCAAAUGUUAAAAUAAAACAAUAACAAAAAAUUUGCAUUUUUGCCUUUUAAUGAUAAAAAAGUCCUAAAUAGAUGUAAACGACAACUUUUUCACACAUAUGAUCCGUGGAAACCAAGUUCAAUCAUUCGGACAAGUUUAAUAUUAUGUAAUGAAGCUAUCGAAACUGUUAAAAUAGAACAAUAAUAACAAAUUUACACUUUUGCCUUUUAACAGUAAAAAAAGUCUUAAAUAGACAUAAACGAUAACUUUUCAUACAUAUUAACCGUGAAACCAAGUUCAAUCAUUCGAAUAAAUUUAAUAUCAUGUAUUCAAGCUAUCCAAACUAUUAAAAUAGAACAAUAAUAGCAAAUUUGCAUUUUUGCCUUUUAACAGCAUAAAAAGUUCUAAAUAUAUGUAAACGACAACGUUUUCACAUAUAUUAAUCAUGGAAACCAUGUUCAAUCAUUCAAACAAGUUUAAUAUCAUAUAUUGAAGCUAUCCAAAUUGUUAACAUAGAACAAUAACAGCAAUUUUGCAUUUUUGCCUUUUAACGACAAAAAAAAAAUCCUAAACAAAUGUAAAUGAUAACUUUUUCACACAUAUCAACUGUGAAAACCUAGUUCAAUUAUUCGAACAAGUUUAAUAUCAUGUAUUUAAGCUAUCUAAAAUAUUAUAACAAAACAAUAAUACCAAAUUUGCAUUUUUUUCCUUUUAACAACACAAAAAGUCCUAAAUAGACAUAAAUAACAACUUUUUCACACAUAUCAAUCAUGGAAACCAAGUUCAAUCAUUCAAACAAGUUUAAUAUCAUGUAUUGAAGCUAUCAAAACUGCUAAAACAUAACAAUAACUACAAAUUUGCUUUUUUACCUUUUAACGGUACAAAAAGUCUUAAAUAAACAUAAAUUGUAACUUUUUCACACAUAUCAACAAUGGAAACCAAGUUCAAUUUUUUAGAUAAGUUUAAUAUCGUAAACUUACCUUUUCUUUUUGUUUUCUUGCAAUGCUUUUUGAUCCACUCAUGUGGUUAUAUUUCUAUUGUACCUUUUCUUUUUUUGAGAACCAAAAUUUAACCAAUUGUUCAUAUUGCCAUCUAACACAUUAUUAGGUAGAUGUUCCAUUGUGGCCUGUAUAGUACUAUUUCGAUCAAAAUACUUUUUCAUCAAAUUAUGCUUAUAGUCUUUCAUUUCUUUUCCAAUGACUGAAGCACAAAUGAAGUAGGUAUUUUAAGUAUAAAUCUUGACUGUAACAAUAUAAAAAAGAAAAGUUAUAAUCGAUAAACCAAAUUUAAAAUAAUUAAUAAUUUUUUAUAUGUAAUUAAUUAUACUAAUACCUCAAUAAUGUUUAACGAAUCGGCCUUAACUUCUGCUAGAACUUUAUGCCAUGUUUCAUAAUGAAUAGGCAAUUUUAUUCCAUUGAUGGCAAUCAUGCCUAAAAAUCCAUUCAACAGUUAAGACUUUUAACCAAUUGGUUGCCUAUCAGAAUUUGUAGGUACCAUAAUACAUUCAUUCGUAGGUAGUGCAAAUAAUUCCUUCAAAGUUGUCAUGCCUCUGGUCUUUCGUUGACCAUUGUUAUGAAUUGCAUAAAAUAAAAAAGUCAAUUAGUAAAUUACUAAUACUUUAAUGAUUAUAAUUGAAAUCUAAAUAUAGGGUUUAUGAUAUCUGCAUUCAAAUUAGAAGCAGAAUCAAUUGAUGGGAUACUAUCUAAACCUGGAGCUCCCACAUUACUAAACCAAUAUUAGUUGAAGGGUUAAAAGUGACUUAGUUAGAACUACAGUAGGCAUAUUCCUUUCCAAAAGAUUUAAUCCAUGGCCAAGAUCAACAAGUGCCACGGACGGUUUUGAACUAAUAUCUUUAAUAUAUAUUCCUCUCAAUCUACUCUUCAGCAAUGUAACUUAGUUGUAUUAUAAAAGUGAAUCAAUUAAAAGUUGAAAAGUUUAAACAUUGUAAAUAUAACAAACAAUAUAUAAAGAACAUAUCUAAAGAACAUAUAUAAAGACAUUGAGAAGUUAAGAAAUCAUAACCAACGAUCUAUAAAAAAAAUAUUGAUUUUAUUAAAUUAAAGAUAAUGUAUGAUUUACAACAUAAUAAAUAUACGAAAGCAAAUGCCACAUAAAUUACAUGCAAGCAUUUAUUACAUUAUGUUUUAAACACUCUAAUUACAAAAUAUAGAUAAACCAUCAUGGUUCAUAAAUGUCUUCAUCAACAUCUUUGUGGACCCACUGAGCAAAGGUAUUAGGGAUAUUUCUAUCUACGUUUUGUUCAGCAAAAGGAAAACAUUCAGUUCCAUGUUCAACAUCAUCGCUGGUAUCUGACCCCAUAUCAAAUAAGUCCCUAGGUGUGUUACAAAGAACAACAAACCAACCAAUUCUUCAUGGUCUUCAAAAUAAAAACCUUGUUUAACUUGAAAGGAAAAAACAUUAGGUUCAUCUAUGAGUUGUUGUUCAGUGUGAAUUAAUCCAGAGUAAUUCACGAUUGUAAAUCGAAAUUGAUAUUUUUUAAUACCCUUUCGUACUAUUUACAUAAGCCUAAUCACACCAAAAUAAAACAACCUUCCACUUGCUAUAAUAAUCCAACUCAACGAUUCAUUAAUCAUGCCAUAAUUGUCAACAUUUUCCUCCAAAGGAGUUUGUGUCCCUAGUACUAACAUAGCUAGUAGUUGACGAAGUAACAACAACUCUUGAAUUUUGAGUUAUUCUAAAUUGUUUAUAGGAUUUAGUGUGAAAUUUAAAUUUAUUAAUGAUAAAACCCUUAUAUCGUUCACAAUCUUGUUUGGACCUUGUGAAAGAUAUUUCACCUCUUCGUUAUUAAGCUUUCCACUCCAAACCUAUAAAGGUGGAAUAAAUAUAUAUGUUAUUAAUUUUAUUUAUACCCUACGCAUUAUAUGUACAAUUCUCAUAAUGGGAAGUAUGACAUUACUUACAUUUCUCCUAACCAUUCAUGAAAAUUAUCAGUGAACAACUUAUCAAGCUUUCGAGGGUUUGAUUGUUGGUAAUGUGCACAAGCUCUCAAAUUGUUUCUAUACUCGUUACAUGAUCAAGAUAAAGUAUUAACAAUAAGAAAAAUAUAAUAAAUUAUGCUUUGUAAAAUGAAUGAUUUUCUUGCAAGAAAACUUAUGUGUGAAACGAUUAAAUUAAGUCAUGAUAGAAAAGAAUAUAUCAAUGUGCUUGUGCCUAAGAUUUAUCAUCUAACUCCACCACUUCAACUUUGCCUACUAGUUGACCAAAAGUUUCAAAAAAAAUAAGUGUAGGCAAAGUCAAUAUGCUACAUACCAACAUUUCUUGAUGGUUUAUUAAAUCUUGUUUCAACAUCUUCCAAAUAAUGAGAACAAGAUGUCAUACAUUUCUCUGCUAAAUAUCUUUCAGCAACAGAACCUUUUGGAUAGUGUUUGUUGCAACAAUAAGACUUAACCUCCCCAAAAACCCAAGGCAUAAAAUAUUUGUUAUAUACCUUUUUAACUAGAGUGGUAUGAUCAACACUAACAACCUAAUCAAGCUAUUAGUAAAUAAUACUUUUUGAUAGGAUACAUACAUCAAUAAUAAAUAGGUCCACCGACUUUUGCUUUAUAUGGAAGGUAGAUAAUCAAAUGCAUCAUAAUAGUGAAGAAUUUUAGAGGAAAAAUCUUUUCUAAGUGGCAUAAAGUAAUUGCGGCUUGAUUUUAAAAUUUGUUAAGCUCUUCCACUUUCAAAAAUUUCCCAUAGAGAGCUUUAAAUAUGUUACUUAAUUCAAUUACCACUAAAGUGACUUGCUUUGACAUUGAUGAAUAUAAAGUAAGGGGAAGUAAGUUCUACAUUAAAAUGUGGAAAUCAUGUGACUUUAAUGAAGAAAGUUUUUGUUUUUCAAAUUCACACAUCUCAAUAUAUUUAAUGCAUAGUCAUCCAAGACUUUCAUAUUUUUCAAAGCCUUGUAAAACUCUUAUUUCUCAGCUUUAGGCAUUCCAAAACAAGUAGAAUGCAAUAAGGGCUUGUCAUUAGAAAGCAACUUCUAAUGAAGGUUAGGGUGAAUCCCUAGGUCAACUAGCUCAAGUCAACUAUUUAAGUCAUCUUCUUUAUUCACAUUGAGAAUUGUCCUGAUAAAAUUUUCACAAACAUUCUUCUUUGUAUGCAUCACAUCAAGGUUAUGACAUAAUAAAUUAUAUUCCUAAUAAGGCAACUUAAAAAACAUCUUUUUUUUUUCCACAACUUGAACUCAUUGGGGUCAUCUUCUUCAUUUUUCUCCUCAUCACUUUAAAUAUUAGCAUCACCAACUUGAGUAAUAGGAGGUCGGGCACCUUCAAAGAUCUCCCUCACUCUUUUCUUUGAUUAAGUUAUUUUUCCAUAAGUGAAAUUGAUAUCUUUUAACUUUGACAAGAUAUCAGACCCAAUAAUUGGUAAGGGUGCUCUCCUCUACUUUUCAGUUCCAUCAAAGAAAUGUUUUUAGAAUUUAAAUUAACGAUAAUCAUUUAACCAUCGAUGAUGUGCUAUAUAACUAAACUUCUUAUCAUUAUGUAACCACUUCGAACAUGUCUACAUAGCACAACAUGGACUGGCAUAAUGACCUUUUGUGCUCUAACCAAAUAAAUUCGCAUAAGCUAAAAAAUCAUCAAUAGUCCAUAAUAAAGUAGCACACAUAAUAAAGUUCUUUUUUUUUAUGCAUAAUAAGUCUUAACUCCUUCCCAUAAUUGUUUUAACUCUUUAAUAAGACAUUGCAAGUAUAUGUCUAUAUCAUUACUCAAACCUUUCUCCCUAAGAAUUAUAAUAGACAAGAUAAAUUAUUAUUAUUUCUUGGUAAUCCAUGGUGGUAAAUUGUAUGAAACCAAUACAAUAGGCCAAUUACUCUAAAAGUACUCAUCAUUUUGAAUAGGUUGAAUCCGUUAGAUGUGAGUCCAAAGCAUAACAUUUUGGAGGAACAGAAGUAAAGUUUGGAAACCUAGAGUAAAAUGAUUUCCAUGCUAAAGAAUCAAUAGAAUGCCUGGAUGAUCUAUCAUGCAUUUGCUCCUCAUAAUGCCACCUCAUAGAAUCUGCAGUUUUGAAAGACAUGAAGAAUCGUUGAAGUCUUAGUAUUAAUGAAAAAUAUCGUCGAAUCUUUACAGGUUUUUUGUUGACAUGAACUUCAUCAUCACCUUCAUUUAACUUUUCAUCGGGAUUUGUGUCCAACCAAUGACAAUUACCACACACAUGAUAAGAUUCUUGAUUUUUUUUCUAUCACCCCAAUACCAUAUGUAAUCAUUAGGACAAUUAUGAAUUUUCUCAUAUCUAAGACCUAAAUCCUUGGUCAUCUUUUUUGAAUCCUUACAAGAUUCAAGGACUUCUACAAAAAGAAAUAUUUCUUUCAUAAACUCCAAUAAUAAAGUCAAAGAGUUUUCUGACCAUCGACAUAAGCAUUUCAAGUGAUAAAGACACACAUAAAAAGCUAACCUUUAAUGGUUAGAUCCCUCAUAAAGUUCUUCAUUCAUAUCCUCAAGUAACCUAUAAAACUUUGAUGUUUUUCCACUAGGUUGUUGGUCACCUACACCUAUCCUAUGUUCACCAAAUUCAUUCAUUUCAACAUUAGACUCAUUAAAUCCAUCAUUUUGGGGAGAUGGAUUAUGACAAUGUUGGUUAUGAAUAUUGAAAGCAUCUCGUAACAUGCCUUCAAUGUCAUCUUGUCUAAUAGAAUCAAGUUGGUGUUGGAGAGCCCUUAAAGUUGAAGAAACUCUAGUUGAUGACCUUGACGGUACAAACUCUCCAUGAAAAUACCAAUUAACAUAUUUCAAGAGAAAUCUAAUGCAAAUUAAAUGUUCUAAAAUAACUUUAUAGAUUUGCUAAUUGAUAUUAGCACACCUCAAACAUGGGCAUAAUCAUAUUAUCUUCACUUGCAUUCUUAAAUGUAAAAUUAAGAAAAAUUUUCACUCCAUCUCGAUAUUCUUGACUUAAUCUUGAUUUUUGCAACUAACUCUCAUCCAUUUAAUACUUGUUACAUUAUCAAACCAAAAUUAUAUAAUUAAAUUAUAUGAAAGCAAAUUGUAACAUACUUAAUUAUACUAAGUAUUAAACCAAAAUAAUAACAAGAGAAUAUCAGAGAUAACCUAUUACAAUGCAAAAAUUUUAAAAAAAAGAACCUAUUACAUAACAUGCAUUGAUAUCAUGUUUCUUAAACAAUGCAAAAAAGGAAUAGAGUAAUAUUAAAAAAAAAAUUGUACAAUUUUUUAAUUGAUUCAUACAUCUAGAAAACUAUAGUGUAAUAGAGGAAGAUUAUGUAUGUGGAAAAUACUUUACGUUGCAAUAUUCACAAAUGACUUUAGAUGUUUUUUUUUUUGUUCUCUAUCUUUUGUUAUAGAUGGUUUUCAUACAUAAUGAAUCCUUUCAAGCAAGAUUAAGUCAUUUCAUCAAACACCAUAACCUACAAAAACAAACAAAACAAAUACCAAGAUGAGAUGAGAAAAUAUUAGGUAACAAUAAAGUCUAGGCAAAAUAUUUUCAUCAAAAAAUUAGUUCAAGUAAGUUUAUUUAUAUUGAGCUUAGUUAUUAUAAUAACAAAAACUAAUAAAAAAAAUAAAGAGUUCCACUAAAACAUCAAACAUCCAUAAUAUGAACAUUACACAUUUUAUAGAUCAUUCUAAUAAUUCUAAUACUUGUUAGAAUAAGCAAUUGAAAAUUCAUUCUAAUAAUUUUAAUUUUAUCCAAAGUUAAUUAUUAAAUAAAGGAUGGAUAAAGUCAUAGUAUUGGCUAGAUCAUAUUUAUAACACUAUUUUUCAAAAAAAAAAAUUAACCUUUUAAUUUCACUGUGCGAUUCGAUUUUAAAUAGUAAUUUCAAUUUUAGUAUAAUAUAUUUUUAUUUUUAAUAUUUGUAAUUAUAAAGAUUGAAUUUUAAUCCCAAAACCAAAAGUAUAAUGAGUUAUGCAUAUCAUGAUUCUAUGUAGUUCAUUGUUAUAAAUUGUAUGUUAAUAUAUUUAAUGUGAUUCAUUUAUUUAGAAUUAUCUAAAAAAUUUUGAAAUACUUAUGUUUGAAAAUUAGAAAAAGAUAAAGUAAAGAUUUCUUGUUUGACUAACCAAUACAUAAUUUAAUAAUUAAUACCUAAUUAAGAGUAACCAAUUACUACUAUAAUAGGAAAGCCAUAUAAAACUGGAAGCUCAUCACUUGGGAGAGGAAUCCACUUUGUAACUUUCUGAGGCAAUUUGAUUCUAUAUGCAUUAUGCAAAAUAUAACCACCGCAAAUAUAAUAUUGACUUUGGUACUCGGUUUUUGUUUCAAGUACAAAGGAUAAAUUCAAUUUUUUUUUGUGUGGUGAUUGAAGGGGCAUCAAUCUUUCUUGAUAGUUAGUGUGAUUGUGUCUAAAACCAUAAAAAAAUAAAACUUGAAGCUUAUAAUAUAGUGCUUUCUAAUUAAAGUCAUUCUAAUUUAAAAUCCAUAAGAUGUGCCCACAGUCUUUUUUAUCUUCUAAACUAUAAAUUAUUCCUCACAAAAAAAGAGUUUUGAGGAUUGUUGCUCCAUUUGUAGAUAAUAUGGUGUAGUUAUAAAUUUAAGUUAAGUUGGUAUCAUCACUCGGUUUAGGCACCAAAGCAUAUCUUAACACAACAAAUAAAUUUAAAAGAUUAAUUGUUAUCAUUGAUAAUUUGUUAAAAAAAUGUUAAACCCUUAAUUUUAAUAAUUAUAAUUCAUAUUACAAUUUGAAAUAAAAAAAUUAGUUAAGUAACCUAAAACUACUAAAGUCCUUGUAUAACCUUUCAUUAUAAAAAUUUUCUCAUAAUUAUCUUUAAAAAAUUCUCACAGAAAGUUAGUACUUUUAAUGUUACACACUUUAGCAUUUAAAAAAAAAAAAGUUUGGGAGAGUAAAGGUAGUAUAAUGUUCUACUUCUAUAUAAAGUUUUUACAAAAGAAAAUUUGAAACUAAAUGGUUGACUGUAAUUUAAAAUGCAAACUCCAAAGAAUAAAAGGCACUGGGUAGCCAUUUCUUAAUUAUCCUUUGAUCAUACUCUAGUACUCCUAAUUAUUUCUUCUAAUUAUUAUUUUAUGUAAUUGAUGUUUAUGCUUUCUGAACACGAUUUUCUUUCACCAGAAUUUUCCAAAAACACUUACCUAUCCUAUGAAAAUUCGAAAACAACAAGUAAUAUUUACUCAUUUUAUUAUAAAAUAAAUUACAUGAACUCUCAAGGGUUGAAUUACAAUUAGAUAUUGUAUAAUACUACAAAAAUUUUGCUAUAUUGCGAGAAUUUGGAAGAAGAAAAUUGAAAUGAAAAAAAGGUACAUUAGAGAUAUAAGGAAAUAUUCAUUUAGAUGUCAAAUAAGUCCCUAAGCCAUGAAUAUGCUUCAAAUAGAUCUUAACUUUUAAUUUUUAUAUUAUCUUUAUCUUUGUACAAGUUUAUCUUUAGACCUUGUAAGAAUUUUUUUCUAAAUUAUGAUUUAAAAAAAAAGACAAAAAAAAAAGAAAAACUAAUUGUAGAAAACCAAAAAUUUGCAAAGGACAAUUGGUCCCAAACCCAUCAUGAGGUAGUUGAAAUGUUAAAUUUCUAAUCAGAUUGCUGAGUUUUCUAUAUUAUUCUAAAAACCCAAACUUUUUCCAGACCCAUUUUCCUUCACCAUUUCUCUCAUUGCAAAUGUUUAUAAACUAGUACUAUUGCAGCACUGUUGCAACUAAACUUACCCCUUAUACAAUCACACAUCACAUCCCUUCAAGUCUCAAACACUCAGUUUAAGCAAUAAGCAAAUACUUGGUCAUCAAAAAAUUUACAAUCCAGUUUAAAGAUUAAAUGCAACUAACAGAUAAAUUGAUUACCUACAUCCAAAAUUAUAAUUCAAUAGAAACUGAAUAAAAUCCAAAGCUAGAUAAUUUACCAAUGUUCAUAAGCAAAAAACAAACAUUAUAUGAAAUAGAAAAAACAACAAACUUAAUUUUAAAAGAAAAAAAAGGGGGAACCCAGAAAGGGAAAAGAGAAAAUACCUUAAACCAAUCAAAACUUAAAAGUUGAUAGCUUUGAAAUUUGAAUGCAUAAAAAGCAUUAUUCCACUCCCAAAGUUAAAUGUGGUGAUAAGCCCCCCAAAAGAUAAAGAUUUGAAAAACUUAGAAAGAAACAAAGGAUAUGUUUUUUGAGAUUUGAAGAAGAAAGGCAAAGAAGAAAAAAAGGAAAUAUGUAGAAGGAAUGAGGACUUUCUCGCACUCCUAAACUUCCUUUUAAUUUUAGAUUUGAAAAAGAAGGGAUUUUUUUGGCCUUUUAAAUUUUUUUUGUUUUGUUGUUGGUUCCCCUUGAAUUUAGAGAAAUGAAAGACAAAUUAAUGAAAUUGAAAAGGAAAUAGAAUGAAAAAGAAAUGGAAAUAAAAAUGAAAUAAUCAGGGUAUGUGAAAAGGGGGAAAUGAAAUAGAAAACAAUUUGGGGACUUAAUUGAAUAGAUGAUUUUGGGGAAAAUUUAGCAGCAUUUUUUGUUACAAACACCACUAAAUGAUGUACAGUAUCGGUGUUUACAAAACAAAAAGGCCUCUAAAUUUGAGCAAAUAAUGGCAUUUAUAAGGACAAAUGCUAAUAAAUGUUCUAAAUUUCAAUUUCAAUUUCCCAAAAAAUUUCAAUUAAAUCAAUUUUUAUAAUUUCAUUUACGGCAUUUUAGUAUACAAAUGCCACUAAUUUUAUUAGUUAGUGAUGUUUUGAGGAACAAACGUCACUAAUAGCUUCUAAUUAGUGGCGUUUUAUGUUACAAAUGCCACUAUAUGUAUAUUUAAUGACAUUUACAAUAAAAAUGCUGCUAAGUUCGUAAAAAUAGAAUUUAGCGGCAUUUGUUGAAAAAUGCCAUUAAAAAACUACCAUUAAAUACCCAUUUUCUUGUAGUGAUUCCAAAAGAAAAAGACCAAUCUUGAAGAAAUGUUACAAGCCCAACAAAACACCAUCCAAAGUUAACCACCCUCCAUAAAGAUCCAAAUACGGCAACUAGCAAAUGGCUUAGCAAACUGGCUUGUCGGGUCUUUAGUAAGCAACACUGAGUCGAACCCUAAAAAGCAAGUAAAAUGAGUGUACAAUGCAAUAUUUUCAAGAGGGAAACCCAUCUAUUUAUCAGAUGAUGGCUUUAAAGAUGAGCUAGUAGAGAUAAAUUGGUCUAACUUUGUUAAAACCUAAGAGGAGUUGUUUGUUGAAGAAGAGCUUGAAAAAGACCCUGAAGAGGAAGAUUUGCAAGGAGAAGAGUUACAAGAAGUGAAGAUGAAAGAGGAGGAAGAUGACAUAGAAAAGUUAUUACAAGUGGGAAAAGCAAUUCAAGAAGUUUUGAUCCUACCAUGGAGAAGUAAGAAAAAGGUCAUAAAGCGAAAAUAAUGAAGUUAACUCCAAAAAUGUCCACAAUCAAAAGGACAAUGGAAAUAGCUCACCAACCCUAAAAUCUAAAUGGAAAGAGGUACUCAAAGAGUUAAAUGGAACCAUUUUUUAUAAUGAAUGUAGUUUACUACUUCAACAAUUCUUGCCAAUCAAGUUAGAUGAUGUUGAGAGUUUCUACAUUCCUUGUUCAAUUGGUCUUUUAAAAUUUAAUGAAGCUUUAAGUGAUCUAGGUUCAAGUUUAAAUCUAAUGUCUGUGAACAUUUUUAUGCAGCUUAGAGUUGAGGCAGUGAAACCUUCAACUUUUGGCAUUAAAUUUGCUGAUCGAUCUAUAAAGUGACCUCAAGAAAUCUUGGAAAAUGUUUGGUAAAAGUGGGUAAGAUUGCUUUCCUAGGUGAUUUUGUAGUACUUGACAUGGUUGAAAAUGAAGCUCCCAUUCCACUAGGUAGAUUCUUUUUAUUGAUUGCAAGAGCUUUAAUAGAUGUUUAUAAUUUUGAAGUAACCUUAAGAUUUAGAGAUGAGAGGAUUAUUUUUAAAACUUAUGGACAAGGCAUCUUUAGGAAAGAAAGAACGGUACAAGGAGUGUUACGCAUAUAGGAGAAAGAAAAAUCAACUCAUAGGAAGUCCACUAGUUCAACCAAAGUAACUCUAAAACCUUAUGUAGCAAGCUCAAAAAGCCCUAUUCCAGCAACUCAUUCCAUCUAUGUGUUACCUAUGAAAAGGAAAAACCCAACUAUAAAACCCAAUUUUGUUUAUGAAAUACCAGCAAAAAAGAAACAACAAAGGAAAAUCCCACUAAAAGGGAUAGUAGUUUCUAGAUCUUUAGGUUUGGUCUAGCCUGACCAAAACUAGUGCUGCUUGAAAAGCAACCCCAAUUUUAUUUUAGUUGUUGAUGCUUUAGUUAUUUAUUUGGUUAGAAUAGGUUUACCUUGAUCUUAUUUUGUUUUGUUUUGUUUUAGGAAUAAUAAUGGAGAAAUGAUGAAUAAUGGAGCCCAAACUAUUCAACCUCAAGAAACAAAAAAAGGAAAUUUUCUUGUACCCAAAAUUCUUAACUCUUUCAAUUGAAAUGCUAUACAAUUUAAGUGUGGGGGAAGGAAAAUUUUUGUGCUAAAAUAUUUUCAACAUUUUUCAAACCAAGUUGUUAUGCCUUUUCUCAUCAUGUUGCAAUCUUAGUUGACUUUUCACAAGUGUUCAUAAAUGAGUUAUGUAUGAUCUUGAAACAAGUAUGAGCAUAGUGAAAGACAUGAAAUGAAAUCAUAAGUAUGCUAUUUGUGGGAUUGUGAAUUGUCAUCUUGGUCUUUGACAUGCAUGAAUCUUUGUAAAAAGUUAUGUGACUAUAAAAUUGUAUAUAGACUUGAGGCAUAAGCAUGACUUUAGAAUUUGCCUACUCACCCUUGAGGUGAAAUCCUAGGCUGUACUUGACUUAAGAAAUGAUUUAGACCAUCAAUGGAUCAUUUGAGCUUUUUUCAAGCCCACCAUGAAUAAAUCAUCCUUAGUACCUUUACUUUGAGCCUAAUAAAUCCUUUUUAUUGUUUAUUUAGCUAUAUCAAAUAAGCCCAAGCCUUUUCUUACGAAUUAUCUCUUUUUCUUACCCAACCCAAUUACUUAUGUAUAUUAGGGACAAGAUAAGAGAACAAAUCAUAUUAGGGAGGCAAGGAGGCACAAAGAAGAAAAAAAACCAAAAUGACUAAAAAAAGAGAAAAAAAAAAAAGGAGAAAAAGCUGAAAAUGACUAAAUGAAAGAAAAAAAAUGCCUCAAGCCUUGUCAAAGUUUUCAAGUCCAAGUUUAAGUAAGCAAAGGGUUCUAAGCCUAAAAUUUUCUUUUUGCUACCUUAACCCAAGCCUUACAUUACAAGCUCAUAAAGACCUAUUGAUUUUGAGUAAAGUAUGUAAGCCUACAUUAGUGGAGAGGGAUUAAGAAAGUAAACAUAUGAAGUAUGUUUGAUUCUUUAUUUGAUAUGUGAUGGCAUGGUAUACAUACUUUUUGCUUAGGCUGCAUGCAUGGAUUAGAGAUAAUAUGAUUUCACAUGUUUGAAAGUGGCAAGUAUUUAUGAUUAAGUUUUAUUUCUAACCACGUUCCUAACUAUCUUGAUAUUAUACCAUAGUGCAUGGUCGAUAACUUGUGAAAUUUUGAUUAUGAUUGCAUUUAUGUGAGUGUUGGCAUUAAUAACCUAAGGAUUUUAUUUGAAGACAAGCAAAAAGAUAAGUGUGGGGGUGUGAUAACCUUAGGAUUUAUAGAAAUUUACAUAUCAUUUGAGAGUUAAAAUUUUAAAAUUUUUCAUGAUUUUUGCUCAAUAAUGAUGUAAAUUGGUGAUGUUCAGGUUUGCAUAGAGAAAUUUAUUACUUUGAAGUCAACACCAAAUCCUAUGCAACCUAUGUGAAGGUGGCAAAGUGAAGUUAUGAAUGCAAAGAUAUGAUUCCUGCAAGGUGACAAGCAAAUCUAGUCCAUUAAGAAUCCAUGAAGAUCCAAAAGAUAUUCUGCCAUUUGCUAGAAUGAAUGCAAUAGUGAAUUGUGUGAUCUCCUAAUAAAUUCCAUGAUUCAUUCAAAAUCAAGGAGAUAUGGUAUUUUAAUAAUUAUUUGCUAAAUCACACAAAUCAUGGAAUUUAAUACUUGUGAGAAUGCUUUCUUGGAUUGCAAAUUAGGGGAAACAAUGGCUUACAUGCAAAUAAUGAAUUAUUGGAGAAUCCCAUGAUUUAUGUAAAUCAAGGAAAUUAGGUCUUAAAUGCUGAUUUACUGAUGGUUGACCAAAAUCCCUUCUUGGAUAGCAAAUUAUGUGUGGCAAUGGUAUUGAAGGCAAGAGCAAGGUUAGGAUCAACCACAUUCAUGGAUAAUUCCUCAAUUAGUGGAAAUGUAAUUGAUUACCUACCAAAGUCAAGAGUGUCCAAAUUUAUCCCCUAUUGGCCGAAACAUACACUAUAAAUAGGCCAUGAAUUUCUCUUAUAAUGGAUGCCCAUCCUCCAUCCUUUUUUCCAUUUUUCUUUCUUUAUUUUAUUUUUAGUUUUCUUUAGUUAUUUUGUUCUAUUUCCCUUUCAACUUAACCUGUACUUUUGUUAACAUUGUUUUAAUAUUAAGUCUCUUUUAUAUUUUGCACAAUCUCUCUUUUAUUUAGUUUAAAGCAAGCAAAUUGUUUUCUCUUAAUCUCCCUUAAACACUCUUGUUUACUUUCUAAAGCUUUUGGUUUGUUUAUUAAUGCACUUAAUAUGGUUUUGUUUCACUUACAAUUCCCUUAAAAGCAUUCUGUUUUCACUUUUUAAACUUGUAAUCAUAUUUAUUUCUUUGAAACACAUUCGAUGAUUCCCUUUUUGCAUUUUAAAGCAUUUGGUUCAUAGUUUAUUUUUGCACAUAUAUUUUCUUUUACUUUGUUCCAUUUUGUUUUACUUAAAGCAUUCUAUUUUACUUUUUAUAUUGCAAACACUUUUGUUCUUUGGCUAACUUCCAUUUUCUUGUUAAACCAUUUGGUUCUCUUAAUAUUCUAGUUAUUUCAAGUCCGUUUUCCUUUGCUUUGAUCCAAUCAACCUACACCAUUGCUAGCAAGACUCCUAUUUUGUUUAGCUUGGUUCUUUGUACCUUUACAUAAUUAAGUCUCGAUUUGGUCUUUUCUUUAUUCCAAAUAUUUGGCGAUCUAGAUAUAAAGUUAAAAGGCAUACUUUCAAUACUUGAUCUAGGAACAUUAUAUAGUCCUCAUGGGAUCAAAAACUCUAUUCACUACUUAUUACUUGAUAGCAACCUGUGCACCUGAUGUAUGCUGAUUGGAAUAAAAGCUAAAGAAAACAUAAUUAAAUAAACUAGAAUACUUAAAGGAGAACCAAGUGGCUUAAUUAAGAAAAUGGAAGUUGGCGCAAUGAACAAAAAGUGUUAAUGUAAUAUUCAAAAAGUAAACAAAAUGCUUUAAGUAAAACAAAAUGGAACAAAGUAAAAGAAAAUCAAUUUACAAAAAAUAAACUAUGAACCAAAUGCUUUAAGAUGCCCAAAGGGAAUGGCCGAAUGUGCUUCAAAGAAAUAAAUAUGAUUACAAGUUUAAAAAGUGAAAAUAAAAUGCUUUUAAAGGAAUUGUAAGUGAACCAAAACCAGAUUAAGUGUAAUAAUAAACAAACCGAAAGUUAUAGAAAGUAAACAAGAGUGCUUAAAGGAGAUUAAUAAAAACAGUUUGCUUGCUUUAAACUAAAUAAAAGAGAGAUAGUGCAAAAUGUAAAAGUGACUUAAUAUUUAAACAAAGUUAACAAAAGUAAAGGUUAAGCUGCCACCUUAGCCAAAAGGGAAAAAAAAUAACUAAAGAAAAAAAAAAUAAACUAAAGAAAGAAAAAUGGAUAAAGGGAUGGGAAAAGGGGAUUGAGGAUGGGCAUCUAGUAAAAGAGAAAUUCAUGACCUAUUUAUAGUGUAUGUUUCGGCUAAAGGGGGAUGAAUUUGGACACUCUUCACUUCGGUAAUUAAUCAUUUACAUUUCCACUAAUUGAGGGAUUAUCCAUGAAUGUGAUUGAUCCUAAUCUUGCUAUUGCCUUCAAUACCAAUGUUACCCAUAAUUUACUAUCUAAGAAAGAAAUUUGGUCAACCAUAAGCAAAUCAACAUUUAAGACCCAAUUUCCUUGAUUUGCAUAAAUCAUGGGAUUCUCAAAUAAUUUACUCUUUGCAUUUAAACUAUUGUUUCCUAUAAUUUGCAAUCCAAGAGAGCAUUUAUCAUGUAUUAAAUUUCAUGAUUUGUGUGAUCUAACAAAUCAUCAAUAAAAUGGCAUAUCUCCUUGAUUUUGCAUGAAUCAUGGAAUUCAUUAGGAGAUCACAAAAUUUACUCUUACAUUCAUUCUAGCAAAUUGCAGAAUAUCUUUUGAUCUCCAUAGGUUCUUGAUAGGCUGGACUUACUUGUCACCUUGGUAUGGAUCAUAUCUUUACAUUCAUGACCUUGCUUUGCCACAUUCGGAUGGAUUGCAUGGGAUUUGGUGUUAACAUUCAAAGUAAUAAAUUUUGCCAUGCAAACUAGAAAAUCACCAAUUUACAUCAUUAUUGAGAAAAAAUCAUGAGAAAUUUCAAAUUUGUAACUCCCAAAUUAUAUGUAAAUAUCUAUAAAUCCUAAGGUUAUCAACAAGUAUCAAUUUAAUAGUUUAGGUAUAUUCAAUCUUUAUGAAAAAUUUGUAAUUGAACUAAUUAAUCUAAAGUCUAAUAAAAUUAACAAAUAAAUUAAACUUGAAUUACUACCAAUUAUGGAAAGCAAAGACCUAAAAAGGAAAUUUACUAAAAAGGGCAUUACCAAAAUUUUUUUUCUAAAAGUAGAAAGUUACAAAUCUAAAAUUAAACUAAGCAAAAUUAAAGCAUGAAAUAAAAUUUCUAUUAAAAAGAGUGAGUGAUAGAAAACACAACCUUGAGCAGCAAAUUAAAACAAAAAUAAACCUAACGGAAUAAAAAAAAAAAAGAAAAUUAGCAAUUUUAAUUUAAAACUAAUCUAAGUAAAUUCCUAACCUAACCUAAGUUGCAUGAAAAGUGUAAAACAAAAAUUAAAAGUAAAAUUGACAUGGAAAUGCAUGGAGUGAUGUCUUAAAAAUAAAAAUUAAAGACUACCCAAAAGCUAAACUAAAAUCUUAAUGCAAACCCAUCAAUUUUCAUUGAGGCAUUUUACCAAAGACCUAAUGUACUACAUGUAACUAACCUAAAUUCUAAAGCAUGUGACCAAAGUUAAACCUAAACUAAUGUAAAUGAAAAUGACAUGGAAAAAUAUUGAGCAAAACACCUAAAAUAAAUAAAAAUGCUAAAAUAACUAAAUGAAGCUAAAAUGCAAACUAGGUUACUUUACCGAAUGAAAAUGUGACCUAUGUAACUUAAGAUAGAUUGAAAAUAGGGCAUAAAAUCUCUCGGACACUACAUGCAAAAUCAAACCAAAUUGGGUAGAAAAAUACAAUAAAAAAGUGAACUAGAAAAUGCACAUACAUGCAAACUAUAGUCUAAAAUGCUAUGCAAAUGUAAUCUAACCUAAAGGCUCUAUAAAAACUAGGUAACUACUUGAAAAACUAUAGUUAAAAAUGAAUCAAAAUGAUGCAUGUGAACAAGUUCAAAAAACCAAAAAAUACAAAAAAUUUAAGUUCAAAUCAAAACACUAGAAUGCAAAAAAACUAAGACCUAUGAGCUAAGAUGCUUGGUAAAUGUAACCCUAUUUAAAGAAUUUGUAAAAAGUAUUUCACCACCUUAAAAUAGGCAUGAAAUAAAAAAAAAUUAGGUAAACAUGUCUUAAAACUGACUGCACAUGACUAGAAAAAAAAAAGCUCAAAAUGUAGUAGAAACUUUAACCUAAGGUAUUGUCCUAAUGAGCUAAAUACAACCAAAACUAAACCUAGCUACAUGAAACAUGAAAAUCUAGAAUAUAACCUCAAAAUAGACUAAAAAAUGAAGAGAGCAUACUGAAGUGACUUUAUUGCAAAAAGUGAACAAAAAGCCAUGAAAGCACCCCCCAAAACCAUACAACCAUAUGUAAGAGAAAAGGAAAAUAAAUGCAAUGCAAGUAUAGAAAAUGCAAGGACCUAAAUUAACAUGAAGCCAUGGUAAAAAAGCAUGAAAAUAAAUUAAAAUGGCAAGUAAAUAGCAACCAAAACAAGAUCAAUAAGUAAUAUAAACAAAAGCUAGUAGAAUUUUUAUGGCAUAGAAAAUAACUUGCAAGAAAAAUAAAGGCAUACAAUGAGUCAAGCUCUUGGAGCCCUAUGAUGUUUCUAUGUAUAUAGGGUAGGGACAAUCAAGAAUGAAAAUAAAAAAUAAGGUCUAAAUUUAUUAAUAUGUGUACUUAACAAAAAAAAGCCAAUAUAAGGCUUAAAUAGGGUGACUAUGGAUAUAUGUAUUAAGGUUGGCUUGAAAGGCUCAAAUGAUCCAAAGAUGGCCUAAGUCAUUUCUCUAAUUCAAUGUAGCGUAGAAUUUUUCCCUUAAAAGUGAUCAAAUAAAUUCUAGAACAUAGGCACAACUUAAAAAAUAAAAUGCAAUUCCUUUGAUUAGUGUAAACAAUCACUGAAUGACAUGUGAUUCAAUGAUCAUAACAUAAACCCAUAAAUGAAAGCUAAUGUUCAAAUGUCAACAAAUUCUAAAAUUCAUCUCAUGCUUCACACAAGUUUCUUGUUUUCUUAAAGCUAUAAUCAAAGUCAAUCAUGUUUUCUAUUAUAGGAUUAAUAACAAUCAAACAAGGGAAGCAUACUAAAGACUCAUAGCAACAGUCAAUUAAGCCUAAGUUCAAAAUUUUUUUUUAAAAUUUAAAAAAUUUGGCUCAAAUUUUCCUACCCUCAAACUUAAAAUGCACAUUGUCUUCAAUGUGUAGGCAUAUAUAAAGCACAAGAGGUGAAGAAUACUCCAUUUAUUGGCUAAGGCUUUUCAUUGAAGUUCUCAUGAUCAACUUUUAUUUUUCCUAGGAAAAAGAAUAAAACAAAACAAAAGCGAUAAAUUGAAAUGAGAAAAAUAAACACAUAAUAUAAAGAAAACAACUAAAAAGGAAAACUUAGGUUGCCCUACAAGAAACACUAACUUAUGGUCUAUAACUUAACAUCUCAUCAAAUUUAAAUACGAUAAAAAAUGGCCAUAGUUAUUACACCACACUUGAUUCCAACUUUCAACCAUUUAAUCAUCUCUCUUUUCAUAACCUUAUCCAUGAGAGGCUCGAUGUUAGGUUGGAGCAUGUCAGCAAAUGGUGUGAUGGUGGUAGUGGAAAGUAGGCCAUGAAAAAUCUUACAUCUCCUAUCUGAAAGACUAAGAUAUAUGGGUUUCAAUUUCAGUACUAAGGUUAAUGGUGUCUUCAUGACCAUCACAUAAGUGAAAAAAGUUAAAGAAGAGGGAGUGGAUACCUCAUAAUGAGACUUAAAAGAAAUAAAAGUAUUUGGGAACAACUGGAUGACAUCUAAUCUCACCAUGUCGCCACCCUCCUUAUUUGGCACCUUUUUCGCACUUGUAUCAAGCAAAAAUGCAUCAAUUUCUUCUCCUAUCGUUGAAGCUUUUCCUUGACAUUCCCAUGAUUGGCUUUUAUUUUUCCUAGGAACAAAACAAGACAAAACAAAAGUGAUUAAUUGAAAUGAGAAAAAUAAACACAUAACACAAAAAAAAAAAAAGGAAAACUUGAUUUGCCUUAAAAGAAGCACUGAAUUAUGGUCUAUAGCUCAACAUUUCAUCAAACUCAAAUAUGAUCAAAAGUGACCUUAGUGAUUACACCAUACUUGAUUCCAAUUUCCAACCUUUUGAUCAUCUUUCUCUUCACAACCUCAUUUAUGAAAGGUUUGAUGGUAGGUUAGAGCAUGUCAGCGGGUGAUGUGAUAGUGGUGGUGGAAACUAGGCCACUAAAAAUCUCAUGUCUUCUUUUCAAAGGAAUAAGAUAUAUGGGUUUCGAUUUCAGCACUAGGGUCAAUGGUGUCUCCAUACCAUCUUAUGAGCAAAAAGUUUCAAGAAAGAAAAAGUGGGUACCUCAUGGUGGGACUUUGAAGAAAUAAAGGUAUUUGGGAGUAAUUGGGUGACCUCUAAUCUUAACAUGUCACCACCCUUCUCAUUUGGCACCUUUUUUAUGCUUGAAUCAAGCAAAAAUGCAUCAAUUUCUUCUCCUAUUACCUAUGUUCUUAUAGGCAUCCUUUGCAAAUCAUCCUCAUUAUCUAACUACCAUUAUAGGAACUCAUCAAUGACAUCAUCCUCAAGUAUUGGGCAUGGUGUCUCUUCUUUAAAAAAUUCAUCAAUCAACUCAUCAAUCAACAUCCCAACCCUAACCUUAUUAAUGAACAUGCAAUCAUCGGUACUCUCAGGAGAGUUAUUAGGCUUAUAAACUCUAAAUUUUUCUUUUUUUAUUAUCCACCUUCAUAGUAAGUUCCCCUUUCUUAGCAUCGAUGAUCACACCCUUUGUGGCUACAAAUGAUCAUCCAAAAAUGAUAAGUAUCUUGAUGUUCUCCUCUAUUUCUAAAACCACAAAAUCAGUAGAGAGGUAAAAUUUAUCAACCUUAACUAGAACAUCCUCCAACACUCCAUUGGGAUACUUGAUGGACUUAUCGGUAAGCUGAAUAGUGAUAGUGGUGGGCCUAAUCUCACCGAGGCUAAUUAUCUAAAAAUCGAUAAGGUAAUGAGAUUAAUGUUGGUUCCUAAGUCACAAAGUUUCCUAUUAAAGAAUAGUCACCCUAUGGUGCAAAGAAUAGUGAACUAAAUAGGGUCCCUAAGCUUUGGUGGGAUCUUGCUUUGAAUUAUGGCACUAUAUUCCUCACUAAGUGUCAUAGUCUUAUGAUCGACCAACUUAUGCUUUUUUGCCAAAUUUUCCUUCAUGAUUCGAGUGUAGAUAGGCAUAUACUCCAAAGCAUUCACAAAGGGAAUGCUAAUAUGUAACUUUUUAAAUAUCUCUAAAAAUUUUUAAAAUUACUAAUCUAAAGUUUGCUAAUGUUAGAAUUUUUUAGGGAAUGGAAUGGGUGGCUUAUAAGGAUUUAGAGUGGUAGCAUUAGGCCUAGAUGAAAUAUUAGCAUCAGUACUAGUGGAUUAAAUGACUGCAUUCUCUACCUUCUUCCUUUUUUUCAUCUCAUUUUCCUUGGGCUUUUUUUGCACUACAGUAAGCUUUAUGGGUAAAUCUAUGAUAGUGGUCCUAUCAGUGCCUCUAGUAUCUCUUUACCGCUCCUAAGGUAGAUCACCUUGGAGUGUUCUUUUUCGUUCCUUCUUAGAUUAACUUCAGUGUUGCUAUGAAGGGCACCUUGCAUAAAAGUGUUGAAAGCACUAGCAAUCUACCCCAUUUGCACCUUUAAGUUCUGAAUAACAGCUUUUCUAACUUUGAAGGGUAGCAGAUUACCCUUGAUGAGAUUAGCUUAAUUCAUCAGCAUGUUGUUCUGGUUCUAAAAAAUGGAAGAAAACAUUUUUUGAAAGAAUUUUCUUUUCUUAAGGUGUGUGAAGGUGUAAGGGUAUUAAGGCAAUGAUUGUUGACAAAAACCAAGAGGGUACUGAGGUUUAGAGCUAAAGGAUUGGCCCUAAGUGUUUAUGCAUGAAAGGUGCGAGUGGUUAUUCCAACUAAGGUUAUAUGUAGAGGAGUAAAGAUUGUUUUGUUACCUACUAGCCUAAGUAAUGGAAUGGAUAGGCUCUAUCUUAAUAAGACAACAAUCCAUUAAAUGACCACCUCUACACAUCUCGUAACUUGAAAAGUGAUUAAUGGAAUGGAUUGGGUUCUGAGUAUGGCUGGAUCCUAAGCAUCCAUUUUCUUAGUUAGAGCUAUUUUAUGGGUAGUAAGAGAAGUGAUGGUAUCAAUCUCAUACAUGUUGGUGGGUUUUCGAAGGUUUUGCCUCUCAGAUGUCCACUAGUAAUGGUUCAUGGCCAUCUUCUUAAUCAACUCAUAUACUUUUUCAAUAGAUUUGCUCAUAAGAGCUUCACUAACAAUAGCAUCUAUAAUGAGUCAGUGGUGUCCCAAAAAUCCAUUAUAAAACAUUUGAAUCUCAAGCCAUGGUGGAAGACUAUAAUGGCAAAACCUCCUAAGUAACUCCUUAUACCUCUCACAUGCCUCAUACAGAUUUAGACUUUGCUGGGAGAAGUUAGUAAUGUUGUUAUUCAUUUUUACUAUCUUUGUAAGGGGAAGAACUUUGCCAUGAACUUAUGCACCAAAUCAUCCUAUGUGGUGAUCGAUUUAGGAGACACAGAGGUAAGUCAACUCUUAGACCUAUCUCUUAAGGAAAAAAGAACAACCAAAGAUAAAUGGCCUCAUCAGAAAUACCAUUGUGCUUAAAGGUUUCACCAAUUUUGCAGAAGUUUCAAAGAAAGGCAUUUAGGUCCUCACUAGCUAGGCCCCCAAAUUGGAUAGAUCUCUGAAUCAUUUAAAUGGUAGCAGGCUUACUUUUAAAGAUAUUUGCUUGGAUUGCUAGCCUUCUAAUAGUAGCUCGAAAGCCAUCAAUGUUAGGCAUAGCGUAAUCUUACAAAAUUCGUUGAUCAGGUGGGUUGGCCAUGAUUUGGGUAGGGGUAGAAUUACCUAAUCUUUUUCUCGUGAGGGUUUGAAGCCCUUUUUCUAUUUUUGGGUCCAAAAGAAGAAGUUCAAGGCUCAUAGUCUUACGUAUGAACCAACCAUUAAGUCUUAGGGCAAUAGAGAAAAUGCACGAAAAGUAAAAAUACUAAACUGAAAAUAAAAAUAUUUACAAAAAUAUCAGACUACAUCUGAACAUAUCUUUACUGAUAUUAACUCUAGCCUAAAUGCGCCAAAUCCUAAGCAAUGGCACCAAAAAUUUAUUGCUUCCUUUAGGAGUAUCGUAAGUGUAUAGGUAGCAAAAAGUAAUAAAGUUAGAAGUAUUCUAGAUAUAGUCUCUUUAGGGAUUUGGAAAGUCCAAUCCUAGGGGUAAGUACUAAUUUUAACAAUUCAAGUAUAUCCAAUCUUAUGAAAAAUUUCUAAGUGAACCAAUUAACCUAAAAUUAAUCUAAUAAAAUUACUAAAUAAAUUAAACCUAAAUUACUACAAAUUAUGGAAACCAAGGACCUAAAAAUGAAAUUUACUAAAAAGGGUAGUUAAAAAAAAAUUGAAAUGUUACUAAAAAUAUAAAUUUAUAAAUCUAAAAUUAAACUAAGCAUAAUUAAAGCAUGAAAUAAAAUUUCCAUUAAAAAGAGUAGCGUGAUAGAAAAUAGAACCUAGAGCAGCAAAUUAAAACUAAAAAUAACCCUAAUAGAAUAUAAAAAAAUAGCAUUUUUAAUUUAAAAUUAAUCUAAGUAAAUUCCUAACCUAGCCUAAGAUGCGUCAAAAAAUGUACAAAAAAAUUAAAAAAUAAAUUGAUAUGGAAUGCAUGGAAUGAUGUCAUAAAAAAAGAAUUAAAAACUACCAAAAAGCUAAACUAAAAUCUUAAUGCAAAGCCAUCAAUUUUCAUUGAGGCAUUUUAUUGAAUAUCUAAUGUACUAUGCGCAAACUCUUAAAUUACCUAACCUAAAUUCUAAGACAUGCAACUAGAAUUAAACCUAAGCUAACCUAAAUGUAAAUAGCAUGGAAAAAUGUUGAGCAAAGAACCUAAAUAAAUAAAAAAGCUAAAAUACCUAUAUGAAGCUAAAAUGCUAACUAGCAUACUUUAUUGAAUGAAAAUAUAACCUAAAUGAAUGCAACCCUAAAUGUGACCUAAGUAACCUAACAUAAACUCAAAAUAGGGCCUUAAACCUCUAGGACACUGCAUGCAAAAUUGAAUCAAAUGAGGCAGAAAAAUAUCAUACAAAAUUGAACUAGAAAAUGCACACAACAUGCAACCUAUGGUUUAAAAUGCUAUGGAAAUGUAAUAUAACCUAAACAUUCUAUAAAACCUUGGCUCACUAUCUUAAAAUAGACUUAAAAAUGAACAAAAUGAUGCAUUUGAACAAGUUCAAAAAUUGACCAAAAAAUACAGAAAAAUAAAGUUCAAAUCAAAACACUAGAAUGCAAGGGAUUUAAUCUAUGAAAUAAGAUGCUAGGUAAAUGUGACCCUACCUAAGGAAUUUGUAAAAAUUGUUACACCACCUUAAAAUUGACAUGAAAAAAAAGAAAAAAAAAGUGCAAUUGAAUGUGUCCUAAAACUGAUGCAAAUGACUUAAAAAAUGCACAAAAUAUAGCAUGAAAUCUAACCUAAGCUACUAUCUUAAUGAGCUAAUUGCAACCAAAACUAAACCUAUCUAGAUGCAACAUGAAAAUAUAGAAUACAAUCUCAAAAUAGACUAAAAAAUGAAGAGAAUAUACAUAAGUGACCUACUACAAAAAGUGAACAAGACACCAUGAAAUCGCCCCUCAAAACCAUACAAUCACAUGCAAAAGAAAAGGAAAAUAAAUGCAAUGCAAAUACAAAAAAUACAAGGACCUCAACUAACAUGAAACCAUGUAAAAUAGCUUGAAAAUAAAUUAAAGUCGUAAGCAAAUAGCAACCGAAACAAGAUCAAUAAGUAAAACAAACAAGGGCUAGUAGAAUUUUUAUGGCAUAGAAAAUAACUUGCAAUGAAAAAUAAAGGCAUACAAUGAGUCAAGCUCUUAGAACCCUAUGCUAUUUCCAUCAAACUAGCUGCGAAGGCUAUCCAUUUUAAGCUUUAAAGAGCUUCAAACACAUAUAAACAGGCUAGAAGAAUAAAGUAAAUUGACACUAGUGGUGCAUAAGAAAAAGAAAACUAGGUAGAAAAUAAAGCAAGCAACAAACUUGAAAAUAAAAUAAAAUAAAAAGAAUCAAGUCCUUUUAUGCCCCCAUGAAAGGUCUCCCAAGCUAAGGUCACCUUAGACUAUCCUUUGCUUACAAAUAUAAGCUUAAAUAAGGAACAAAACAAAGCUGGAAAUGAAAGAAAAUAAAGCAAAAAAAAAAAAAAAAGAACUGAAAAUGCAACCUUCAUUGAUAAAAUCUUUAAAUAAACAAGAGUAGCCUCUUAAUGUAAGUUUAAUACAAGAAAAAAAACUUGAAAGCAUAAGGAAACUAACUUAAAACAUGAAAAAUUAAAAAAAUGAAGCCUACAAACUAGAGCAAGAUGGCAAGGUUGUUGCUUUGCUAAUGGCGUAAACUACAAAGAAAAGAGAAAACUCAAGUUAAAAAUCCAAGAUAGGCUCAGCUCUGUUUUCGUCCCCCUUCCACUCAAACAUGUUCCCCCUUCUUUGCACAUGUUUCCUUCUGAGUUCUAUAGUAAAAAAUUCUUUCAAAAACAUAAAAAAAUCAAAAAACAAAGCUAUGAAAAAAUCUAGUAGCACUGGAUAAUAAAAUUGGCAUUGACAUGAUGGUUGCCUCUUUUCAUGGAGUUAAUGGUCUUAAAUGUUAAGCUUCUUGUUCCCUACUAUCAUUUAAUAAGAAAGGAAGACAAUUUCGAGUUAGCUUUAAAAAUUCAACUUAAAAUAUCCCUUCAAAACCAUGACUUUUGGUAGUACAUGUUUUUUUCCAUAUAGCUUAUUCAUGCGCCAAGAAAGUACUCUUUUCUUGGACAUUCUAAAAACAUGGCUUUGUAUUGGCUUGUGGUUUUGUUAGCCUUUUUAAGGCUUUUUUAAAGUCAAGAAUUAAUCUUUUACAUCCAUAUACAGGUUAUGCUUGCCUAUCAAGCUCAAUCAAAUUAAGCAACUUUGAAAUCAACCAAAAUGCACACUCCCAAGCCUUAUAAGACUGUGAUUGCUUUAGGAUUUUGCUUUAAUUUUCUUUUUCUUCAAAUUUUACCUAUAAAAUGAGCAUUUCACUACUACCCAAUGUCGCUUAAGUUUAACUUCAUUUAAGCACAUUUAAUAGCUUUAAGUUUUACAAGAAUUAACCCAAAAAAAAGCCUAUAAUUGAUGCCAUUGUUGCCUUGUUCUCUUCAAGUCUUUGGCUAGCAUUUUUUUUUUUUUUGGUAUUCAAUUAGGCCUCCAUAUUGAGCUUUUUAAUUCAACCAUUUUCCCAUGAAUUUACCUUUUCAAAUGUAUUUUCAAUUUAAUUUACCUAAAUUUUCAAUUUUCCUACAAUUAGGACAACUAGCACAUUUAAAUAGAAAUUGAUUAAAUCAAGCAAAAAUCAAGCAUAAAAAUGUUAUAAUUUACUGUAAAACCUUAUGAUAAUUCUACAAAAAAUAGAAUUAUCAUCUCUUAGUCCUAUAAAUAUACCAACCAUAGAAUAACAAUACAUAAAAGAAGCAGAUAAAAAGCAAGCAUAAAAACAAUAAAGUAGUAAAUAGAUAAAAAAAACUUAAAGAAGUUACCAAAAAAAAUAUUUAGAAGAAAUAAAAGAUUAGAUUAUGCCCUAGCUUGUAUGCGACCAAUAUUAACCCUAAACUAAAUUGCCAACCCUCAAUAAUGGCACCAAAAACUUAAUAUAAUUUUCUAGCCUAUUACAAGAGAUAAGUGAUACAAGCAAUAUAGGAAGAAGUAUUAGAGUAUUGUCUACAUAGGUAUUGGGUGCUAGACUUAGGGCUAAGUAUCAUUUCUACACCUAUGGUAUAUCUGGUCAAACCAAAAAUUUUAUUUUUUUAGUUAAUCCUACAUGAAGUUAAAAAUUAAAAUUACCAAAUAUUUAAAACCUAAUUACUACAAAUUAUGAAAAAUUAACUUUAGCUAAAAAGGUGAAGCUUACAAAAUAGAAAGUACUGAACAUGUAAAAUUGCUAAAAAUAGUAAAAUUCUAAAGUAGCAAAUCUAAAUAAAAAUUAACCUUAAAUCAUGUUACCGUAAUUUAUAACUAAAUACAAAAAUUAAACUAACAUAAGCUAAAUUUCGUGAACAAGAAUUAAUGGAAUUGUAAAAACAUGAAUUAAAACUAAACCUAAAAGCUAUACAAGUAAGCAAACAAUAAGGCAAAAAUUACUAAGGCAUUAAGUAGAACUUAACAUGAUUCAAACUAAAAAUUAAACAUUAUGGCAUAAAAAUUUAAAUGCUGAAAAUUAAAAAAAAAAAAAAGAGAAUUCAACCUACAAGUAAAUAAGCCUAAGUUCUUACAUGACCUAUUGCUACUUUAACAUGCAUGAAAUGUAAAUGAAUAUAAAAAAAAUGGUUUCACAAAUGUAAAAUAGACCUAAAGUGUAAUGUUUAACCUAUAGAAAACUACAUGCAAUAUAGAACCUAAAUGGAAGCAAAAUGGCAUGCAAAAACUAAACUAAAAAAAUGCAAGUAAAUGCUACCUACGACCUAAAAUGAUGAGAAAAUAUGAACUAACCUAAAGGAAUUGUAAAAUAUGGGUUCAUUACUUUAAAAUAGACUUGAAAACAACCAAAAAGGUGUAGGUGAACAUUUUCAAAAAAAACCAAAAUCGACAGAAAACAGUGAACAAGAUUGGCAAAGAAAUCUAACCUACACUAAUGAUUUAAUAAGAUGAAAGCUAGCAAAACUAGAAAUUCCUACAUACAACAUGAAAACCAAGAGCACAACAUCAAACUAGACUUAAAGAUGGACAAAACAUAUAUAGUAACUCAAAACAAAAACUGAAGAAAAACCUCUUGAAAAUAUGUAUGAAAUGAAAGUCCUAUGUCUAAGGCAUUUCAUCAAACAUGUAAUAAACACCUAAGCAUGAUUAUUAACAUAAUAAAGGCAUAAAAAAGUGUAAAAAACAACAAAAAUUAAAAGGUAGAAUGUAAAAACUGAGUAGAAACUUAAAUGAACAUGAAACAUAGUGUAGUAAAUAAACAUACAAUGAGUCAAGCUCGUGGAAGCUUAUGAUGUUUCCAUCAAACUAGCAUCCAAGGUCAUCCCUCUCAAGCAUUAAAGAGCUCUAAAUGCAUGUAAUAAAGCUAGAAAAAUAAAUGGAACUUAAGGCUUUAAACAGAAAAUUAAAAUUGGUAGUAGUGAAAAGAAGUUAAACUAGCAUUUAACAAAGGUAAGAAAAAAUACAAAGUUUAAAGGUUGCAAGGAAAUGUAUAUAAAACCAACAAAAAAAGAACUUGAAGAACAAUAAAAUGGCUAAGAAAAUAACUAAGAAAGCAAAUAAAAUAUAGCUUCAAUGGAGGUUUGAUCGUCUUACAAGAAUGUUGCCAUCAAACAUGGAUGCUUGAAGGAAACAUAAAAAAAAUAAAAAAAAUGAAAAAACUCUUAAGAGUAGCUAUUGGCUUCCUAUUAAUAGGGAAAUUUGGGGACUCUUCUAGCUGAUCAGUGUUCCAAAAUGCUCAAUCUUUGCCUUUAAAAAAGCUAGCUCAAAGAAGGAAGAUUUUGGUUUGUUAUAGAGGUUUCUAGGUCCUGGUUGUUGAGCUAGAAUUGCUAGUUGUCUUCUCUACCAUGUGAGGCUUAUUUAGUUAAUCCAGUGGUAGUUCUUGAAGAAUCCAUGUGUGAGUUGAGUUGUCUUCUUUUUUUAGCUUCAAAGGUUGUAUCUUGAGCUAUCUAAGUGGAAAAUAGCUGGCCAUAAAUCAAGACAAAGCUGUUAGAUUCGAUUUAGCUGGGGGAGGCUGCAUCUUUGAAGUGUAUUAGUAGCCCAUGUGAAGCUCACCACUUGUCCCAUUCAUAUUUCACAUUUUUCCCACUUUACUAGUAACCUAAGCACCCAAAAGCCAUGUCAUUUACAACUUGGAGAAGUCUUUGUCACGUGUGAUGCUCUUUUAUUUUUGUUGUGAUCCUUGUUCUAUCCUUUUGGCCAAUGAGAGAGUCUUUUAUUACCACAUCAUCAUUGAAUUUUCCAGCCCUCAAAUUUCUUCUAGAAACCUCAAAUAACAACAACUAAAAAUUCUCAAAUUCAACUCCCUUAGGUUUGGCUAGCAUGUAGUGCAUAUACAUUCAUCAUGCUGCUUGUGCAUCUACUUUAGUGCUAUUAUGGUGCCAAUCUCCACUUUUCAUUUCUUUGACUUGAUCAAGGUUAAAAUAAAUAAAUAAAAUAGUGCUUAAUGACCUUGAUUCUCAUCUUUAAAUUAUUGACCAACACAAAUCACAAAAUACACAAGUUUAGGGGAAUUUGCAAAUAUUUACUAAAUAACAAGCUUAAAUUAAGUCUAGAAUGAUAAAUUUUGUACAAUAAAGCUUAGGAUAAUUCUUUAAAAUAUAGAAUUAUCAAGCAACCCAACAGUAGCUAUCCAAUACUUUGAACUUGCAUUUAAUAAAGGUAAGAAAAAAUACAAAGUUUAAAAGUUUAAAAGAUGACCUUGAUUCUCAUCUUUAAAUUAUUGACCUACAUAAAUCACAAAACACAAAAGUUUAAGAGAAUUUGCAAAAAAUUGCUAAAGAACAAGCUUAAAUUAAGUCUAGAAUGGUAAAAUUCGUACAAUAAAGCUUAGGAUAAUUUUAUAAAAUAUAGAAUUAUUAGGUAGCCCACUAGCAGCUGUCUAAUACUUUAAAUGCCUUGGGGGAAGUGACAAAAGACACUAUAAGCAUCCUCUAGAGAAAGCUUGAAAAGUUCAAGGCCCAAGUUAGUAUGUUACAAUUGGUUGUGGCUAGGUCUACCUCUAGCCUAACAAAUAAGGAAAGAGGGCCAAGGUGCCAAAACCUCAACGUUAUGAGAAGGUAAGAGAUGACAAAGAGCUUGAGAAUUUCUUGUUUGAUAUGGAGUAGUACUUUCAAGCUAUUCACAUAGAAUUAAAGGAGGAUAAAGUUGCAAUGACCACAAUUUAUCAUUAGGCCAUGGUAGACACUAGUGUGACCAAUACCUUUAUCACAACAGAAGAACCUAAGAACUAUGGUCUUACAAUUAACAAGGACUAAGAGAAAAUGAAAGUAGUGGAUUCGCCAACAUUUGCAAUCAAUGAAAGCUCCAAAAAUGUGAUAACCUAGCUCAAGCCAAGGGAAGAAGGCAUAAACUUUACAAUUUCCCCUACGAACAACUUUGAUGUUAUUUUAGGAUUAAACUUUAUAAGUUUGGCUCCAGUGAUCCCCAUCCCCACUGUUAAAUGUUUGCUAUUCAUGAGAGAACAUAUGUGUGUAGUUUUAACUAUGAUCUUCCUUAAGAGUACGAAGAAAAUUAUCUCAAUGUUAUGGUAUAAGAAAUGAGAGAAGAAAGGGAAGCCCUCAUAUAUGGUUAGGCCGAUUUAUAAGGGUGACAUAGGUUGAAACCAGUGUCUGAUAGGUGAUAAAAGUGUUGGAAGAGUCUAAGAGUGUAAUGCUAGAGCCAUUGAAUGAGGUCUUAGUACCUCGAAGAUCAAUAGACCAUGAUAAUAAACUUCUCCCAAGAGUGAAUACUUCAACCAAGGGUCCUUAUUGCAUGGCUCCACUUGAGUUGGUUGAACUAAGAAAACAAUUAGAUAAGCUAUUGAUAUUCAUUUCUGCAAGUGCAUAAAUCGUAAGUGAAAUAAGAAUUAACCUAAACUAAUGAUACGUAGAAACAAAAUUAAAGUGUAAGAAGAGUAAGCUAAACUAAUGUAGGAGUUAAGUAACCAUUCGAUCACUAUACCUAAUAUUAACCAAACUAUACCUAAACUACAUGAAAGUGACAAUUAAUCAAAACUAAAUUCCUACAAUAUGAGCAAGAAAAUAGAAAAAUAGAAAUUAGACAACAUUGAACUAAACUAGAGUGUAACAAAGUAAAUUGCAAUGUUAAACCGAAUCAACAAACUAGUAUCUUUAAUAAAAAUUUAAAUCACCUAAUCAACUAAAAUAUAGCAAUUAAAAAACAUGAGAACUAACUAGAAUUAAUAGCAUUGAUUAAAAUUGAAUUUACUUACAAUAACCUAAUUUAGAUCUAAAAACAAAAUUCAACUCAUAUCAAUAAUUGUCACAAACAAGUGGAUCAAAUCAAAAGAUUGAGAUAAUUAAAAGUAAAGUGCAUGUAAUCUAAAGUGCAAAGUAAGAAAUUAGUGAACAAAAAUUUGCUAGAAAGUAAAAAUCACAAGCUCAAGGUAAUAAGCAAAACUGUAAUAAGUAAAUCAACACUCAAAUUGAACCAAAACAUCCUUCAUACUUAAUUUGUUAGUAUACUCAUUGACUUGGUGGCUUGGAAUUCUUUAAUUUUCUUCUUGAAGGCUCGUAGGUCAUCCCACUUGACUAGAUACUCAUAGAUUGGCCUUUGAAAAAGUCUUGUUAGUCUAUCUACUAGAAUUUCAUCUACUUUAGUUCUUAUGGUGACCUCAUAUUGAUGAUGGGCCUAGUGGCCUUAUUGCUAUUUUCAUCUGAUAAACUGGCGUGAUAAGGCUUUAAGUUUCUCACUUGAAACACUGGAUGCACUUUCAUCCAUUUUUUUAAGGUUAAUCUUGUACAAGGCAUUCCCUACUUUGGAAAAGAUAGUCAUUGGAUCUUCAUACUUGUGCACCAACCUACAAUCUGGCUUUUAUUAGAACUUAGGUUGCUUGGGCACUGGCCUGACAAACAUCGUUUAUCAAUCUUGAAAUGUUAUGCCUUUUCACCUUUAUCUACCCAUUUUUUCAUGCACUUUAAUGCCUUCAACAAGUAUACUUGAGCAAUCUCUAUGUUCUACCUCCACUCUUUUAAAGCCAACCUAAAUGUUAAUUCAUCCGUAGUCACAUUCUUUUUGCCUAAUGAUAUUUUUUCUUUGUUAUGAAACAACAUAAUGAACCUAAGCCUUGUUUUUUUAUGACUAUAAAAAUUAGCAUUUUUUAAGGUCAUUUUUGUCCUAAAAUUUUGAAAUUUUUGGUGAUCUUUUUUAAAGUCCUAACAUUUUGUCCUUUAUUGUGCUCAAAUUCUUGUUUUUAGGUAUACAUGAAGAAUUUGAAAAUUUCUAGUUAAUUUGGACAAAAAAUGCUUAGAAGCUUGCAUGGUUUGAAUAAAGUGAAGAAUCUAAGCAAAGGUGAUGGACAAGCAUUUGGCCAAAGACCAAAUAAGCCCAUAUGUGCAACCAACCAUCCAUGCUCUCAAAAGCCUAAGAGCAUUUGACCAUGCAUGCAAAAGGAAAAUAGAAAUUUCAAAUUCAAAAAUGAUGCAAAGGUGACAAGUCCUAGAGUGAUCAAUCUUACAUUUAAGGCCGGACCAAGAAGACCUAAACCAUGUAUGAAUAACCAGCCAAGACAAGAAAGAUGAGUGCAUAAAGAGUCUUUCAAAUUUUAAAAGCAGUUUAAGCUCAAGUGAAAUAAAUUAAGAAAGAUUAGGAAAUUAAUUCAAAAGUGGUCUAAUCCCCUCUCUCUCUCUCCAUCUAAAAUUCAAAUAAAAGUGACAUGGUAUGGACACACAAGCAAGGGAUGGCUAGAUGGACCAAUCACCUUUAAGAACUAAGCGAUGAAAUCGGCCACAUGGACCUCCCUCUUAAUUGAAAAUUUGCAAGUGCACAGAAUCAUAUCAAGUAAUAAUAAUGAUAAGCAAAGUUCUUUCCCACAAAAGACUUUAAUAAAGAGAAUUAAGUACCAAAAUUAAACACUUUUAACUAUAUUUAGAAAAUAAAAAAUUAAAGUAAAUAAAAAACUAAUAUGCAAAACCAAAAUAAAUAAACUAAAUCAAAAUUAAAUAACUUAAAUCUAAUGUAGAAUUAUGCAAGUAAACUAAUGUAGUAGCUAUAAUUUAAAUGUAGAACAAUUUUUAAGAUUGCUAAAACAAAAAAUUAAACCUAAAUUAUAUGCAAAAAAAUUAAAUAGUGCAAAACUUUUUUUGCAGUAGCUAAAAUAGUGAAUAAGAAUUAACUACAAUGCAAAACAAUGAAAUUGAACAACCUUAAAUUAAUUCUAAGAUAUGUAGUAGCUAAAAAAGAAUUAAUGUAGCAAAAUCAUACCUAAACGAUGAAUUAAAAACUGAGACUCUCAAAAAACUAUAAUGCAAUCUUAAAACAACUUAGAUUAAAUCGAAAUUCAAAUGAAACUUAAAUUGCAUGAACACAAAUUAAAAGAGAUUGAAUAGGAAUAAAAACAACAAGAAAGUAAAAGUACAAGAAUCAAAAUUGUUUUAAAAAAAUUUAAAGACAUUGGAAAACUUAAAAUACCUAAAAAAACAAGAAAGAACACUAAAGAUAAAUUGGUAUGUCAUCAUAACCAUUAUAUGUCCUUUCCCUAAACAAAAUAUAGUUAUUUAUGGGUAAAGAAUCCUAAGGGUUGUACUCUCGAUAAAGUAUAGAAUACUUUUUCAAUUUGGAGUAGAGUUCUUGAAUGAAAGAUGACUUAUUAGAGAGUUCUUGUUGAUUUCGAUAUCUUGGGUCAAAAUAAAAUUUAAAUUUUGUUCUAUUUCUUCCAUGCAAUCUCAUGAUAUCCUAUACAUUUUAACUCCAAAAUCUAGCCAAUUGCCUCAUAACUCUUCUUUUUCAAAUUUUUGAAAAAUUUUCCUAUACAUGCACAAAUUAAACAAAUUAAAGAGGGAAAUUAAAUUAUUUUACCAAGAACUAAGCAAAAAUCAUAAUAUUAAGCACAAAAAUGACUUUAUUUUAUAGAGUUAUCAAAACUUCAAACUUGAAUUUUUGCUUGUCCUCAAGCAAAAUAAAUCUAAGUUAAAGUAGAAAAUAACAUGAUAGAUAUUAUGAUACAUACUACCAUUAAUCAGAUUCUCAUAAGGUCCUAAAAAAUUGCAUAAUGAAUAUAACUUAGAGAAAAUAAUAAACAUAGAUUAAACAUUAGAUUCAUUCAAGAGUAAGCUCCCUUUCAAUUGCAAAUUUUCAUGUGUGAAUAGUUGAUCUCAUAUCAAUGCAAGUCAUUCAAUUAAAGUUAUGCAAAAAUGAAAUUAACGCAGAAUCUUAAAAGCAUGCACAAAUUUCAUAAGUUUGCUUUUCACAUACUUUCUCGGCUAAUGUAGCCAUACUUAACCAAUGAUCAAUAAGUCUUUAUCAAGCUUGUGAUGUUAGUCUACGAUUAAGGUUGGAUAAAGGAAAUAUUUAGGUUCAUAACCUACACGCAUGCUUUAUUUAUUAUCUUUUUUUUCUUACAAAAGAGUUUUCAAGAGAAUUGUACACCCCCAAACUUAUAUUCUUCUUUCUUUGUAGCUUUCAUCUUUUUCACAAUCUUUCUUUUUCACUUUCCUUUUUUUUUUUUACUUUUCAUCUUUUUCAAAAUUUUUUUCUUUGAUUGUUUUUAAAUUUUCACAAUAGAAUUCAAGCAACUUUAUGAUUUUAAGUUGUUUGUAACUUUUGCUUGCUUUCUUUUUCUUUUCAAAUUGCAGCUAUCUUUUUCAAUGUAAGAUAGCUCUUAUAUUGAUUUGAUCCUCAUGCACAUAGGGUAAGGUAGGAAGAUAAAGAUAAUAAAUCAAAGAGUGACUAUUCAUGUAAGUUAAAACAAAGAAAGGAUAUAUAAUAAGCUUAAAAGGCAUGACUAAGGAUAUUCAUAAUAAAGGUAAGCUUGAGAGGCUUAUACGAUCCAAAAAUGGCCUAAAUCAUCUCCCUACUUAAUUGUGAUCUAGGAUUUCAUCUUAAAAUAUGCUCAAACAAAGAUUAAUGCAAUCCCAUAUCGACAUAAAUCUUAACUAAACAUAUGUGCAUCUCAAUAUUCAAGACUAACUACUAAAGAAUGUGAAAAUAUUACCAUUAAAAAAAAAACAAAAUCCAAAAAUCAUCUCAUACUUUUACUAUAUUAAUUCUUUUAUAAUAAGCUAUAUUCAAAGUCAAUCAAAGUUCGUCAUUGGAUUGUGACAAAAUAAACAAAAGAAGAAACAUAAUUAUUCUAAGCAUGACAAUUUAAACUCAAAAACUAAAAAUUUAAAAUAAUUUUGAAAAAAAAAAUUGGCACAAAUUUUCUCUCCCUUAACUUGAAUGACACAUUGUCCUCAAUAUGUAAAAAUAAAACAAUAAAGCAUAUAAGGGAAAAAAAGAUACUCCUCUAAUUGACUAAGAACCAAUUAUGGAAUUUGUAGGAAUUAUCUUUAUGGUGCUGCAUAUUAUUUUAGCUUCCUUGUUCCUACAAAAGCAAAAGUAAACAAAGCAAGCAUUAUCUAUUCCUAAUAAAAACCAAAAUAAUAAAACUAAUUCUAAGUAUGCAAAGCUAAAAAUCAAAACUUGGGUUGCCUCUCAAGUAGUGCUAGUUUAUAGUCAAGCUUGACUAUUUUGAAAAAUUCAUUCAUUUAAAUUCUCCAUACCCUUUUUUGUAGAUCCAUCUAUCCAUCUCAUCAUUUUUUUUCACAAUCUCAAUUAUUGGAUGAUGCUCUAAUAAGUUGGGUAAGCUUAUCUCAACAAACGCAAUUUUCUUGCACACAUUUUCUUUCAUUUUUUUGGCUAGUAUUACAUAAGGAGAAUGUACUUGUAAUUUCAUACUAGUUAUCCUAUCUUUUUUCCAUGAUUUUGUAUCCUUCACUUUUUUUUUCUUUUUUGCUGUACUCCUAUAAGUUGGAUUUGACUUUACUAUCGUAAGCUUAUUUUUCACCAACUUUGCAUCUUCAUUUAAGAUUUUUUUCAAACCAAUUUUUUUUUUUCACAACAAGAUCACCAAUCUUAAAUACAAUGUUUCUUUCUUGAAAUCUCAAGAUUAGAUCCAUAUUGUAAACAUUAACUAAUGAUCUUAAAGUUGCAAAAAAUGGCCUUUCAAGGAUAAUAAAAGCUUCCUUAUCAUUAGCUAUAUCAAGCAUCAUAAAAUCAACAAGGAAAGCAUAUUUAUCCAUUUUCACCAAAACAUUUUCUACCACUCCCUUUAUAUAUUUCAUAGAUCUCUCAGUUAGUUGAAGGUAUGUGCUUGAAAGCUUUAACUCUCCAAUACUAAGCUACAUAAAAAUAGAAAAAGGCAUUAGAUUUAUGCUUGAUUCUAAAUCACACAAAGCUUCAUCAAAGAAAAUAAAACCAAUAAAAAAAUGAACAGAAAAACUUCCUAGAUCAUUAAGCUUGGUGGGCAAAUUUCUUUGAAGUAAAGUGCCACACUCCUCAGCAAGUGUAACUUUGUUUUUGCUUGUGUAGUGACAUUAAAUAAUAACCUAUUUAGAAUGGACAUUUUAAGAGUUAGCUUCAUUUUUUUCUUUUCUUUUUCUUCUUGAAAUUUAAAAUUAACAGCUUUUUUUAUAAAAACUAAAUUCUCAAUUUUAGCUUUUUUUUUAUAUCUUCUUGUUUCUCAUCAUCAAUCAUGACUUUUUCUUCUUUUUUAAUUUUCAUUCUCCUUCAAUAGUGUUAAAUCCUCUUUUUUCAUAAGAUCUUCUUAAAUUACUUCAUCCCCAUCCACUAAACCCUCAUAUCCAAUAGGAUCCUUUUCCACUGCCUUCAAAAACCUAGUCAUCUCCACCAUAAUGUGCUCCUCCAUGAUAUCAUCAUUAUCAUAAUCAUAAUCAUAAUCAUAAUCCACCCUAUGUAACCCUUAUUCCUUUGAUGAAUCAAUAAUACUACAUUUUUCGUUACCUUGCCUUCUUGGAUUGACUUUAUGUUACUUGGCAAGGUGCCUUGAGGACGGUUACUUAAAGCAUUAGCUAAUUGACCCAUUUGUAACUCAAGGUUCCUUAUGGAACCUGUUUAAUUUUAAAUGGUGGUUGUUUAGUUUUGAAGGAUUUGGUUAAACAUCUCCUCCAAAGAUUAUUUCUUUUCUUGGAAUGGUGGAAAAGGUUGGUAUUAUAAAGGUGGUGGUUGAAAACUAGGGGGUAAAAGGGUUUGAAAUUUGAAUUUGAAGUUUCACCUUAGUUGCCCCAUGAAAAGUUUGGGUGGUGUUUCCAACCUUCAUUAUAGGUGUUACUAUAUGGAUUAUAUUAUUGCUUGGAUGAAGUAACAUAUUGGACAGGUUUUUCUCUGAUGGGACACCUUUCUAAGGCAUUGUUCCCCCUACAAUUUUCACAUAAGAUGAAAAUGCUUUCUAUGGCUUGAACUAGGUUGGGCAAAAAGUUGGUUCCUAAGUUUUGAAUUUUUUUGGCUAAAGCAAAAACUUGGGAAGUAAGGGUAGUAAAUGCAUCAAGCUCAAAAACCCUAACUAAUGUUUUAGAUACUAACCUUUCAUUGCCAUCUCUUUAAUCAAAUUGUAGGCCUCAUAAAUGCAUUUACUCAUCAAAGUUCCACCAUUAGUAGCAUUAAUUGUGGUUCUAGUUUCCCUCACUAACCCAUUAUAAAAAUUUUGAACUUGUAACCACUUGGGUAAACCAUGGUGUGGGCAUCUCCUCAAAAGCUCCUUAUAUCUCUCCCAUGCAUUAAAUAAAGAUUUUGCCUCAAAUUGUUUAAAAGAAGUGAUAUUAUUUUUCAUCUUGGUUGUUUUAGGAGGAAAGAAUUUUACUAAGAACUUUUGGACUACAUCAUCCCAUGUAGUGAUAAAGCGAGGAGGAAGAGACAUAAGCUAGCAUUUUGCCUUAUCCUUGAGAGAAAAAGGAAAUAAUUUUAGUCUUAUGGCAUCAUCAGUAACACUAUUUUACUUGAAAGUAUCACAUACUUCUAAAAAUUAGUUAAACAAAAAUUAGGGUCAUUACUAGGUUACCCACAUAAUUGAACUGAAUUUUGGAUCAUGUUUACGAUGGAUGGCUUCAAUUCAAAAUUAUAAGCAUGAAUGGUCGGCCUACUAAUGCUCGAUGGAAAGCCAUUUAAUUGUGGGGUAGCACAGUCCUUGAGUGUUUAGCCAUAGAAGGAUGAAGAGUUGCUUGCAUUUUACAUUUUUUUACCUUUUUUAGAGUUCUCUCUAUUUCCUUAUCUAAGGACAUUAAACUAGACCUCUUAGAUCUUGGCAAGCAAAUCAAACAAGUAUUAAACAGAUUAAAACAAGAAAACAAACUCCAAGCUACAAGAAAGAUGAUUAGUAUCAAUAUUGAAACAACUUCAACAAUCCCCGAUAAUGGUGCUAAAAAUUUGAUUGAAAAAUCACAAGUGCACAAAAUCAUAUCAAGUAAUAAAGUGAUAAGCAAAAUUCAUUCCCACAAAGACUUUAAUAGAGAGAAUUAAAUACCAAAAUUGAACACUUUUAUCUAUAUUCAGAAAACUGAAAAUUAAAGCAGCUACUAAACUAAUAUGCAAAACCAAAAUAAAUAAACUAAAUAAAAAUUAAAUGACUUAAAUCUAAUGCAAAAUUGUGUAUGUAAACCAAUGUAGUAGUUAUAAUUAAUGUGUAGAAUAAUUCUUUUAAGAGUGCUAAAAUAGAAAAUUAAACCUGAAUUAUAUGCAAAAAAAUUAAAUGGUGCAAAAAAUUUAUGCAGUAGCUAAAAUAUUGAAUAAGAAUUAACUAUACUACAAAACAAUCAUAUUGAACAAACUUAAAUUAAUUCUAAGACAUGUAGUAGUUAAAACAAGAAUUAAUGGAGCAAAAUUAGACCUAAACAAUGAACUAAAAACUGAAACUGUCAAAGAACUAUAAUGCAAUCCUAAAACAACUAAGAUUAAACCAAAAUUCAAGCGAAAAUUAAAUUGCAUAAAGACAAAUUAAAAGAGCUUGAAUAGGAAUUAAAACAAACUUGAAAUUAAAUUGCAAGAAAGUAAAAGUGCAAGAAUGAAAAUUAUUUAAAGAAAAUUUAAAGAUAACUGGAAAACUUUAAAAAACUAAAAGAACAAGAAAGCUGAAGAACACUAAAGAUAAAUUGGUUGUCACCCUAACCAUUAUAUGUCCUUUCCCUAAAGAAAAUACAACUAUUUAUAGAUAGAGAAUCCUAAGGGUUGUAGUCUUGAUAGAGAGUGGAAUAUGUCUUCAAUUUGGAAUAGAGUUCUAAAAUGAAAGAUGAUUUCUUGGAAAGAUCUUGUUGAUUUCUAUCUCUUAGUUCAAAAUAGAAUUUUAAUUAUGUUUUGUUCUUCCAUGCAAUCUCAUGAUAUCAUAUGCAUUUUAACUCCAAAUUCUAGCCAAAUUGCCUCAAAAUUUAUUUUUUUUCAAUUUUCUAAAAUUUUUCUUACAUAUGUAAAAAUUAAUCAAAUUAAAGAGGGAAAUUAAAUUAUUUUACCAAGAAAUAAGCAAAAUUCAUAAAAUUAAGUACUAAAAAUAACUCUACUUUAUAGAGUUAUCACCUCUCUCCUAGUCGUUAUUUGAGUCUCAUUAGAACUAGAAAGCUUUUUGAAUUUAAAUGUAUUUUAGCUGGAAUAAACUAUCUAGGUUCAUCCCCCUAGCCUGGAUGUUCACCUAUAAACAUCCUUACUUUCAAGAGGAAAAACACACCUUUCUAUACUUUUCCUUAACAAAUUUUCUUAUUUUUCUUAGUUUAGGUUUGGCUGGGUGACAAACUACCUUUAAAUCUUUGUUUUCAAGCUUUCUUUAAUUUUAAUUCAAGUUAUUUUAAGUUCUUUUCAAAACUUUCUUUAAACUUUAUACAAGUUAAUUUCAAACUUUCAUUUCCAAGUUUCCCUAAUUUACUUUCAUAAUGCCUUUUCGAAUUUUUAUUUCUUGCUUUUACUCUCUAUUUAAUUAUUGCAACAUUUUCCAUGCUAUGUUCCAUUUCUACAUUCGACCAACUCAAAUGCUAGAAUUGAUCAUCUUGUGAAGCACUCCAACCAACCUUUAAAUCAUCAUUCUAUUUGAUUUUCUUCACAUAAGUUCAUCUUAGCACCAUUUGUCUAUGGUAGCUUUUGGCUAUUUUCUAGCCACUUUGCUUUCCAUUCAUGGUUUAUGCAUUAAUUACAACUUCAUUUACUUUAUGCAAGCAAUUUUAUUUUAUGUUCAUGCUAAAGCAUAUAUUUUUCCAUGUUGUUUACCAUUUGGCCUAGUAGUAUAUUGUUCAUUCAUUCUUAAGUAUAUUUUAAGCAUUUUUUAGUUAUCAUAUGCCAUCGCUAAUUACUUGCUUUGCACUUAAUCCUCUAUCUCUUUGUUUCAUGCAAGUUUAACUUGGUUAUUCAUCUAAGCCUUAGACCAUACCAUUUAGCCUCUUUUAGUUCAUCUCAUUUAAUUGUUAUGCUCUUACAUUUUUUAGGUUAGACAAUUACUUUUAUAUCUUUCAUUGCCAUUUCAUUUCUUCUUGCUUUAAUUCUUGUUGCAAGCACCAAUCAACCUCAUUUGCAUAAUGUUAAUAUAAGGAUAAAAGAAUCAAUUUUGGAAUGUGGUUAUAUGUGCAUCCCUUAUAUAAUGCUCAUGGGAAUGAUCUUACUCUCUACUUUAUUACUUGAUACGAUCGAUGCAUUUGCAGGCAUAAAAAGUAACAAUCAAGUCUUUGGUGUCGUUGUUGGGGAUUAUUUUAAUGUAAGAUGGCUAAUAUCAAUAUCAAUGCUUUUCUUUUCUUUUGUAGUUUAAAUUUUACUUUUACUUGCAAUUAUUAGUUUUGAUCUUUUGUUUGUAGGCAUAGAUCUAGAAAUGUUGACUUGGUUCUAUUUGGUCAAGAAAUUGAAAGAACAUUUAGAAGACUAAAAUGAGAGGAAUCAAUAAUUUCUAACCCAAUGGUAAACCCUAAUAAAGAUCAUAGAACAUUGAAGGACUAUGCUAUUCCAAGCCCUAAUGGAUUCCAACCAUCCAUAAAGAUGCCUGAAAUCCUAGUAAAUAACUUUAAGAUAAAGUUAUCGAUGAUCCAAAUGGUUUAUACCUCAAUGUAGUUUGGCAAUCUACCAAAUGAUGAUCCAAACCUUCACUUAUCUAAUUUUCUUCAAUUGUAUAACACAUUUAAGCACAAUGAUGCAUCUAAUGAUGCUAUAAGACUAAAACUAUUUCCUUUUUCUUUUAGGGACUAAGGAAAGAGUUGGCUAGUUUUGUCCCACUGGCUCAAUCACAACUUGAGAUGAUUUGGUGUGAAAGUUCUUAGCCAACUUUUUCCUUCUAGCCAAGAUAAAAAGGAUAAGGAAUGAAAUCACAACAUUUAAAUAGUUCGAGGGAAAAAAAACACUUUAUGACUUUUAGAAAAGGUACAAGGAACUGUUAAGCAAGUGUGCACACCAUGAUUUGGCAAAAUAGUUGCAAGUGCAGAACUUAUACAAUGGGUUGGCUAUUGGUAUACACCUUAAGACCAAUCAAAUUGGUUACGGGAUACAUGUCAUAUUAUGCAUUUCUAUUAUUAUCAAAGGUAUUUUUUGUCUAUGAGAUUGUAUACACAUAAUUUAUAUUACUUACUUCUUAUAAAUAUGUUUUGCAAGGGAAUAAUGAGAUAGUAAUUAUGAGAUCAUCAUUACAUUAGAGUAUUAUUCCUAAAUUGUUCCUAGUUGAUACUUUGUCAAGAAAGGACAUUGAGAUUAAUUGUUCAUACUAACACAUUAUUGUGUUUUUGUUUCAUAAACAACCAAUUGAUCUCAUAAGUUGAAGUUUGAAUAAACUUGAGCUAACAUGUGGGUGCUUUCAUAAAAACAAGUUCAUUGAACAUGACCAAAGAUAAGAAUGCUAUAUGGUAGUUCACAUAAUGUCUAUAGCUACAUUCUCAUGUGAUGGUCAUAUAAAUGAUCUUUUGACUUGAAAUUACUUAUAAUCUUAUAUGAUGAAUGAUAUACUUUGACUUUACUUUACUUAUAGUCCUAACUAAGAUUGCUUUAGUCGAGUAUAGUUAGGUAUAACAUGAGGCAUAUGAAGAUGCAUGAAGUAAUCAAGAUAGACCAUCACCUUGUGUGAUUGAUUGUUACUUUUUGUAAUGCCUGCAAGUGCAUAGAUCUUAAUCAAGUAAUAGUAAUGAGUGAGUAGAGUACAUCCCACAAGGAUUAUAUAUUGGGUGCAAAACUAGGUAUCAAAGCAAGUUAUUUCUAACUCUAUAUUUAAUCUAAUCAAAAGAGGUUGAUUGAUUGAAAACAAAGGCAAAUUAUUGAAAAUGUGAUAACUGAAAGCCAAGCUAACUAACUAUCACUUAAUAUUUCCAAAGGUAGGCCAAUUAUACAAGAAAACAAAAAUAAGAAAGUCGAAAGCUUGUAAAGUAAGUUGGCCAAAUGUAAAAGAAAAACAUAAAUUGAGAAUUGAAAGCUUAUAAAUAAUAGUGUGCUUGCAAAACAAAUAAAGGGAGCUUUGAGUAAGAAAUUGAAUAGAAAUUGUAUAAAGGAAAGCUUUGAAAACAAACUAUGGUUACUCUGUCUCCUUAACCAAGAACUACAAAAGCAUUAAAAAAUUUUAGGCUACUCUAUCACUCAAGCCUAUUUACAAAGAAAGCAAGUAAAAAAAAAAAAGUGGGAAUGAAUGGGAUAUGUUGAGGUUACAAAAAAGCCCCCUAUUUAUAGGAUUAGGCUCAACUAUAAUGAGGAUUGGGAUUACAAAGUCAUUUUGUAAUUCAAACUCUUUAAAGAUAAGACUUUAUCUUGAUCUUGAAGAGGUAUAGCCAAAUAAGGAAUCUUCAAUAUUAAGUGCAUUGGUUAAAUGGUGCUUCUUGAUUGGUCUUUAGUGUACAUGUGAAAUGCCAUCUCAUCAUCUUGCAAUCAUGAUGAGAGUUUCAACUAGACUUGAAUUCCAAGAGCAAUCUUCUUGAAGUGGUCGAAUUAGGUUCUACCUCUUGAGAUAAAUCCUUCUUGAAUAGAAACUCUAGCUUUAUCUCUUGUAUAAGUGUCUUUCUUGGUUUUAAACUCUUACAAGAUAAACAAAAGAAUCAUUUUACAAUUAAAUCUUUUCUUGGCAUAAUAUACUUAAGAGUCUUUAUCCAAAUAUACUUAUUCAGUUAUUAAGUGCAUGUAGGAUUCCUUAUGUAAUUAGGAUAGCUGAAUGUAUGUAAAGUUAUAAUGCCAUUAGGAUUCCUUUCUUCAAGUGAAUCUAAGAGUCCUAACAUCAUUGGGAUUUAGCUAUUAUUCAUUCUUGUAUGACCGAAUAUGACAAUGCUUAGGCUUGACCUAAUCUUGCUUGAAAUUUCCAUGAUCUUGCUUGAAAUUCUCGUUAAAUGUGCAUUAUACCUAAAUAUGAAGAAAAAAAUAUUAAAGGCACCAUAUUCAAUUGAAUUUCAAAAUUUUUACACCAAAAAGGACUUGUAAAACAUUAUAUAUUUUAGUGCUAUCACACCCUCACACUUAGCUUUUUGUUUGUUCUUCAGCAAAACUCUUAAAUUAAUAAUACCAACAAUCAAAAUAGAUGCACACAAAGUCAAAAUCUCACAAAUCAUCAAUCAUGCACCAUAGCAUAAUGCAAAGAUAAAUAUAAACAUGGUUAACAAGAAACUUAAUCAAAAGUAAGCUUUCAAUUUCAUACAACUUUUAUGCAUGUGAAGUCAAUCCAUCUCUAAUCUAUACAUGCAAUCUAAGUAAUAAGAAUGCAACAUAUACCAUUACAUAUCAAUUUAAAGAUAGAAUACACUUCAUAUUGUUACUUUCCUCAUUCGUUUUCCACUAAUAUUAGACUUAUAUACUUGACUCAAGAUCAAAAGGUCUUUUAGGCUUUCAAUCUAAGGCUUUGGUCAAGAUAGAAAAAGGGAAAUUUUUAGACUCAUAACCUUUUUGGCUUACUUCUUUGAAAUUUCUUUGACUUUUGAUUUUGAAUUGAGAACUUUGAACUUUCCUAGACUUGAAGCAUCUCUUUAUUUUGGCACUUCUUUUCAUUACCAUUUUCGGCUUUAACUAUUUUAGCUUUUAUUUUUUCUUUUGUCGAGCCUUUCUUCUUCUUUUUUGUUUAUUUUCUUGUGCCUCCCUUCCUCCUAAAUAUAGAUUUGUUCUCUUUAUUUAUCCAAACAUAUACAUAAGCAAUAUUGGGUAAGGUGAAAAUAAUAAAAGGGAUAGUUUAAAGAAAAUGCUUGGGUUUUAUUAAUGUGGCUAAAUAAACAAUAAAAAAUAGAGGAAAUAUAUAAAAAAGGCUCAAAACAAAGGUACUAGGGAUGCUUUAUUAAAGGUGGGCUUGAAAAGGCUUUAAUUAUCCAAAGAAUGCCUAGAUCAUCUCUUGAAUCAAACACUGUCUAGAAUUUGACAUCAAUGGUUGAGUAGGUAAAUUCUAAAGUCAUACUCAUACUUCAAAUAUUUGUGCAACUUUACACUUACAUGCUUUCCACAAAAACUAAUGCAUAUAAAAAAUUAAGACUAGAAUGCACAAAACAUAGAAAUCAUACUUAACCAAAAUUCUUACUUAAGAAAUCAUCUCAUACUUCAUUACAUUCAUAGUUAACCUCAUGUCAUACAUAAGUCAAUCUUGACUAACUCAUAAAAUCAACUAAGUUAGCAUCAUCAUUAUUAUAGCAUGCUAAUUAAUUUGAAAACAAAGCAUAUUAGACUAAUUUUGAAAAACAAUUUUAACAUCAAUGAGUUUUCCUUUUCCUCACACUUAAAUUAAAUAAUAAACAAAACAUUAAAGAUCUAGGGUAAAGGAAUCACUCCCCUAUCUUUGUUUUCUUUUGAGGCCAAAACUUUCAUCAUUCUUUGGGCAUCUCUUUGCAUCUCUUCAUCCCUAUAACAACAACUCAAAAAGAAUUAAAAAAAUCAAAAGCAUACCUACUUUAAUAAAAAAACAACAUAUAGUUUGAAAAUGUAAAACUCAACGAAUAAAUGUAGAACUUGGGUUGCCUCCUAAGUAGCACUAGUUUUGGUCAAGCUUAACCAUACCUUUCUCCAUGGGGUUACAUUGUCACACUAUACUUAACACUAGUAUCCACCCAUUUAAAGGUCUUUCUACUUACCACAUUGUCAACAUUAGGCUCUAAAGGCUAGUGGUGUUUAAUUGUUAUGGCUAGAUUUCUCACCUCUAUCAAUGUUUUUAAUACAGCUGGACUACGAUAGGAGGGCAAUGGCUUCACUACUAGUGAAACAAAUACAACCAUGAAAGCUAUAGAGUUAGUCUCUGAGUCUAAAAGUUUCUCCAUGGUUACUUUAGUUUAGGUGAAUAAAGUGUCCUCUUCCCUUUCUCUUUUCUUAACAAGGGGUGUUUCUAAAGGUUCAAGCAUGUUUUCAACUAAACAUCCAUUAAUAACAACAACCUUAAUCAAUGCCAAAUCUUUUUGUAUUUGAUUUUUGCAGGGUUGAGGAAAUGAUAUGGGAAGGCUAAAAGACUCGAAUAUAAUUUGAUCAAACUAGUGCUAUCCUCUUCUUAACAUUCAUUUCCUUUAAUCAAUCCAUCAUCCUCUAAGGUUUCUAAAGACCUAAACUAUCACAGUUCCAUACCACAUCUAUAGUUAAUCAUCCUCCUUUUUAUCAUUUUCACUAGGGUCACUACACCAUUCAUCAUUUUCCCCUAAUGGUUGUUCCAUAUGAUGCUCAUUAUCUUCCCACACAAUGUUAGAUUUAUAAUUACUAGGUAAGGUCUUCUGAAGGCAUGUGUUAAGUUCAAUUACUAACUAUUAACCUUUCUCCUCAAGGUUCUUAAAAGAGGCUUGGCCUUAAAAUGUGAUGGUAAUCUAAUCUUGAAGGAUUUGGUUUAACAUCUCCUACAAAGAAAGUUUCUUUUCUUUAGGUGAAGAAGCAUAUUGUAUAGAGGAAUGGUAUUGUGGUGAUGGAAAGUUAAUAAGAUUAUGAGGGGUAUACAUGGAUAUUACACUAUAGGACUGCUCUUGACUAUGCUUUUAUAGGGAACUAGGAUGACUCUCCCAACCUUGAAUAUAGGUGUUUGAAUAAUAACAGGAUUGGUUACAUGACACCUAUCACUAUAGUACUCCCUAUCAUAGACCUUACAAUUACUAAAUGUGUUCUAAACUGAUGAACAUGUUCGAGAUUAUGCUUUCUUUUAAGAGCAUCUACCUUUUUGGCUAAAUAGGCUAAUUGUGAGGCUAAUAUGUAAAUAAGCCUUGUCAUACCUUUUAAUAUUGUACCAUGGUCUAAGAUUUAUGGCAAUUGAAUGUGGGAAUACUCAAAUAAUGACAUGGUAAAGUCCCUAAAGGUUCUGGCUUCACUACAACAAAAGCCUGACAUAAUAGAAGAAAAAGAAAGAACACAUUAUAACAAGGAAAAAAAAAGUCUAAAUUAUAUAGUAGAAAGAAGUAUUAUUGAUAUUAAUCUUCAAACAUCGAUAACCCUAGCAAUGAUGCUAAAAACUUUAUUACUAUUUUUUAUAAUGCUUACAAGUGUAUAGAUCAUAAUCAAGUAAUAGUAGUGAGAGAGUAAAGUAUCAUCCUACAAGGAUUAUGUAUUGGGUGUAAAAUCAAGUGUCAAAGGAUGUUCUUUCUGACCCUAUAUUUAAACAUAUUGAAAGAGGCUAAUUGAUUGAAAACAAAGGCAAAGUAUUGAAAAUCUUAUAACUGAAUGCCAAGCUAACUAAUUGGCACUUAGUACCUCUAAAGGCAAGCCGAUUAUACAAGAAAACAAAAGUAAGCAAGAUUAAAGGCUUGUAAAGUAAGUUGGUUGAAUGUAGAAGAAAAGCAUAAGACAAGAAUUGAAAGCUUGUAAAAAAUGGUGUGCGUGCAUAAUAAAUAAAGGGAGCUUUGAGUAAGAAAAUGAAUAGAACUUGUAUUGAGGAAACUUUGAAAACAAACUACGGUUAGUUUGUCACCCUAACCAAGAACUACAAAAGCCUUAGAAAAAAUUUAGUCUAGUUUGUCACCUUAGUUUAUUUACAAAGAAAACAAGUAAAAACUGAAAAAAAAAAAAAGAGAAAAAUAGGAAUGAAUGGGAUGUGCUAAGGUUACAAGAGAGCCUUCUAUUUAUAGGAUUAGGUUCAGUUAUGAUAGGGAUUGAGAUUACAAAGUUUUUUUUAUAUUUAAACUCUUUAAAGAUGAGCCUUUAUCUUGAUCUUGAAGAGGUAUGGCCAAACAAAGAGCUUUCAAUAUUAAGUGCAAUGGCCAAAUGGUGCUUAUUGAUUGGUCUUGGGCAUACAUAUGGCAUGCCAUCUCAUCAUCUUGCAAUCUUCAUAUGAGUUUUGUCUAGACUUGAAUUUCAAGAGCUAUCUUCUUGAAGUGGUUACAUUAAGUUCAAACUCUCUUAAGAUAAAUCCUUAUUGAAUAGAAAUUCUAGCCUUAUCUAUUGUAAAAGUGUCAUUCUUGGUUUUAAACUCUUGCAAGAUAAACAAAAGAAUCUUUUUACAAUUUAAUAUCUUUUUGGCUGAAUAUACUUAGGAGUCUUUGUCCAAAUAUACUUCUUCAAUUAUAAAAUACAUGUAGGAUUCUUCAUGUAAUUGGGAUAGCUGAAUGUAUGUAAAGUUAUAAUGUCAUUAAGAUUCCUUUCUCUGAGUGAAUUUAAGAGCCCUAACAUCACCAGGAAUCGAUUAUAAUUCAUUCUUGCAUGGCCAAAUAUGACAAUGAUUAGGCUUGACCUAAUCUUGCAUGAAAUUUGCAUGAUCUUGCAAGAAAUUCACAUUCCAUGUGCAUUAUACCUAAAAAUCAAGAAAACAAACAUUCAAGGCACUAUAUUCAAUCAAAUUUCAAAAUUUUGCACCAAAAAGGACUUGUAAAAGACUAUAUAUUUUAGUGCUAGAGUAUCUCAAUUUCUCUUGAUUUAAUUAACUUAAGAAAUCUUUGGACAAAAUAAAAUAAGAAUUUAGAAUUUUUCUAAAGCUUAUUUAUAGAGUUAAUGUUAAUGACAAGAUUUAAAAUGGUUGAACAAACACUGAGUAGAUAAUAAUCAAUACCCAAUGUUCAAUCUAAAAUGCUUAGUGAUGAGAGGAUAUUAAUUAUACACUAACACCAUACACGAAUAGGUUGUCAAGCCAUAUUGACUUUCUUUAGCAAUUAGGGGUCAUGACAAUGUAUCUAGCAUUGAUUAUGAUCUAUAACACGAUAUUGGCUAAGUAGAGAAUUAGUGAUGAAGUCAAAAGGUUUGAUUCAUCUAAGUCCAUAUAUAAGGAUUACAAUACCUAUAUUUAUUACCAACAUGCUAUGGAACCUAAAGGGUAAUAUAUAGUAGAACAUGUUGUGAAAGAUUAAAAUUAGGAUACAUUAAGUUGGAUUUAAUUUAUUGGAUUAAAAUCCAAUAUAAAGAAAUAUACAAAAGUCUAAUAUUAAAUGAGACAUUGUAUGGCUGGGCGAGUAAGUAAUCCUAUUCAAAAUAAGACCUGGUCAAUGAGUAAUUUUAUUGAAAUUAGAAUUUAGCGUAAAGAAAUCUUAAUACCCGAGGGUUUUGACUUAACCUUUAUCUCUACACAAAGAACUUAAGCCACCCCUUUCUUGUAGCAUUCUAAGAGAAUAGACAUCUUAGGUGUUAAGAACAAUUGAGAGAAAACACAAAGAGGACAAUCGACUAAUCUUACUAGCUAAAGAUUUUGGUUUUAAGUUCUUACCAUCCAUCAGAGAAUGUUCUUUCACCUUGUUUGUGUGGAUCACCAUUAGAGACUAGAUGCUUGGAUAGCUCUAGGCUUACAAAAGAAAUUUUGAUGAUCUCUUGCUUGCCACAAAGUGAAGUCGACAAAAAAGUUAAUAUACUACUAACUGAAACUAAUUACCGUGUUUGUAUGAUCUUAUUGAUUAAUUUAAGCUUUAGGGAUUCUGUUGCUAAUACUCCAUAUGUUGAUAGAGAAUUCCCUUCUAGUGGUAUCAAAGCCUUGUCAAUAUAGAUUAAAAAACUUAGAACCCUGUUUGGUUGUUCUUGAUAUCAAUAUUAUUUUGACUAUAACCCAUCUAUUAUGAUGAGAAGGCUAGAAAAAUAAGUUUUUGAACUUUUUUUUAUUUUAUUCUUUUAGAAUAUCAAAAUAUAAUGAAUAGGAUGAUUAGGAUUAAAUUUCAUUAUUUAUGGAUGUGGUUUACUGACCAAUAUUGAUUUACUUCAUGAUUAAUAAAUUGUUAUGGGUUCUGGUAACCUAUUGUAUGCAUGAAGAAAAUUUUGGUUCUUUCUCUAACUAUCUUUGAUUGAUUUAAAAUGUUAACCCAUGAUUCUAUACUAUAGAGCAUCUGUGGUGUAAAAGUUGAGAAAUUUUGGAUGAGAUUUAACUAGCCAAAUUGGAGUUAGUUUGAAAUAUAUUCACAGAUUCAUCCAAAACCAGAGAUGUUGAAGAAGAAAAUUAAUUCUCUUUCUAGGUUUAUCAGUUUACCACUAAACUUUAACACAAGACAUUAGAUAUCCUAAACAUCAUUAUGUUAAAUUUUCAUAACUUUUAGAGUUGAUUUGGUCAUUCAAACGUUGAUGACAAAAUUUGCCUAUAAAACUGUUUCUAGCGGCUGCAUGUGUCUAAAUUGUUUAAAUGCAUAAAAACCCUAAUUUGAUUAUGCAAUAAUAUUGUCAUGUUGCAAUUGGUAUUCUUAAAUGUUAAGAGGCUUUAAAACUUAUUAAAUAAAGUUUUAAUAAAAACCAACUUGGUAAUCAAAUUUGGGAAUCUAAGGAAACUUGUUAAUCAAGAUUUUAAGAUUUAACUUUCUUGAUCAUCAAGAAAAAUGGACUAUUUUAAUUAAAACCUAAGUAAUUGUUACUUGUGGUUUAUCAUUCAUAACUAGAGGCAAAUAAAAGCUUGUCAAGGAGUUAUGAACUCUAGAUUGGAUCCUCAAAGGGUGAGGCAUUGAAUGCCUAUCCUGAAGACCACAAAUUCCUUAAGGAUAAAGUCUCAGCCGUAAAAAAACUUUCCUAUUUGGAAUAGGAUUCGAUGACACCCUAGAUUGGUUCUACUCCAUGUAUGAUUUAGAUUCCUAAAAGGUUUAGGAUUUAAGAAAUUGGAUUUCAUUAAGACUUUAAAUCAAAUUAGAAUUCCUAAAUGAUUUACGAUUCCUAAUUGACAUAAAACUAGAAUCCUAGUUGGACUAGGACUUCACAAGGUUUGUAAUUUGACUUGGAUCUUAAUUAACUUGGUAAUCCUAAUUGGAUUAGGACUUGUAUGACCAGAAUAAAUUAAGAAUCCUAAUUGAAUUAAUGGUCUUAAAUAGUUUAUGAUAUUAAUUGCACAAGGAACUAUAAAUCCUAUUUUGGUCAGAACCAAACUACUAAUCCUAGUAUGAUUAGGAUUUUCCAAUAUAAGUAGUUUGAUUUGAAUUUUAAUUAAUUGAUAAUUCUAAAUGGUUUAGGACAUGAAAUUUCAAUUUAAAUUAAGUAUCCAAAUUGAAUUAUAAAUCCUAAAUGAUUUUGGACAAAUAAUUACAAACUACUUAACCUAAAACAGUAAUAGACAUAUUCGGCCAUGUUGUCCUAAUUUAUCUAGGUUCUAAAUAAUGAGUUAUUUGGACCAAAUAAUGCCUUGCAUCAUAAUACUUGAGUCAAUAUUUGGAUAUAUGAUAUUGACCUUAAUUCAAAGCAUAGAUUUGUAAGAUCAAGAACUUGAAUCAAACAUGUUAUUUAUCACAUUUGGAAAAUGAUUGUGUGAUUGAUUAUGGACUUAUGACCCUUUUACAUAUAUGUUUGGAUGGUUAAAUUAUGCUUUAUGAUUUUUCUUUUGAAAUAAGGCUUGCACACCAUGCAUCAUCUCUUGAAUUCUAGAAUUGUAAUAUUUUUUAACUGAAGGUUUCUUUAAAUGAUGUAAUAGUUACAUAUGUUAGAAUUAAGAUAGAAAUUAAGCUAUAAGUCCAAGAAUGGAGAUUUAUGGCACCAUGGAGGCACCAAGGAGAUUUGGCAAGAUAGUUUUGGAAGUCUUAUCAUUGCAAUCCCUAGGUUUUUGACUACCUAGUGUUGACAUCUAAUUUUGUCCGGGCAGAAUCUCGAUCAUUUUUUAAGUGCUUAAAAUUCAACCCGAUUCAAAUCCAAUAUUUAUUUAAUUAUGACAAGUUUCUAAAAUUAAAAUUAGAGCCAAUUUGACCCAAAUGCUUCGAAGUCAAAAAUGGUCAAAUCUAGUCAAAAAAAGUUAAACUUGGUCAAAAUCGAUCAACAAUGGUCAAAAUGGUUAGAACUAAGGUCAAUUUUCAAAAUUUACAAUCAAAUUGGAACUAAUGUAGAUUAACAUUGAAAUUUAUGAAUUUAAAACACUAAAAACCUUGAUUGCACUUUGAAAAAGGUAAAAUUACUGAAAUACUCUUUAAGAUUAUUUUCAUAAUUUGGCUUUCUUGAAGUUAGAUUUUUAUGAAAAUAUUUAGAUCAUAAUUGAAAUUUUUGGAGGAUUUUUUAUGCAUUAAAAACCUAUAUCACACGUUGAAAGGUGUGAAAUUACAAAAAUACCCUUAGAGGUAUUUUUGUAAAUUGAUCUUUUCAAGAUUGGAAUUUUGCGAAAUACACAAGAUCAUGUUUUGAUAUAAUUUGAUAAUUUUUAGAAUUUUAAAAACCAUAAUUAUACCUCGAGAGGUCUGAAAUUACCUAAAUAUCCUAUAGGGGUAUUUUUAUAAUUUGACCUUCUUGAGGUUGGUUUUUUGCAAAAGUUUUCAAAUUACACUUUUAAAAUAUUUGAUGAUUUUUAGUGCUUUCAAAACUAUAGCAAUACCUAGGAAGGUGUGGAAUUACCAAAAUACCUCUUAGGGGUAAUUUUGUAAUUUGACACUUCUCGAAGUCGAAAUUUCGUGAAAAAUUUUAGAUUUUGGUUUCAUAUUAUUUCAAGAUUUUUGUGCUUUAAAAUCCUAAAAAUAAACAAGGGAGCAUUGAUUUCCAAUGAAAUGGCAUAACAAUCGAAAACUUUGUAAUGGGAGGCAAUUUAAUCUUUUUACUUGAACCCAAGUUUUAAAAUUCCAACCUUUGGUAGUAAGCAUCCUAGGUCAUUGGAUUAUUUUGGGAAUCUUGACCCAAGGGUGAAAGUUAGCUCAUUGGAAACGAAAACAAGUGUUAAAAAUAGGCCAUUAGAUGUAUUCUAAUCCAAGGGCUAGUACUCAAUCUUGGAGAGAUUUUUUCAUCUUCUUCAUAAUCUAGGAUUCACAUUUUUUGGAAGAGAAGAGGGCUAGAAAUGCAAAAAAUAGAGGAGAGAAAAAAAAAAGAAAAAAAAAGAUAAAAUUAAGAGAAAAAAAUCUUUGCUAGUUUGAAGGUAUGAUUCAUUUACUUGUUAUCUUGCAUUUUUUGGCAUUUUCAUCACAUUUUCCAUAGAAUUUUCGUAUUGUUUCUUUCCAUUUGCUUUGUUUUCUUGAAACUUUAUAGUUUUUUUUUUUUUUUAAAGCUUCAAUCAAACUUCAUCUAAUCAAUCAAUAGUUGGAUUGAAGCUAAAAAACAGGUAAAAGCAAUCAACACAACCCACCAUUAACCAAGUUGAAGGUUUGGCCAAGCUUUCCCUCACCAUGGUCGAACCUCCUCUUAGCCUUCUUUGAUGUUUUGUUGCUUCAAAAUGUGGCUUAUAAUGAUUAAAUGAUGAAUUGUUCAUGCUUUGAAUGAUUUUUGCUUAGUUAAUGAUAUAUGUUGUUGUUUGGUUGGUGUUCUUUUUCAUCUUAUUUUCUUGUAAUUUUGGUUCGUUACAUGUUUGAUGAACUGGUUUUACUAUUAUAAAUCUCCUUAAGUGAUAAGUUUCCAAGUGAUUAAUGCUUAUUUGGAUGAAAUGGGAUGAAGGUAUGCUUAAGAAAACAUCAUGAUAGGUUCGGCCAUGGUGGUUUUCUUUUUCAUCAAAUCUUAUUCUUUGUUUGGUGGUUGAUUGCUCCUUGAUUCCAUGUAUUGGAUUGUGUUCUUGUUAUGAUAUUCAAGUUUUUUAGAUGUGGGAUCAAUUUUUUCAAUGAAAAAAUAUUGUUUUAUUAAAUUGGUUGGAUGAAUUUUUAUGUUUGUUUGGUUGAGUUUUAAGUUAAAAAAAAAAAUGGUGGGACAUUCAUGCAAAAUUUAAAAAGUUUUUAUGCUUGAUCCAUUACUUUCUUGAUUUUACAUGCCUAACUUGUUUGUGAUUUAGUUUUUUAAAUACCUAGGUUUGUAAUUAUUCUGUUCUCAUGUCAUGCUUUUGUCACAUGCAUCAUUAAUAGCAUUUUUGUAAUUUGUAAUUGUCAUAUGCAUAAUUCCCAUGAAACCCAAAAUUAAAACCUUAAACCAUUACCUAAAACCUAAACCACUUCCCAAACCCUAAACCACCUUUCAAAUCCUUAAUCAUCUUCCAAACCCUAAACCACCUUUCAAAACUAAACUAACCCUUAAAUCAACCAUGCAUUUGCAUUUCAUUUUACUUUAUUACAUGCAUUCUUAAAUUCUCAUGCAUUCAUACCUUGUCAUUCAUGUCAUGCAUUCAUUAUAUAUUAUAUUCAUUCAUAUCAAGCAUUCAUUUUUAACAACAAGUUUUCAAUAGAAAAUUGUUUUAAAUAAGAUAAUAUCUUAACUGAAUAUAAUCAUUGAUAUCUGACCUAACUUUAGGGGGACUCCUGGUUAUUAAUAUUUAUACAAGGUGUUAUCUCGAUUUUAGUGGGGUAAUUCGAAAACCUUUAAAUUAAAAAUAUUUUUGAAGCUCUACCAAAUAAUAAGAGAGUGAAAGAGGUGCUUUGAUAUUUAAGGAGUUUUCAUCUUAAUCCAAAACAAAAAAAAAAAGGUUUUUUUUUUUAAAUUUUGAUUUGUUUUUGUUUUUUGAAAAAAAAAAAAGAAGAAAAGGAAUUAAUUUUAAACAUUAAGAAAAGUAGGAUCAUUUUUACCAAAAUUAGAAUAUAACAGGUAAUCAAUUGGUAUUAUUUUUUAUGGGCACUAUGAGGUUGCUAAUCUUUCCUCAAACAUAAUCGAUUCCCAAACCUAAACUUCGAUUUCACAUAUUGUAAAUUUGUUAUUUUUAUAAAACUUGUAAACCCACUUUAACAUAUUUUAUUAAAAUGACAAAAAUUUUUUGUUGCCAAUCACACCCUUAAAAAGAUUGGUAGCGACUUCUUAUUUCGAUUUUCGUUGAAAAUAUUUUUAGCCCCCAUUUUUCUCAUUCCCCAUUCGUCCGGCUUUCAAGUUUUCUAGUCUUGGUCCCAAAUCGCCUUGACACCUAGCUCUUUAUUAGCUCAAAGGAAGCUAGCUUAGUGAAAGUCCAUAAUCAUCCAAAGUAAUAAGCAUGCUAGAUUUAUAUAUGUUUGAUACAUGAUAAAUGCCAUGUAUAUUUAAAUGAGCAUGAUAAGAUUAUAUAUAUGUGAUAUAAGAUGAAUACUUAUGCAUGCUUUAUGAGAUAAAUACCAUAUAUGCUAUGUUGGUUUGUUGUUAUACAUGCUAGAAGUUAUGUGUGAUAAAUGCCAUAUAUAAUUGUGAGAUGUAUGAUAAGAUUGUAUGUAUUGGAUAUAUGAUGAAUUCUUAUGCAUGCUUUAUGAGACCUAUGAUAAAUUUACAAUCACUCAUGAAAGUAUUAAGUCUUGAUGCCAUUCAUUAACAUAAACAACAAAACUUUCUACUAGUGAGGGCUUGUUAAGGAACAAUCAAGGCACUUGUUAUUCGAAAUAAGGUUGUGUUAUAGUUAAUGUGUCUUACUUAACUAACAUUAUAUUGUCUGGAUUUGCAGAAACUUGACCGUACAAUGUUAAAGGCAAUGAUUGGGUGAAUCAUAUAAGAUGUAAUUAGACAAGGAGUUGUCACCCAAUUGAUCUAGCAAUAACAUGGGAUGUGAUAGAUAAGCUAACUAUCUACCUAAUUUACUUAUCAUAAUUUGUUGAGCUAAAUUUAAGGUUAUAAUAAACUAAAUGGGAUCCUAGCCCAUGAAAAAAAUAUGACUUGUUUGAAAUUAAUAGUGAGGACUAUUAAUUUGAUAAAAAAUAAUAAGAGCAACCAAAUAAAAGAUAAAAGACCAUAUCUAAAUUGGUUUAAUGCAAUAUGGCUUUUACUUGUUUAUAUUUUAUAUUUGAAAUGUUUUUAGACUAUAGAAUAAUAACUUGUCACUUUAAGUCAUACAUGAUGCCAAUUUGGCCAAAACUUCUUGGAUUGGUACUAAGACUUGAGAAUAGUUCUCAAACAAGAGUAGAACUUGUUUGUUCAAUUCUACUUAUCCCUGUUGAGGAUAUUAAGAGACUAAAAAUCUAUCAAGAUCAUAGAGAUGAUUUUGAUAAAGCCACAUAUAUGAUAUUGGCAAUCAUGAGUUCUAAGUUCCUAAAGUAACAUCAAAAGGGUACUUUUGUUCUUGUUUCAUCUUCUAAGAUUAAGAAUGGUUAUUUAAAAAGAAGAAAAAAAAAAGAAAGCAAAGUAUCAUAAGUUGCUUAGCCGAAAGGUAGAAUAAAGAAGGACAAAGACAAGGGCAUUUGUCAUAUGAUGACAAGAUAGGCUAUUGGAAAAUAAAAUUGAAAGUUUUACAUGGUAAAGCUUGAACGCAAAGAAACUUAGUGAAGUUUCUACUUCAAGCAAAAUUUAUGAUUGAGAAAACUUUUCAUUCAUUAGUAUUAGAUACCAAAUGAAGUUCUCAUUUGUAGGAAAAAUUUGAAAAACUAAAUAAAACUAUAAAAUUAAAUUCUCAAUAUAAAUGCCAAGAAAAACGAAGCUAGAUAAACAAAAUCAAUCUUACACAUGGUUUUAUAAAUUUGGUUAUAUAAAAAUAAUAUAUAUAUAUAAAUUUCUUAUGGAAAAAGAUAUAUUUCUCAUAAAUAAUGAGAUGGAAUAUUUGAUUCUAUGAGAUGAUCAAAUCAUCAAAGACUAGGAUGAACCUUGUAUGUACAAGAAGUUAGUGAGAGUAUAAUCAUUUUGAUAAAGCUUUAUGUGAAUGACAUAUAGCUCAUUGGAAACCAAGUACCUAUGCUACAAUCUAUAGUAGAUUUAGCUAUCCAAAGAAGAUUUUCAUAUUGGAUAUAUGAGAGGCAACAUACAUAAUGAGAUAACGAUCUAUAAGGAUAUAUCCAAAGGUUUACAUUACUCUCCUAAUCCAUAAACAUAGUCAAGAUGCUAAAAGAGUUUAGCAUAAUGAAAUCUAAGAGUAGAUCUUUACCUAUGUUACAUAGCACAUGCAUAGAUAAGAUGCUAAAAGGGUUUAGCAAAAAAACACUUAUCUAUGUUGUAUCUCUCAAAAGGCAUGUGCCACAAGACAUAAGAAAAAAGAGAGAUAACAUGAAUAGAAUACAAUAUCUAAAAUUGUAUCUAUCAUAUUCUGAUGCUAUGUACCAUACUAAAUGUUUUACUAUACGAAAAAGUUGAAAACCAUAUAGAUCAUUGCUUCACAUUUAGCUAUAAUUCAACAAAAAUAAUAACAAGUAACAAAGUGAUUAUGUUUUACUUUAUAAGAUGGCAAAACUUAGUUUGAAAGAGUUUCAAGCAUAAUAUGAUCAUUAAUUCUAUAAACCUAUGUCAAAAAUAGUUUUUUCUUUAAACUAGCAAAAGAAGAAUUUUUGGAUUAAAAAAAAUCCCAAGUUGAACUUUAUGAUUCCAAGCUUGUUAAGAAUAAUGAAGCCAUUGCAUAAGUGAUAGGAGUCAAGGUCUAAAAAUGAUCCAAAUAUGUUUUAACACAUUACCAUUUGAUUAUAAAGAUAAUCAAGAGAAAUGGUACAAAAGUGUUACAAGUUCUCACAAAGAAUAAAUCUAGCAUAUCUUUUCACUAUACCACUAUCCCAUGAUUGACACAUGAAAGUGUUUGGUAUUAGAUACCAAGGCAAUUGGUAUUAUUGCAAGUGAGAGAUUGUUGGUAUAUGCCAUAAGACUAAUCGAAUUGGCUAUGGGAUACAUGUCAUAUUAUGCAUUUCUAUUAUUAUCAAAGGUAUUAUUUAUCUAUGAGAUUGUAUACACAAUUGAUAUUACUUACUUCUUGUAAAUAAAGUCCUUGGAAUAAGUAUGCUUAAGAAGGGAAUUAAAUGAGAUUGUAAUUAUGAAAUCAUCAUUGCAUUGAAUCAUUAUUCUUAAUUUGUUCUUAGUUGAUGUUUUAUCAAUAAAGGACAUUGAUAAAAGCUGUUAAGAUCGGCACGUGGUUAUACUCUUGCUUAUAAAGCAAACGAUUGAUUUCACAAGUUGAAGUUUGAAUAAACCUAAGCUAACAUGUGAGUGCUUCUUGCAAGAAUAAGUUCACUAAACAUGACCUUAGAUGAGAAUGCUAUAUGGUAGUUCACAUAGUGUCUAUAACUACAUUCUCAUGUCCUGGUUGUAUAAGUGAUCUUUGACUUAAGAUUACUUAUGAUCUUAUAUAAUGAAUGUUAUACUUUGACUUUACUUAUGAUUCUAACUAAGAUUCUUCUAGUCAAGUAUAACUGGGUAUAACAUGAGACAUGUGAAGAUACAUGAAAUAAUCAAAAGAGUAUAAAAUUCAUCACCUUGAGAGAUCAAAAGAGUAUCUCAAUUAGUUUUGAUUGAAUUAACUCAAGAAAUCUUUGGGCAAAGUGAAAUACGAAUUUAGAAUUAUUCUAAAGUUUAUUGUGGAGUUAUUGUUAAUGACAAGACUUAACAUUAUUGAAUAAAAAUUAAGUAAACACUAAACCAUGCUAAAUAUUCAAGUUAAGAUGCAUAGUGAUGAAAGGAUAUUAAUUAUACAUCAAGACCAUACAUGGAUAGGUUGUCAAGUCACAUUGACUUUCUUAAGCAAUUGGGGUAAUAACAAUGUAGCUAUUAAUGACCAUGAUCCAUAAACAUGAGAUUAGCUAAUUAGAGAAUUAAUGAUGAAAUCAAAAGGUUUGAUUCAUCUAAGUCUAAAUAUAAGGAUUCAAUGCUUAUGCUUAUUGCCAACAUGCUAAGGAAACUAAUGGGUCACAUGCAAUAGAACAUGUUGUGAAAGAUUAAAAUAGGGAUAAAUUAAGUUGGACUUCAUUUAUUGAAUUAAAAUCCUAUAGAGAGAAACAUACAAAAGUCCAAUACUCAAUGGGACAUUAUAUGGCCGGUCAAGUAAGUAAUCCUAUUGUGUAUAGGACUUGGUCAAAGGGUUAUUCUAUUGAGAAUAGAAUUAAGUAUAAAGAAACCCUAAUACCUUAGGGUUUUGACUUACCCCUUGCCUCUAUAUAAAGAGCUUAAGCCACUAAUAGACAUCUUAUGUGUUGAGAACAAUUAAAAGAAAACACAAAGAAGGCAAUAAACUAAUCUCACUAGCUAGAUAUUUCAAUUUUGAGUUCUUCCCAUCCCUAGGAGAAGGUUUUUUCACCUUAUUCGUGUGGAUCAUCAUUAGAGGCUGGACGUUUGGAUAGCUCUAGGCUUGCCAAAACAAAUUAGGUGAUCUCUUGCUUAGUGCAAAUUGAAGUUCACAAAAGGUAAUAUAUUACUAACCGAAACUAAUUGUUGUGUUUGUAUGAUCUUGUUAAUCAAUCUUGGCUUUAGUAAGCUAAAAAAUUUUAAAAUUCCACUGCUAAUACUCUAUAUGUUGAUACAUAAUUCCCUUCAUUAGUGACACUAAUAAAGAUAGCCAUUGACUUAGCUAUUUGUGGGCCUUUAUGAGCAAGCCCAUUGAUGAAGCCUAUGACUUAAUAGAGGAAUGCCAUCAAACAACUAUCAGUAGGCUAUCAAAAAAAAGAGUCUAAAAAAAAGGAAUUGAAGUAUAUGAACUAAACACCUUAACUUCACUCACUUUACAACUAGCUACUUUGACAAAGAAAGUAGAAGCCUUACAUACCCAAUCUUCCAUAGCCUCUAUCUACGCCAUAAAAAGCCCUUUUCAAGACCUGUGAUUGAUAAUACUAAAUUAUAUAGAGUUUUGCACAUACUUUUUAGAUGAAAAUUUUUUAAAUUUGAUAGAAUUUGGUGCUUUCAAGGUGUGUUUUCUUGAUCUUUAGGUUUUAAUAUAUGGGACAUGUUUUUUAUACAAGAUCCAUACAAAAGUUAGACAAGCUUAUGUUCGGCCAUACAAGACAUAAGAAUUGCAAAAUCUUAUUGGUAUUAGGAAUCCUAAUUCAACAUGAAGAAAGGAAUCCUACAUGCAAUAUAACUCUACAUACAUUUGGCUAUCCCAUUGAGAGGAGUUCUAUAUACAUUUGGAAUUUGAAGACUUUUACUUGGACAAGGACUCCUGGUUGUAUUCAGCCAAUGAGAGAUUCAAUUGUAAAAGGACUCUUUUGUUUAUUUUACAAGAGCUUAAAACCAAGAAAGACACUUUUACAAAAGAUAAGGCUAGAGUUUCUAAUUAAGAAGGAUUUUUCUCAAGAGAGUUUGAACUUAACCAAACCACAUUUCUCUUGGAAUUCAAGUCUAGCCAAAACUUUCAUCAAGCAUGUAGGAUGAUGAGAUAGCGCACCACAUGUACAUGAAAGACCAACCAAGAAACACCAUUUAGCCAAUGCACUACAUAUUGAAGACUACUUGAUCGACUAUACCACUCCAAGAUCUAGAUUGAGUUAAUCUCUUAGAAAAUCAAGAUAAGCUAGAACUUUGUAAAAUUUAUCCCCAUUUUGGCCUACCCCACUCUUAUAAAUAGGCUAGCAUUCUCACUUGUGAAGAAGGUGUCUUGCCCUAUUCAUCCCUAUCCCACAACACUCUUCUCCCUCAUUCUUUUUUUUUAGUUUUAGUUUUUGCUAGUUUUCUUUAUAAAAUGGCUAGGAUGAUAGACAAGCCUAAAUCUUUUAUAAAUCUUUUCUAAUUCUUUGUUAGGGUAACAGACUAACCAUAGUUUUGUUUUCUAAAUCUCUUUUUUAAUACAAGUUCUCUUCCUCCUUUCAUUCUAAGAUCUUUUUCUCUAUUUACAUUAACACUCUUUCUUUUUUUUACAAGCUUUCAAUUUCCAUUUUUGGUUUUUUUUUUACAUUCAACCGACUUACUUUACAAGCUUUCAGUCUUGUUUACUUUUGUUUUCUUGUAUAAUCACCUGCCUUUGAGCUACUAAGUGAUAGUUAGUUAGCUUGGCAUUUGGUUAUCACAUUUUCAAUACUUUGCCUUUGCUUUCAAUCAAUCAACCUCUUUCAAUUUGUUUAAAUAUAAAGUUUAGAAAGAAUUUCCUUUGGUACUUGGUUUUAUGCCCCAUAUAUAAUUCUUGCAGGAUAAUACUCUACUUACUCACUUUAUUACUUGAUGCAAUCUGUGUACUUAUAGGCUAUAUAAAAUGUAGCAAUUAUUGACAUAUGUGGAAGAACCUAUUUAGUUGAUAGGUGCCAAUUUAGAACCAAAGUGGUCCAGUAUGUUGCACCAUCUAAGAAAUCAUACAACCUUUUUAGCAACACCUACAACCUUGGUUACAAAAAUCACCCAAACUUUUCCUAGAACAACUAUUAAAAUUGUGCCUCAAAUACCAUCCAACUACAAACCUCAAACUUUCACUAACAACCAUAGCCACCAUAUUGACCUCCAUCAUAAGAAAAGAAACCAACCAUGGAAGAAAUCUUUUCCCAAAUUCUACAAAAGCAAACCACCACAUUCUAAAGCCAGGUUGCAUUCAUAAAGAACCUAGAAAUCCAAAUGGACCAACUAACUAAUACUUUAACUAAUCGCCCAAUAGAACCUUUCCUAGCAACUUAAAUCCAACCUAAAGAAAUAGGGUAAGGAAGCAUGCAAUGCUAUAUUGAGGAUGAAUAGGUUUACUAUUCUAAUAAUGAUGAUGAUAUCUUGGAUAAGCCUAUGGUAGUCAACUUGCCUAGCUUUGUAAAGAGGCCAAAAGAAAACAUUAAAGUAAAAGAUGACAUUAAGGAAGUGAAAGGAGAAGCUAAGAUAGAAAAGGACCUUGAAAAAGAUCAUGAGGAAGAAAUAAAGAAAAAAGAAGUUGAGAUCAAAGAUGACAACUUACUACAAGUUUAAAAGAAAAUUUGAGAAGCCUAGUUACAACCAAGAUGAAGAGAAAAAAGUGAAAAAAAAAAAUGUUAACCCAAAAAAUGUCCAUAUUGAAGAAACACUUAAACUAGAUCUAACUUUACCAAAUCCUAAAUAGAGGAAGUUGCUUAAGGAAUUAAAGAUAGUUACAUUUACUUAUGAGUAUAGCCCAACACUAUAAAGAAUUUGCCUAUUAAGUUAAACAACCUAAUGAGUUUUUGCAUUCCUUGUUUUAUUGGUUCAUUAUUUGUUGAAAAAGCAUUAUGUGAUUUAGGGUCUAGCAUAAAUCCAAUGCCUUUUUAUGUUUUCAUGUAACUUGGGGUGGGUGAAUUGAAACCCUUAAACUUUAGCAUUUAAUUUAUUGAUAAAGAAGAAUGUGCUCGUAAAAGUGGGUAAUUAUGCAUUUCUUGUCAAUUUUGUAGUACUAGACAUGAAAGAUGGAAAAACAUUUAUCCUUUUAGGAAAACCAUUUUUAGCAAACUUUAGGGCUUUAAUUGUUGUCUUUAAUAAUGAGGUCACAUUAAGAUGUAAAAAUAAAAAGAUUGCCUUUAAAAUUGGAAGAUAAGAAAUCCUUAGGAAUAAGGCUGAUGUUCAAAGAAUGUCUCACCUAAAAGAAAAAAAGAAAAAAGAGGAAUUUAGAGCUAGAGGAGCUUAAAUAGUUGGGCUUCAAGAAGCAAAGAUAGAAGAGUAUCUCUUUUCACUUAACAUUUAUUAGUUUAGUUAGUCACAUUAGAGAUAAUGUGUAAUUCAAUUGUAGCGGAUGGAUCUUUUUGUUGGUGCAAAACUUUCCAAAAAUUUUUGAAAUCAUUCCUAAAAAUAUUUGUUUUCAAACCAAAUUGAUAGGCUUGGAAUCAUUAUAAUGUUUUCUUGGUUAACUUUUCAUAAUAUGAUUAUUACUAAGUUAUGCAUGAUUCUUGAAAAAGCAUGAAUGCAGACACUGUGUACACUUUAGUCAGAUCUAUGACAUAUCAUUCUUUGUGAAAAGUUAUGUAAGUAUAAAGUUACAUAAAAAUUUAUGGCAUGAGUUUUACUUUAGAAUUUGCCUAUUUAUCCCUCAAGGCAAAAUCCUAGACUUUACUUAAUUAAUGAUAUUAUUUAGGCCAUCGUUGGACAGUUUGAGCCUUUCAAGUUGACUCAUAUAUGAUUAAUCCUUAGCCACCUUAUUUUGAGUCUAUAUUAUCUUUUCUUUAUUUAAUCACCCACAUUAAUUAAGCUUAAGCCUUUAGUGAUUUAUCUAUCAUUUUUACCCAACCUUACAUGCUUAUGGAUUCUAGUGACAAACCUUGAGAGAGCUAUAUAUAUUUGGGAGUGAGGGAGGUGCAAGGAAGAAAAUAAUAACAUAAAGUUACGAAAACAAAAGCCAAAAAUGGCUUUUCAAAAAAAAAAACACUAAAUAAGAAAAAUGCCUCAGCCUUGAAUAAUCUCAAAAAGUUUUCAAGUCCAAGAAAGAUCUAAGAGUAAUGCAUAAGCAAGGGUUUUCUAAGCCUAAAACAUCUUCCAUCAUACCUUUAACCCAAGCCUUACAAUACAAGCCAACAAAAGACCUAUUAAUCUUAAGUUAAGUAUGUAAGUCUACAUUAGUGAAAAAAGAAUGAGAAAAGUAAAUUUAUGAAGUAUGCAAAGUAUGCUUUAUCUUUGAAUUAAUAUGUGAUGCACACUUUGCAUAUUCUUUGCUGAGAUUGCAUGUAUAAAUUAAAGAUAGAUUAAACUCACACAUACAUGGAAGUUGCAAGAAAUUGGAAUCUCACUCUUGAAUAAGUUUUAUAUUCUAUUUAUGUCCAUAAUUGUCCAUAAAUUAUACCAUAGUGCAUGAUUGAGAACUUAUGAAACUUUGACUUUGAAUCCAUAUAUUUUUAUUGCUAACAUGAUUAAUUUGAGAUUGUUUUGCUUGAGGACAAGCAAAAACUUAAGUUUGGGGAUGCAAUAAUUGUAAAAAUUAAGGUUUUUCCAAGGCCAUUUUUGUCUAAAAAUUUUGAAAAUUUUCAUGAUUUUUGUUAAAUUCCUAACAUUUUGUACCUUGAUUUGCUCAAAUUCUUAUUUUUCAAGUUUACAUGAAGAAUUCAAAAAAUGUAGCUAAUUCAGACAAAAAAUGCUUAAAAGCUUGCAUGCCUUGCAUGGUUUGUAUGAAGUGAAAAAUCCAUGCAAAGGUGAUGGACUAGCAUUCAACCAAAAACCAAGGAAACCCAUGUGUGCAAUCGACCAUCCAUGCUUUCAAAUGCCUCAAAGCAUUCAGCCAUGCAUGUAAAGGGAAUAUAGGAAAUUCAAAUUCAAAAACCAUGCAAAGGUGACGAGUUCUAAAGUGAUCAAAGCCUACAUUUAAGGCCAAACCAAAAAAGCACUAAACCACGCAUGAACAUUCAAGACAAGAAGGAUGAGUGCAUGAAAAGUCUUUCAAAUUUUAAAAGGAGUUUGAGCUCAAGUGAAAGAAAUCAAGAAAGAUUAGGAAAUCAAUUUAAAAAUGGUUGAAUCCUCUCUUUUUUUUCAUUUAAAAUUCAAAUGAAAGUGACGUGGCAUUGACACACAAGCAAGGGACAAUUAGAUGGACCAAUUAUAUUCAAGAACUAAGCCAUGCAAUCAGCCACAUGGAUAUCCCUUCUCCUAGUCAACAUUUUAUUCUAAAAGUGUAUAUACAUUAUAUACAAUAAACUAUGUACACUAAGGCUAUGCACACUAGAAGGUGAACUAAACUAUAGUUAAGCAUGUUGAAGUUUUGAUUGCUAUUUUUUAUAACCUUCAAGUGCACUGAUCGCUAUCAAGUAAUAAAAUGAUGAAGUAGAGUACAUUCCCACAAGGAUUAUGUUUGGGGUGAGAAACCAAGUAUCAAAGGUGAUUUUUACUAACUUUAUAUUUAAAUAAAUCAAAAGAAUUAUUAGUUAAGAAAAAGUAAAACAAUGAAAAUUGUAAAUUACUAAAACUGUGAUAACCAAAUGCCAAGCUAACCAACUAUCACUUAGUAGCUCUAAAGGCAGGUUGAUUAUACAAGAAAAUAAAAUAAAAUUGAGAUCUUGUAAAAAAUUGAAUGUCGAAUGGAAAAUAAAGAAAGCAAUAAAAGAACAAAGUUGAAUCUUGAAAGUAAAAAGAAUGCUUAAGAAAUCAAAGAAAGACAACUUUAAAUAAAAUGUAAACUACUUCAACUUGUAUUUAAGAAAGCUUUAGAAAAUAAAAUUAUGGCUAGUCUGCCUCUAUAGCUGAAUAAACUAAAAAGAAUUACAACGAAAUUGAAACUAGAAAGAAAAAAAAGGAAAGAAAAGAUAGUAUAAGAGGAAUAAGAGAUUGGAGGAGAUGUAUGGACUGUUUUACAAUUGAGAAUGCCUAACCUAUUUAUAAUACUAGGUUCGAAAAAAAUGGGAUCAAAUUUAAAAAGUCCUAUUUUAUCUUGCACUCUUAAAAGAUGGAGAUGUAAUCUUGAUUUUGAUAGAGGUUGGUCAAAUGUAAGGAUCUUCAAGGAUGAGAUAGAGCUUGUGUUGGGCUAAUGGACUCAUUCAUUGGUCCAUUUUUUCUUUCAUCCUCAUCAUAAUCUUCAACUUGCUCAGCUUGUAUCGGAGCUAGCCUAGACCUUAUAUUGUUUAGACUAAUAUCGAACAAGUCCAAUUUAACUUAACAAAUUUGAACUUUACCUCAUCCAAUGCCAAGUCAAAGGCACCAAGGACAUUCUUUCAAGUAGACUUGGCAAUUCAUGUAUUUGUGUCAUGUAGAAUACUAAUAAUUCAUGUAACCAUACCAUGUUCUACAAACAAUUACGUGUCAUAGUUCGUGUCGAAAGUAAAAACUUGAAAUACAUUUUUUGUAUUUUGUUAAACCUAUUUAUGGUUUUUGUUCAAAUUUUAAACUGUGUCAUCUUUGGGUCUUUUAUUUGUAUCGUUUUCAUGUCAUGUCACUGUGUCAUGUUUAAGAUUACUAAAUCUACUUUUGAGCAAACUCAGUUUAUAGAUCAUAGUACCUUUUGGAUGCCAAGUCAUCCACUACUUACUCCUUGGUCCUUUUCUCAACCUCUAACUCUAACCUUAACCUCACUACCUUGGCCAAAGCUUUAUUGAGCUUCAAGUUUGUUUCUUGCUACAAAAACUUAGCUGUAGCUCGACAUAUAUGUCUUUAAACUUAGCUAUAAGAUCUUUAACCUUCUUGUUGAGUUCAGCAUUAUCCUUCUUCGCACUAACAAGGGAAGCCUUCAAGCUUUUGUUGGCAUCGAUAUCGAUAAAGAGGUCAUAAGAAAACUUCUUGAGGUUCUACUUAGUCCUAUAGUAGUGUACAAAAUCCUAAUAGGCAUUCACAAUCCUUGCUCUGAAGUUUUAGAUAUCAAGGUGGGAAGCUGUUUGAAGACUACAAAACAACGAUUGAACUUAUACUUAAAUUAAAAAAAUUAUUAACAAAAAGUAAAUUGAGUUGGGAGAUAUGCUAACCUUUUUUGGAGAAGGUUACCCUCGUACUUAUAACCACCUCAGGGUCUUCGAAAGCAUUCUCUGAGAAGUUAUACUCUAAAUUGAUUGCAACCCUUUUCGAGGUGGGUUUCAACCCUGAUAUCAUCAGCUUAAAAAGAGAGGCCUCAAUCUUCAAUUUCUUCUAGCCUCAGUUAGUUGUUUGCUUAUACCUCUUCUAAGGUAACGAAUAGCUUAAUGGAGGCUGAGGAGCUGGAGGACCAAUUAUUUUGGUCCUCCUUUGAAAGGGCACCGAGCUAGAUGGUAGCUUUUUCCUUUUUCUUCUGCUUCAGAGGAUGAACAAAAUGAGUGAACUUAAAGUCCCUUAUCUAGGUAGAGGUGUUUGCAAAAUGAGCUAAGUGUUAAAAAAAAUUUAUGAAAAUGAAUACAACAUGAAGUUACCUCAAACCUACCCCAAUACUUAGUUUUCAUGACAACUUUAAAGGAGGUUAGCUCAUAUGCAACUACAACUAACUUUCCCUUCUUCAGGAAACCCAUCAUUUUGUUUUAAACAGUAAAGUCUGAAAAUGUCAAAUGGUUGAUUUGGAUGUCUUAAAAAACACCAAGCCCAUUAGUUAUUUCCCAUACUCUAGGCUUUUCUUUGUCAUCUCUCAUUUUUAUGCAUAAAAAAAUAGCUUCUAGCUUUUUAUUGAGCUCGGGCAAUCUAUGAAAACUUUUUUAACUGGCCAAACUGUCACAUAAAAUCAACUCUUAUCAUGGGGAUUCUUUUUAACUACAAAAAAUUUCCCUAAAUAAAGGGACAAUUGGAAGAAAACCUUUUUUUUUUACAAAGAAUAAUAAAAACUACAAUGUUUUGAAAAGAAUUGAAAGUGAACUGAGUGAUAAUUAAAUUAGAAGAAAAAAGAAGUUCAAUGAAAACAAUGUAAAGAGAACCUUAGACAGGCUACUAUAGAUUCUCAAUACACCCAAAUGUGAUAGGCUUCUAAGGAAAUAGUAACACGGUUAUAAGUGGUCGAAUUUAUUACGUUAUACCUCUUCUUAAGAAAGUCAAAUCUAAUCUUCAAAAAAUGAAUGUAAUGUAAAAAGUACAUGUUAAGGCAUCCUCAAGAUUGGCUUUGCCCUUUAAACUCUGUAUCAUGUCUUUCGAGAUUACACCUAACCUACAAGAAAUAUAAACAAAGAUUUGGUCUAACACAUCAUCAUUUAAUGAGACCUUCCUCUCCCUUUCCUUUUUCCCCUCUCUAUCCUUACUUUUACCUUUUUCUUUGGCUUCGUCAAACCUCUCUACCUAAUCCUUGUCUAAAUCUUGCUCAUUCUUAAAGGAUUCAUCACUAGAUGAUUUGUCCCUUAAUAAGGCAAUAUGAGCCACCAUCAGAAUAGGAGUUAAGAUCUUUCUCACCUCAAAAAAAUAAGAGAAAAAAAUAAUAGACUCUUCAAACAUAGAGCCUAAACCGAGGUUGGAACCUAUGAUCGACCUAAAAGCUCUUCGAGAAAAAGUAGAAGCAAAAGCUUCUAGCUAAGGAAAAAAAAACAAAAAAAAAAUGAGAGAGAAAAAAAAAGAAAUGUGAGCGAGAAAAGAAAAAGAUAGGUGAGCGAGAAAAGAAGAUAAAGGAUGAGGGCGAGAAAAGGAAAAAAAGUGAAGACGAUAAGAAGAAACAAAAGAAUAAAGGCCAGCCAAAGAAGUCAAACUGACUUUUGACAUUAGGCCUAGUGGAUUUUGAAGAGUAUGAUCUAUUACAGCAAGAAGCUCAUCCACCUUAUGAUAGACCCACUCUCUCUUAUCACAAGCAUUGUCUUUAACUUAUUUUUUGAUUAGCAAUAAAUAUUGGAUUCAACCAAAAAGUAGCUCAAUCCCUUCUUAUGAUCAUAAAAAGGACUUUAUCAUUUGAACCCUGAUGGCCAAGCUAAUCUUCCUUUGGUUUUACCCUAAAACUCUUAAAACUUGAAUCAAAAGACAUAAUUAAAAGAAAAAAAUGUACCAAACUAAAUGAAGAUGGGAAAGUCAAUUUAAAGACAAUUAAAAAGUUUGGAGGUCAAUAAAAACAUAUCAACAUAAGAGCAAGAAAGCUAUAAAGUGAUAGAUGAAAACCCUAAAGAGCCCUUUUAUAUAGCCAACAAAAGGAUCAAAUGAACAUUCCAAAUUAUGCCACGUGUCCAAAAUGGUUACCAAAGAUAACCUUUUACAUUUUCAACUUUGAGUUUUUAUCGACUAAUUUUCUCUCUCCUCAUUAAAUGCUAUUUUCAGACAAAAAUGGGCAAAUAGAUCAUUGUACCUACCCAUAUCAAUCAAACACCUGUGUCAAAUCAAAAAAAUAAAAUUUCAAAACAAAGAAAAAGCAUAAGUCCCGCAUUGGCCUAAACAACAAUAGGCCACCAAAUCAUGGUCAAAUAUAAAAUAUCAAACACAUAAGUCAUGUCAAUAAUCAUUCAUAAAUCUGCUUGGUCUGACCAUUAUCUAUUUUGGCAUUCACAAUCAUUCACUUUAAUAACUUUAGGUCAAACUAAUUAAGUGUAAAUUUCAAAGCCCAUACUCAUGAUUAAGCUUAACAUCAUCAAGCAUGCAUCAAAUCAAUACAAGCCAGAUCGACCAAGGCUACAAUUACCAGUCUAAUACUCAGGCUACUUGGUGUGAAGAUAAAAUAUUAUAAGCAUUUUUAAGUCCAAGUGGUAAAAUAGUAUUUUUUUCCAUUAAAGGCUGCAAGCAAACAAUUAAGGGUAUUUAUGACUUUUGAGCAGACUUGACAUGUACAAUGCCAUUUCAACUCGACCACCUUAUCAACCUACCUAAAGGACCCUUUUUUAUGCUGACUUGUCACUCAUUGAAUGGAUGAUCAGCAUCCAAAUUAGCUUGACCUACUAGGUCAUCUUGAUCAUAAAACUAAACGUGGCUGCCCCAAAACCCCUCACCUUCAACUAUAAAUAAAGCCACGUAGGUAUUAUCUAGACAUCUCAUACUCCUUCACUUGCAUACUUUCUCUUUCCUAUUUUUUUCUUAAACCGAUUUUUAACUUGAGCGUCAAAGUGUAAAUGCUGAAAACACUCCCAACCUUUACCUUUAACUGCUCUUUUUCUCCCUCUUAUGGUUUCAAGGUUUUAUCCGUUAACUCAAAGUUUGACACAAACAACAUUCAUAUAUAAGAAAUCACUUAAUAAUUAAAAACAAAUCAACCAACAAAAUAUAAUAUAAUAUAAUUAGAAAAAUCAAUAUAAAGUUUAACUAAAUCUAUAUAACGAAGGACUUAUAUCUAAGAUUUCAAGAUUUUAAACAUUUAGUCAAACUCAUUGGAUAAAAUGACAUAUUUUUAAAUUACACUACAAAGUGCAUGUACAGGCACAUACAUACAUACAUAUAUAAAUAUAUAAGAUAAUAGAAACACAAUUGCUAAUAAAAUUUUAAAUAUAAAUAUUAUAUAGAAAAUCAUAUGAUUUGUUGAUAAAUUAUUGAAUUUUUAAUUUUAAAUCAAAUUGAAUUAAUCAAAUUUGAUCAAUUUCUAUUGGUUAAAUUGUUACAUUAGUGCUCACCCCUAUAUUUGAAAGUAAUAGUGUUCUUUAUCUCAUAAUUAUUUUGAUUAAUCCAUAUUUCAAAAUCGACUUAAAUUCUCCAAAAUUAAAUGUUUCGUUAACAUCUCAAUAUCACUUUUGCAUCUUAACUCAUGUGUAGACAAGCAAAUUCGGUAGCACAUAAUAUUGCUAGGCUAGGGCGUGCUUUGUUUGUUGAACUAAUGUAAAAACUAAUUCAAUGUAUCAUGUAUGUCCCUAAGGUUAUCUUUAAUGAUGUUUUACACUAGUUAAUGAAAUAAUCAUAUAUAUAUUAUAAAAUCAUAGUUAUCAAAUAGCAAUUGUUGAUGUGGACAACUUCUUUUUUACAUGUAAGAUAAUUCUCAAAAUUUCUCAUUAUGAUGACACAUAAGAUAUUUAUUAAUUUUAAAUUAUUUAUAAAAAAUAUUUUAAAAAUUAUUAAAUUAUCUAAAAUUUUAAAAUUUAAUCAAAAACUAAUUUAAAUUUUAAUGAAAUUUUUUUUUCCUAUACAUCAUCUUAUCUCAAUUUUAAAGUAAUUUAUCUUUUCCAAUUUAUUUGGAACUAACAUGAGUAUAUAAAUUUAUCACAACUUUAAAAAAUAUUAUUUAAUAUCUUUAAUAUUUUUUAUAAAUAAUCAUUGCAUUAUUUUCAGCUUUUAAAUAUAUUUUACAAAGGAAAUGUGAAAAAAAUAUAUAAAUACUAGAACAACUUCAUAAAUGUUUCUCCUAUACAUUAUCUCAUGUCAAUUUAAAACCAAUUUUAAGGUAAUUUAUCUUUUCUAAUUUAUCUGUAGUUAAAAUAAGUAUUUAAAUUUAUCACAAGCUUUAAAAUUAUUAUUUAAUAUCUUUAAUUUUUUAUAAAUAAUCCUUACAUUAUUUUUAGUUUUUAAAUAUAUUUCACAAAAAAAUAUGAAAAAAAUAUAAAUACCAAAACAACUUUAGGAAAGUCUCUCAUGUACAUCAAGUUUAUUUUGUAUAUCAUCUUAUCUCAAUUUAAAACCAAUUUUAAAGCAAUUUAUCAUUUUCAAUUUAUUUGCAGUUAAUAUGAGUAUUUAAAUUUAUCAUAAUUUUUAAAAAUAUUAUUUAAUAUCUUUAAUAUUUUUUAUAAAAAAUUCUUACAUUAUCUUCAACUUUUAAAUAUAUUUCACAAAUGAAAUAUAAAAAAAAAUAUAAAUACCAUAACAACUUCAGGAAAGCCCUCAUUGUUGGUAACUUUUAGUUAUAUAGCUUUCUCAAUGUUCCACUAAAUUAAACGUAUUUUUCCCUAUUAUUAAACUAACAUAUUUUUUUUAUAAUAAAUACUAUUUCACUAAACAUAUUAUUCACUCCAUCGAAUAUGAGGUAUUAUUUCACUAAAUAUACUAUUCACUCCAUUAUGUAUGAUUUUUUUUCAAAUCAGUUGUAAUAUUUUUUUAACUGUAAUAUCUUUUUAAAAAACUAAAAAAACACAUAUAUUAUUAUAUUUUUACCAAUGUUGUUUGCAAAACUUUUAUUUUUUCACAAAUUCUUCACUUAAUCACGUAAUAUAUUUUAUCUUUUAAUUGAUUAUUUAUUCAAUAUUCCCUAUUCAUAUAAAAUAAAAAUGAUACUCUAAUUAAUUGAUAUAAUAUAGUCAUGUCUUAAACAGAAACUUAUGCGCCAAUUGUAUAUUCAAAAAGUGAAUAAUUUUUCAACUUAUAUCUUUAUUAUGAAACAUAUAACAUAAUUUUCAAAUCAAAAUAUUAUUUUUCAUAAAAAAUUAAAAAAAAAUAAUUCAAUGAUAAUCUCAUCAAUAAUAUUAAUUUUAAGUUCAUUUAUAUCUUAACUUAAAAAAACUUUAAAAUUAUAAAAAAUUUUACUAAAAUUUAAAAAAAAAAUGAAUCCUAUGAUAACUUUACAAUUAUAAAAUAGAGAAUUUCUUAUAACCUUUAGUAAAAUUUAAUAAUAAAAUUUUAUUUUUAUUAUGAUUUGAUAUUUUAAUUAUAUUAUUUAUAUGUUACAUAUAUUUUAAAUGUAUAAAUAAUCAAUAAUAUUAAUUUAUAUUUUUAUUUAAAUUUAAAUAAAAUAAAAGUAAUUUGUGCAUAUCUUCUAGCUAAUUCUUUUAUUAAAAAAAAAAAAGGUGGCCCCACUCAUGGACAGUUAUUUUCGUCUAUAAUCCUCAUCAAUAUCAUCAUUCAAUCUCCCAAAGCCCUUACCCUUCACUCUCGCCAGAAAAAUAUGGCUUCUUCAACUUCAGCUACUCAGGUUCUCUCUGUAACCACAACGGCACUGGAUCAAAAGCCAAGGACUUGUCGUUUCCUUGUCCAACCACGAAAACCUUACUUCAAUCUCUCUUCUUCAGCUAAACCAUUCUCAAAUAAAGCUCCCUUCUCUUUAUCCAAUUCCAAUUCUUUUCCACUAACUAAAGAGCUCGAAACGAAUAAUAAUUCUCUAACUCUUCGUGAAAUUUGCCAGGGUCAAGUGCCGGACCACGUGCUGCGCAGGCAUGCUUCUGCUUCCCCGCAUUUUUCUACCUUCUCCGUUUUUGUCAAUUUCUUAAAAAUCAAAUUUGGUAUUUUUUUCUGAAAUUGAUUGUCAUUGAUACGUGGACGUUUCAGAGUGGAAGAGGUUGGAUUUGUAGUGCCGACAGACGUACAGAGGGAAGCUUUGCCUGUUCUAUUCCGUGGAAACGAUUGCAUUCUUCACGCUCAGGUUGAUUUUCUUCCCAAACAAUAUUUAUAUUAUUAUUAAUUUCAAUAUUUAUAUAAUAAUUUAAAAAAAAAAUUAGGCUUAAGAGAGUUUCUAUAACUCUAAUUCUCAAUAAAUUUUUUUUGAAGAAAAAAAAAAAAAAGCCUGAGCUGAUAAGCUAAUGUUCACCUUCUUAAUCGUGCUCUAGACAGGUUCCGGGAAGACGCUGACUUACUUGUUGUUAGUUUAUUCAGUAAUAAAUCCUAAAAGAUCGGCUGUGCAAGCUCUAAUUGUGGUUCCCACCAGGGAGCUUGGCAUGCAAGUAAGGAUUUCUUUUAUUGUUUUAAUAUGUCAAGUUGAAUUUGAUUUCUAUGAGUGAUUCCGGAUAAAUGAAAAGUUAGAAAAUUGGAUAAUAUGAAGUCAAUGUGGUAGUAUUAUUAUGGAAGUUUUGGUGUUUGUUGUUUGAUCAAGAUUUCGAAAGUGGCUCGGAUGUUAGCUGCAAAGCCUAUGAAUCAUGAAGUGGAGCAGAAAUCGUAUACUGUUAUGGCACUUUUAGAUGGAGGAAUGUUGAGGAGACAUAAGAGUUGGCUGAAGGUGCACCAUUCUUCUUAUUCUGUUGUUUUCUAAAGUUCCAUCCCAUAUAAAUUUACAGGAUUGUGGCAAAAAUUUAUCAUCAUUCUAAAUUAGUUAAAAUUAUUGUCUAAUAGUAAUAGAUGAGUUUUGACAAUGUGGAACUAUUUGAUAAGUAAUGCAUAAAGAGUGGAACUCGGCUCUUACCCAUUUCUUUUGUGUUUUCAAAUUUUAUUGGGAAACAAUGUAGUUCUCCUCUGAUAAGUCUGAUGACAUAUUUUCUUAAAGGUUUUCUCUUAACAUUUUGAUAUUUUGAAAAGCUCCUUCUGUCUGUGGAAAAAGUUUGUUGCUAAUUGAUGACCUGGUCAUGUUUUAUGCAUAUGUAAUUCCUCUGAUGUUCAAAUUUUCAGGCAGAACCGCCAAGUAUAGUGGUAACAACAGUAGGAAGUGUGAGCCAGAUGCUUGAAAAGCAGAUAUUUAAGCUUGAUUCGAUGCGUGUGUUGGUGGUUGAUGAGGUAACUAAAAUAUAAUAACAUUUGCCUUUGUUAAUUAGUUGUUGACUUAUUUAUAAUCCGUUUCUGGUGGGCAGCAACUUUUGCAUUUAAGUUUCCAACACAGCAUCCAAGCUGAAAGCUACAGUAGUUUGAAUGGCAUUUUUAUCUUUCAUUGUAUUCUUGAAUUAUUAGUAAUACUUUUGUAGAAAUUUAUUAUUGUGCCUUUCAGUUGACUACUUGUCUUCAUUAAAGUCACUAAAAGUUUCACCAAAAGUUAUUAUUUAGAAGAAUUAUUAUUUUGAAGAAUGAUGUAUGAUACUCCUUUUUCUUCUGUUAGGUUGAUUUUUUAUUCAGUUCUUCAAAGCAAGUUAGUUCUCUCAGGAAGCUUUUGACAUUAUAUUCUUCAUGUAACAACCGUCAAACGGUUCUUGCCAGUGCAUCCAUCCCUCAGCAUAGACGAUUUUUACAUGACUGCAUACAGCAGAAGUGGACAAAGGUUAAUUUGUUAACAGUAAUUUUCAUGUCAUCUUAUUGGGAAUUAAUCCAGUACUGUUUUUGGUUUUCUUGCUUUCACUACUAUUUCUGUAUUACGUACAGAGGGAUGUGGUUUAUGUCCAUGUCAAUCCAAUUAAGCCCUUGCCGCCAUGCCUGCUUCAUAGAUUUGUGGUAAGAUAAAUUUGAGUAUGAGACAUAUAUAUUUACUAUGUUUGUAUUUUACCAAAUGCUAUUUUCUUUAGUGGCACCUUUCUCUUGGUCUGUGAAUCCCCUGAUUGAUUAUGAUCAUAUGUUACAUUGAUUGACAGAUAUGUGGUAGAAAAGAGAAACAUCGACUAUUGCUAUCAUUAUUAGAAUGUGAUCUGCCUGAGUAUGGUAUUAUUUUUGUUGGUGAGCAGGUUUGGACAGCUUAUCCUUCUUCACUUGUAUCUUUUAGAUGAUGCAAUUAUAAUAUUUUGUUAUUCUGAAAAUAGGUUGACAUCUGUUCUUAAAAUUUGGGGUUCUGCGUUAUUGUAUGAAUGCUUUACCUCAAGAUGAUCUUCAAUGAAGGACAUUUUCUUGAUAUGAUCAUGAUACCUGCUGGUUCCAAUGCAAAUUGAUCUAGCAUGCUGAUAAAUACACACACACACACACAUAUAGCUUGUAUAAUUUUAGGUGUUCUUUGGUGAAAAGGAAAAGUAGGAAGGUAAUUGGCUUGAAUAUGAAGUUUCACAAUACUUAGGUUCAAUUUUUGAGGGUUCUCCUAUAAUUUCGUAAGUAUUUUUUUUCUCCACAAUUCCUGCAGUCUGAGAAGUCAAAAAAGGCUGGGAAAGCUCCUUCAACAACUCUUCUAAUUGAUUUUUUGAAGACUUCAUACGGAGGUUCGAUAGAGAUCCUUCUUUUGGAGGAAGACAUGAAUUUCAAUUCACGAGCAGCCUCACUUUCUGUAAGUGUUCUUUAGUUCCUUCAUGAUUAGGUGAGCCUUUUCCAUUCCUUCUUAAUAAAGUAAAGUUGGGUUUAUUGUAAAUUUGAUUUUGUAGCAAUUCAAAGAAAGCAAAAGAUUCUUUAUUCUUUUAGUUUCCUGAAUUAUUCAUCUACUAAAACUAAAUAGCAAACAUUACUUAUUUAGCUACUAUAAAAAUAUAUGAUUCCUUUUAUGAGAAAAAGAAAAAAAAAUGAACAAAGUGCUGUAAUAACAGGCUCCAUGGUGGUUCAAACUCACGACGAAUGCUAGUGUCUGUUAGGGAGGAUGGAAGGGGAGAAAGAUGGAAAUUUUUUUUAAUCUAAUGGUUGAGAUACAUGUGUUAUUUUAUAGUUUUGAACCAUUAGAUUAAAACUGUCUUUCCUUUUUCUUUUCUUUUUUUUUUUCCUUCCAAAAAAAUGUAGUGUUAAUGAUUUCGUAUUAGACAAUGAUAAACUAUUUGGUUCUUACGCUAUAUUUGGUAGGAGGAUGAAAAUUUUUUGAAUUUAACGGUAGAGAUUCAUACCAACAUGUGCUAUUUUGUAGCUUAAGUUUUAGAGUAAAAUCUUCUCCUCUCUCCCCUUUACUUCCUAUGAUAUAUUGUGCUUUCCAUCCUCAAAGAGCUACCUAACUGUUUUCAAUAUUUAUUUCAAAAUGCAGGAAGUGAGGCAAGGAGGUGGAUAUCUCCUUGUGUCUACAGAUAUAGCUGCGAGGGGGAUUGAUCUGCCAGAAACAACUCACAUAUACAACUUCGACCUGCCAAAAACUGCUAUUGAUUAUUUACAUCGGGCUGGAAGAACAUGUAGAAAGCCAUUUUCAGAUAAGAAAUGCACUGUCACCAAUAUUAUACUUUCAGAAGAGCGUUUUGUUUUGCAGAGAUAUGAAAACGAAUUGAUGUUUAACUGUGUAGAGCUUAGAUUAGAGAUCCAAUGUUAAAGUUUUAAUUUUAUACAAAAUUGGCUGUUUCCUUCUUAUUAUGGAAUGUAAAAUGAAACAAUUUCAUAUUAUUAUUAUUAUUUCAUCUUUUAAACAAGUUGUUUUUCUUCUCACUUCUGUGAGGCUGGGUUGCAUUAAUAGUGUAUCUAUUAACAAACAUGGAUUCUUAUCAUACUAGUUUUAACUUCUUGAUUCCGUCCGGAUCAACAAAAAUGGAUAAUGGAUAAUUUCAUUUAUAUAACAAAACCGUCUUUAAUUUCUGAGUUUCUCAAUAUGACGGUGAUUCCGGAUCGGAUGUAGAACCCUUCUGAGGAUCUGUCAGCCUCUUGUACACCCUGCAAAUCAUUAUAUUGAAACAUUUACUAAUAAAAAUGAUGAGAGAAAAAACACCGAUAAGAUAUAAAGUGGGCUGAAGAAUCACACCUCCGAGUUGGCAAUAACAACAUUCUUCCCUAUUCUAGCAUUUUUGUCAAUGAUGCAUUCUCUGCAUAACAUGAUAAGAUGAUGAUAAGAACUAUGCCAAAAAUGAAGACUCCAGGAAAGGGAACAGAAACUUUCAGAGGUUUUAGGUUAUUAUUACUUGAUUUUAGUGUUCUCUCCUAUCCCAAUAGGAACUCCAUCCUCAGCUAAAAGUGCUGCUAUUUCUGCAUCAGUUUCAUAAAAGUCAGCUCCAACCAUCACUGUAUCCUGCAUUGAUUUACACAUCAGGAAGUAAGAGCCCCUGUCCCAAAAGGCUGAGACAAACAGGGAGAGACAUACCAUAGCAUGUUUUAGUAUUAAUUUCAAUAUUUGAAGGACGUAUUUUGCACAUUCAAAAGUUUCUGUAAAAUUAAAUUUCACAUUGGUCUUACAGUAUGCUCACAAGUUAUGCAUAUGAUAGAAUUUGUAGAACAAAACCUUUAGGUGAACGUUAGCAUUUAUUCGGGAUCUGAUACCAACGACGCUGUGUUCUAUGAAGCAAUUUGUUAAGAAACUUCCGUGGGAUAUGAUUGAGUCCACAACCUGCUUGAGAACAAGAAAGAAUGUAUAAUCUUUAAGUCAAAACAGACUGUGAAGUUAGGAAUCAGUCGGUUGAUCAGGCAUCUCAGCAGUACUGUCAUGUCUGAUUAGCAUUCUUGCUAGAGUAGACCUUUUUCCUUUCUUUCAUUCCUUUUGCAAUCCAAUCAGGACCAGAGUCAAAGCCUGAGAUUUACUAACCUUGCAAUUGUCGAUCUUUGAAGGCGGUAGGUUUCUUCUUGAUGUAUAUAUUGGUUUUGCUGCAUCAUAGAAGCUAAACCUUGGUGGCUGGAAGGUGAAAAGAUAUGUUAGAACAGUGCAAAAGUGUUUUACAACCAAAGCAUAAAAUGAAUCUCUAUGGAAUACUUGCCAUAGCAAGUUUUGCAUGGGCUGCAAGUCCUCAGACUUAUUACCAAAGAUCAGAACUGACAAAAAAGCACAAAUUUUUUAUGGCACUUACAUGCUCAGUGAGGGCAAGGUUUGCUUCAAAGAAAGAUCUGAUAGUUCCUAUAUCUUCCCAGUAAUCAUUGAAGAGAUAAGCCUGUUCAGAAAUUUCACAUGUAAACACUGUAAAUAUGCUGAACUAUCCUUAUAGUUGGAAUGAAAAUCUUCUAAAAAAACUCAAGGGGCUGGUGGGAGGGAUUGGGCCAAGGGAUUGUGAUGAGAUGCUUAUACUUUCAUAUGCAAUGUUUAGAAGAAAUUUAAGUACCUUUAUGAAGAACUCUUUAGCUGAGGCAGGGAUUAUUUCUGAUCCAAAGUCAUUUGCAGUUGGAAAACGCCAUCUGAAUCAAUAACAGUUUAUAAAACUUAUGCUCCUAUGUUUGACGUUGCAGGUGCAUGUUUACAUGAUUGUUAAAUUUAUCACUUGAUCAAGAUUUUUAUUCUUUCUUUGUUUCCUUCAGAGGAAAUUAAUCAAUGAAAAAACAAAAAACAAAAUUUGUACCUCAGAAGGUUCAGAAGUAUCUCCUUAUUGAAGACGUAAACUCCCAUGGAGGCAAUAUAUGGUUUCUUUUCAGCCUCCUCUCUUGGAAGUCCCAAAACUGUUGUAUCUACUGCCUAAAAUAUACAUUUAUAUUAGCAAAACCACUCAAAUCUCUAAAACCAAUUAAAUGGCAAAGUGCAUCCUAAUAAACUGAGACUUACCAUUGCUUUCAAUUCUUGUCCCCUGGGCUUUUCACUGAAGGACAGAAUCCUUCCUUUAUUAUCUAUCUUCAUUAGACCAAAAUCUGAGGCACGUCUACAAUAAAAGCAAAAGACAGGGUAAUGCAUAUUACUGAGUGCCAUUAGAUGAUAUAUCUGUUGCAGGAAAUUCAAAUUGCAAAGAAAGUCCAUGAAAUGGUGAUGUACCUAUCAUCUAUAGGAAGGCAAGAAAUGGUGAUGUCUGCACCACUCUGCCGAUGGUUCUGUAAACAAAAAUCAUGAAUCUCAGUUUGGAUAUUCUGAAAAUUGAUACCAACAAUGUAUAUAAUAUAACACAAGUAAAACUAUCUGCAUAUCUUCUGUCUUACUACCUGAACAAAAUCCAUAUAGUCCAUCCGAUACAAGUGAUCCCCUGAUAGAAUCAGCACAUCCUCAAUCACCUUACUUCUUGCACCCUACAAGAUAGUAAAUGGCAAACCAAGAGCCACUGACAUAAAAAAGAGGACUACUGCUUUACUUUUAGUUCUAGUGAUAAGGGUACAAGCCAUGGCAAACUCAAAUACCAAAAUAAUAAUAAUAAUAACAAUAAUAAUAAUAAUAAUGGUAUUCUUUCUGAUACUUGGCAUUUUGCAAUAGUUUACUUCGCUUUCUCUUGUUCUUCUUAAAUCAAAAUAAAUACCUAGUGGCCAAUGGAUAACAAUAAAACUUUCAAAUACCAAUCUCCCAUAAGAGAGUUAUUCAAGGACUUUUUUUUUUCCCCAUUAUGGGAGCUGACUCUGAAUUAUAUACCUCAAAAAGCCAGUGAAAUUGUCGCACUGCAUCUGCAGUCCCUUGGAACCAUCUCUUACCAGCCUCUCCCGGAGUUUGUGUGGCCGCCAGUAUCUAUUAUAAAGAAACAGUGUCUUCAAAUAUCAGAAUCAAUUGCUGCUAAGCCAAAAAUCAAUUGGCAUUUGUGCAUAAAUGAAUGCUGAAAUGAUACCUCAACAUAGCCAUCUCCAAAGUUGACCCCAUUGCCAAAGUUGUAAGCACGGGAGAGGUGCCUGUUAAGUGACGCCGAGUUAAAUUGGGUGAGAAUGUACACUUUGUUGAUACCACUAUUAAUGCAGUUGCUCAUUGGCACAUCAAUUAGCCUGUAUGCACCUCCAAUUGGAACCUACAAAUUUUCAGUUCUGAUAUAUAUAAAAUUCACCUGACAGUGUAUAAGAUAAUUAUACAUAUAUAUUUAAAAAAGAAGAAAAAAAAAAGGUGAUGAGACCAAUAACUUCGUGGUGGGUAGAACUGGAUUUUUAAUUCCAAUUAUCAGGUUCGAUCAACAACUAAAAAAAGAAAAGGAGAUGAAAGCUUACUGCAGGCUUGGCACGUUGCUUGGUGAGAGGGAAAAGACGAGUACCAGCUCCUCCUCCCAGAAUAACUGCCACAACUGUCCUUGGGUCCCGCCUUUCCAGCUCUAGGUCCCUUAGCUGCAUGAAUAACCCCACUCAUUAAAUUGCUUAUGUUUAGCUAGUAAAUUAAGUUUCUUUUGAUAAUUAUAAAGGGAUUUAAUAAAAAAAAUUUUGGCAUUUUUGGCUCAAGUGUUAAAGGACUAGUUAAAAUGUAUGGAAGAGAUAAUAAGAAUACAAGAUUACAUUCACCUUGGACUCCCCUGCUAUAUUAGCAGUAAGUGACAUGCAAAUAUUUUGCUUGACAUUCUUUUUAUUAACCCCUUGAUAUCUUCGGGUCAUGUUAACCUUCUUACCCAUCAACUCUCCAUUGCAAAAUUUGACAAGCCUCCAAUUCCUCCCAGCAGUCAAUGCCACGGUGCUAGGUAGCUGGCUGGCGGCAGAGAGCGAUAACCGUCCAUUGGCCGACACUGUCAUUUUGUAUUGGAAUUGGAAAUGAAAUCAGUGAAGAGUAGUAAUAGUGCGUUUAGGCGUAUGAAGGGAGAGCAGGAGCAGUGAUGAGCGGGAUGCGCUGCUUUCAUGGAGUGCAGGAUAUUUGGAAGAUUGGGACACGUUAUCCAAAAUGAAUUGCAUCCACCAAUUUCUGAUGUUUGUGUGGAAUGAGGCCCUUUAAGAGUAGCUAACUAACGACAAGAAAGUGCUUAAAUUUGGAAAUUAAUAAUUACGAAUCAAAAAAUAUUCUACCAGUGCCGCCUAAAGAUUUUUUAUUGUAAUUUUGGUAAGUUAAUGUGCCAAUAUUGGGGUCUGGGACACUUGAGUGUUCACCUAUUGGGUUUAAAUUGAAAAAACGAACAUGGAUUGUUGCUUAAGUUUGGUUUUUAAACAAAUUUUCCGUUUGGUUUACUAAUCAAAUCGAAAAUGUUUUGCGUACUUUAAACUUCUGUUUUGUUUGUGUUGAGAAAAGAAAUAAUCCAUUAAAGUGGAUAAUGAAAAGGAUUAAUUAAGCAAGUUAAUUAAUCAAAUUAAGUUAAUGGACUAAGUUUUAGGGGGGGCCCAAUAAAGUAGGAUUUGUCAAGGUACGACUAGAAAAAAGAGUCCAAGAUGUUUGGACUAACCCAAACUAACGCUUUAUGGAGUCCAAUUGGGCCACGACUAUCGAAUAAUCAACCUUUGCUAGAGAAAAUCUAGCGAAAUGGUGGUCAUAUGGAAUUAUUAAGCUAGAAAAUUUAGCACUCUGAUCAAGACUAAAAUCGAGGGAUUUAAGAGAUUGAAUUCUUUUGCUUUCUUUUUAGAGAACAAAAUUGAAUUCUUAAUAUGUUUACAUAAAGGUGGCAAAUGGAUCGGUUGGAAUUCGGAUUGAAUUGUUUUAGAGGUUGAAUAUUUUGAAUUAAAAUUCAUUUUGAGUUCAGAUCGUUUUAAAUUCGGAUUUUUUCAUAUUUGAUUAUUUUUAUAUUCAAGUUUUUUUGGAUUUGAAUAAUUUUAAAUUCAGAUUAUUUUAAAUUCGAAUCAUCUCAUAUACGAGCUAUUUCAUAUUUAGUUUAUUUUGGAUUUAGUUCGAUUUGAGUUAGGUAGAUUAACUUAGACAAAUUUGAAAAAUUUUCUAAAUUUUGUAAGUUAUAAAUAUAUUUUGUAAUUUUGACUUAAGGAUUAAUUUCAUUUUUUUAUAUUAUUAAAUAAAAAUAUUACAAAAAAGUUAAUGUUGAAAUUUUAAAAAUAAUAUAUUUAUAUAAACAUAUACUAUAUAUUAAUUUUGUCUUUAAAUAUAUUUUAUUAUUUUUUAAUCCAUCAUAUAAAUUCAAAUAAAAACUAAAAUAUUCAAAUUUCACAUAGUUGAAUAAUAGAUAUUGUUAAAAAGAAUAUUAUUUUGACAUUAACAUUUACAUUAAUAAAAUAAUAUUAGAUAUAUAUCAAUUGACCAAAUGUUCAAUUAAAAUAUUGAAUAGGAGAUAUUAUUAAAUUAAUUGUUAUAAUGUUAGUAAUCUAAAGUCAAUAAAUGUAAUUACUUAAAUAUAUUUAAUCUUAAUAUCAAUAAAGUCUAAAAAAUAAUUGUAUUAAAAUUAUUACUUGUAUAGUAUACUUUUAAAUUAUACUUUUAUUUAUUAUUAAUAAUAAUUAAUUCUAUUCUCACUUUAAUUUUAAUUUUAAUAGUUAUUAAUAAUUAAUUAAAUUAAAUUUAUUUUUAUCUAAUAUUAAAAUAAAAAUAUAAAAAUUAUGAAAAAAAUUAACUAAAAGAACUGGUGGUAUAUGAAAAAAUCAUUAGAUAUUAUUUUUUGUUAUAUAUUGAUAAUUAUCAUAAAUAUAAUGAGAUGAUAGUAUCAAAAAUCAUUAGAUAUUAAUAUUUAGUGUGUUUCAAGUUAAAUUUAUUUUAUAAUCAAAAUUAAAAAUUUAACAUUAAUUUUGUUGAUUAUUAUUGAUUAAUUAUUUAAUAAUUAUCAACAAUAACAUUUUAAAAUUUAAAAUUUUUAGUUAAGAAAAAUAUUUAACUUUUAUUUAUUUAAAAAAUCAUAUAAUUAUAGUUUCGAUUUUUCAAGUUAUAAUUUGGUUUUGUAUGGGUUUUAUAUCGGAUUGAUCUCCAGUUCAGAUCAUUGUGAAUUUGGGUUAUGAUAAAUUCAGAUUAUAUCGGUUUUGAACUUUUCGGAUUUGAAUUUUUUCGGAUUUAAUUGUUUUGGGUUUCAAUCUUUAACUUUCUUUAAUAAGUUUGGAUUGAUUCAGGUUUGGUUGCAGAUCAAUUCAAGCAGAUUUUCAGCCUUGGAUCAGCUUUGCUAUCUCUACGCUUAUAUAUUGAUGAGUGGGAUUAGUUCUGAAGAAAAUUCAGUAGAUGGAGAUUUUCUAGCCUUAAUAUGAAACAGUUAUUAGCAUUCAGGUAGAGAGAAGAUCAGCCUGAAGGCAAAGAAUUUAAAAGCAAUUGUAGAAAAUAUUCAACUAGCAAUUCAUGGAGUGAAAGUAGCGUGUGAAGUAGUUUUCACCCAUUAUUGAACACGUAAAGACAAGGGAGUUAAUGGGCGGUAGUCACAUUAGGAAAUUCUUAGAAUCUGUUUUUCGUUCAUGUAUAAAUAUAAGUUUAAAAAAUUGUGGAAUAGGUUCCAAAAAUGACAUACACAAUGCAAAUUCAAUAAUCUUAAUUUUCAAGCACUUUAUCUAUACUUUUCAUGCACUUAGGCGUGGCUUUAACUUAAGCAAUCUAUCCAAACUUUCUUCUUUGUGCCGCUUAUUCUUACUUUUGCUUGAAGUAUUAAUUGUACGAACCUUUGAUUGCCCAUUGUAAGAAUAAAUUUAAAUGAAUCGAAUAUGAAUAUAAUUAUGUUCAUAAUUUAUUUGUUUAAUUAAUAAAUUAUAAAAAAUUAUUCGUGAUCAUUUGUAAAUUUAAUAAACAAAUAAAAACUGAAUAUAUUUACGAAUUAUUAUUAAAUUUUUUAUCAAUUUUGACAAAUAAUUCAAACAUAAAUGAAUUUUAUUAUGUUCAUGAUCUGUUUAUUUAAUUAACAAAUCUUAAAAUAUUAUUUGUGAUUAUUUGUUAAACUUAAUAAAUGAACAUAAAUCUAACAUGUUCACAAACUAAUUAUCAAACGUUUUAUUCAUUUACAGCCUUAGCCAUAAAUUUUCCUAAUACAUCAACCAAUAGUUUGUAUGAACACAAGACAAGGAACAAAAGAUUAUAUUGUAUACAUCUAUUAUAGACACCUGAGCGUUUUUGUCAAUUUUUUAUACUUUAAAAUCAAGACUUGGGUUCUUUCCAAAAAGUUUUAAGCAUUAUAAAUAUUCUAAGCUUUUUAAAUAAGUUAUUGUUACAAUUGAUGCAGAAAAAUAGUAAAAGUUAAAAAAAAGUCAAAAGUCAACAUAAAAGUUAAAUUAAUCAAAUUUGGUCAAAUAACAGUUUUUAGAUCCAAAAACGGAAUGAAAAGUUUUCAAAUCAUUUGAAACGGAGACUAUUGGAUAAUUUUACAAAAAGACUUUGAAAAUUAUUCAGUCAAAUUUUUAGUAAAACUCAAUCAAAAUAGUCAAAUCUAGCUCAAAAAUCAAAUUUGAUCAAAACAAAGGUUUUAAUGAAAUUUAAAUAGGAAUCAUUGGAUUUGUUUAAAAUUUAAAUUUUAACUAAAAUAUCCUUCGAUUAAAAUCUUGAUCAAAUUAAACCAAAUUUCGAUCAUUUUGAAAGAAUCAAGUCAAAUCAUUAGAUUUUUGAAGAGCUUUAAAAAAGAUUUUGAAUUUUGGGUAAAAAUGGGUGUUUUGAUUAGAUCUAACAAUUUAAAUACGAUACGAUGACAUGAUAAGAAAAUUAUAUGAAUAAAGAACUUCGAAAUAACACAAGUUAAAAUUUAAAAUAUAUAUAAAUAGGUUUAAUAAAACAAAAAAAAUUAUAUUUUACAUUUUCAUAUCGACACGAAUUAUGACACACGAUUUUCAUAUAAAAUAUAACACGAAUAAAAUAUUAUACAUGACAUGAUAACAUGAAUUAUCAGAUCUAAUUUGACCAAAUAUCCUUGAGAUGGACCCAAUUAAAUAUUGGUCAAAAUUGAUCAAAUUAGGUCAAAGCAUAGUAAUUAAAUAAAAAAUCUAUAUAAAAUCAAAAUUUGAGUAAAAAUAACCAAAAUGCCCCUUAAUUAACCUUUUUGUCAAUCAUGAUCAAGCCCGGGUCUAUCUUUUGGAAAUCAUGAUCCAUUGGGACUAUUAUAGCUUAGAAUUAAUAAAAUAUGAUAUGAUAUCUCAAAAAAUUGACGUUUGACUCAAAAACACUACAAAAAUCCAAAAAGCGAGUUUUACCAUAAUCGCCGCUAAUUAUGUGCUCUUAGCACUUGGUUGGAAAUCCUUAAAAGAUGCCAAUUUCUUCACUGCUGUCUCCUCCAUUGUUCCUUUUCCAACACCUAACAUCCAUU
rnacentral:lncRNA from 1 species